UCCACAUAAGUCCAAAUUGAACUUCCGUAAGUUUUCUUCCAAUAGUUCAGGAUAAAAACAGGAAAUCUCAACAUCUGAAUAUACCGGCUGAGUGGUGAGAUUUACAAUGGAGUAAUCAGGGAUGUCAGUUGUGGUUGAGGUGGAAGAUGGUGGUGAGGAAGCUGUAGAAUUGGAAAUAAGGAAAGAUGUGAGUUCCGGGACCGAGAGAGAGGAGUAAUGGGACCCAUAGAAUGGGUUAGUGUCAAGGUGAAGGACAGUUUUUCCAGAAGCAGAAGCUGCAGCAGCAACAAUGCAUUCUGCUAAACCAGUGCCCACAGCAAUCAGGUCGAAGGUAGUUGGUUCAAUUUGCGGAUAUGGUGGGGGCUCACCCAUGGUCGCACUGGAGAGGAACAGUAGAUUUACUGCUGUAAGUGAACAAGUGAGUAGCUAAAAAUCACCUGGCACAAGAAGCAAGAGAAAAAAAAAAAAAAGUGUAAUCAAGGAUGAUCAAGAAGUGAAGUUUUUGCACUUUCUUUUAAUAUUUGCACACCAGCAAAAAUGACGUGGAAUUACCUGUACAUCUACAAGAUCUGGGGUUUUUGUUCUAAAAGAUCUGAGGUAUUUUUACGGUGCUUCAGUGUUCAUAUUCAUGUGCUUAUAAAUAUUUUUUGACGUAUACACGAAUUUAUAAAUAUUUUUUUAAAAAAAAGAAUUAAAAAAUAACAUUAAUGCGUUUUCGGUGAAGUUAGCAUCAAUUUUUUUUUUCAUUGCGCUUGGAUUUUAACAAUUAGUUCAACAUAUUUUCUAGUUUUUAGGAAUUAAUAUAUACCUAAAGUGAUAUUUUUAAUCUAAAAGUAAAUUUAAAUAAGUUGACAUGUUUUCUUCAAGUUAGUAUCAUAUUUUAAAAACUUGAAUUUCAAGUCAAAAUUAAUAAGUCUCCUUAGAGCAGGGACUAACACAGGAUAAGCUUAGUAUUAUGUUGAAUUUUUUAUUUUUUAAAAAGUUAAUAAUAAAAAAGAGUUGGGAAAUAAUAAAAAAAAUAGUAACAUGUAACUAGAAAUUUCAAGAAUUUUUUUUAAAAAAAAUCCGUUAAAAUUUCAGCAGAGUUUCUUUGAGGUUUCAAAUUAUCGACAAUAUUAUAUUUACAUUUUCUAUGUCAUUUCACAUCCCGAUCCAAUCAUCCUGAAUCUCAACCAAACUCAUCAUCAUCAACAUAAAACGUCUUAUUCAAUAAUAUUAUAAAAUUCAAGUUCACAAAAAAAAAACAAUGCAUAAUUCCAUUGCUAUAUAUUAUCAUUGCAUAAACUAUAUCAUGUGUAACAAUAUUAUAUAAUGAAAUUCAAGUGAAAGAUUCAAUUUCAACUAUAAACAUGCAUGAUUAAAGUAGAUAUUUAGAAUUACAUCAUUAGAUUAAAGUCAUACAUCCGAAUUUACAUAUCAAUAUUACUUUUUAAGUUUAGAAAAUAAUUGUCUUUAAUAACAACAUAAUUACAUAGCAAAAAAUACCUAAACUAAUAUCACUCCUGACGUGACCUCAAUGGACCUGAAAAUAACAAAUAAAAUGUACAUAUAAAUAUAAAAGAUAACAACAACAAUAAUAAUAAUGAUAGGUAAUAAUUUUCAAGAUAUUUCUUUUGACACAUAAAAUUUAAACAUAGAUUUCUUUACAAUAUGCAUUUUUCAUCUUGAAAAUCACAACAAGAAUAAAAUGAUUUUGAACGUCAUCUUUUUAUGGAUCAAUCUUCAUUUGAUAUCAAGAUAUUAUUCUAUCGAUAUCAUUAACAUAUCUCAUUCUUUUGGAAUAAUUAAUUAACAACUCUUAUCGUAUUUUCUGGAAGUUAAUUGUUGAUAUUAAUAAAUUUUUUUAAUAUGAUUAGUCUUUUUUUACCGGGUUACACUGAAAAAUUCAGCUUGAAAGUGAUUACAUAUUAGUGAGGACAGUAACAUGGAUUGAGGGGUCUCUAGCCUGAGACGAGGGAUUGACUUGGCCGAUUAUGGUGAUAGAAAAAUGAAAAUGAAGAGCUUCAUCUACAUUUUACCACAGCUUCUGAGAAAACAUUCCUUGGACUCUAACUAACAAAGACAAGGUACGAGGGAAAAAGUUGAUCGGAUGGGAAAUUUAUCAAUGGAAGAAUCUAGCAUUCAUCAUUACGGUAUGCAGAUCUCUUAACAGAAGACUAAUUAUUUUGAACCUUGUUUAGCUCGACCGGCCUUGCCGAUUGAAUCAAAGCCUAGCCUUAGAUUUUAUUUUAAACCUGUUUGAAAGUUAACCUUUGUAAACACAAACUGACAGACCAAACGGGAUAACCCAAUUUCAAGAAUAGUUUUUAUUUUUUUUCCAAAACAUCAUUAUAAAGCUGACCUGACGUAUGAUGAAAAACAGUACUGUUGGCCGUAAUUAUAAGGCCGGCUUUGCAAGAAAACUACGUUGCUGCAAGCCUUAUCAUUCAAAUUACUUGAUCUCCCUAUAAUUAUGAGACGGUGCAGUUCAUUAUGUGGCAGGCAGUCCAUGCACAAACCACCAUGUAGGAUGUGUUCUACCAGUGGAUCAUGAGAAGGAGAACAAAUUCUCAAGAAAAUAUUCUGCAUUAAACAGCAAUUCUAGAAACAAUUUCUAUUCUCUUUGAUCGAAUGAAACAAAAUGGAUAAAAAAAAAAAAAACAAAAUUUCCUCAUUGAAGAUGACAUCAUUCUAGUUAAGCGGGGGAAUAAUUAGAUAGAUAAAUAGAGGGGGGGAAGAACUACACUAGCUUGUAGAAAUAUUAUUAACUCAUGAUUAAUGAUCACUAUUAGCAGUAACCUAAAAAAAUUUAAUGCUGAAUAGGGGUUAGUGGAUCCUGGGAAAUGAAGCUGAAACCAAGAUUCCAACAGCAUAUAUACAAGGGGUUGAUGGUAGGGUACAGUAGAGCGCAGCAGUUUCAUGUUGGUAUUAGAGCCAGUAUUUGCGUCUUUAUUCUUCCCAUGCACAUUUGUAUCUCUCUAUAUAUUGGCAGAUUUUGUGGACAGCAUGGAUGCAAGCUAGUAACAGCAGAAUCAAUUAUCUGGGCCACAUCAGAUGGGGGAUACUGUCGUUCAGUGCAUGUCUGCGUAUUAUUAAAACAUGAUGAGCAUGAUAUUAUAGGAAAUCAACGGGAGUGAACAUUUUCCAUCCAAGAGAGAGCACGGUGGUACAAAAUGUCCAAGUUACCUGUAUCAUGAGCAAAGCAGCGACACAUGAUGAUAUGAGCUCUGAAGGAAUUGCUGUCUCAAUUUUUUCAGAAUCAUUUGAUUGAGGCCCAGAUACAUUGCAGUUAACCUGAGGCUCUGGUGUGCUGGGAAUCAACUGAUUUUGAAGGCCUAAACCGGUAUUGGCCUCCUCCUGGGACCUGAUCAUUUGUGCCCUAGAUUCUGAUCCCAAAUGACUUCUAUCCAUAGAAUCUAAUGCCUCUCCGAUUCUCGCAAAGGCAUCUUCCCCUUCUUUCAUGGAUGAAAUUGCCUGCAAUAGUUAUUGCAUCACUAAGUGAUAACUAGAUAAUGGAUGCAUGCCUCUGGUUAAUUCUAUAAUGAAGAGAACAUCAAGCUAGAUAUAUUACUAGCAACCAGCAGAUAUAAGACAAUGAACCUCCAGAUAAGUAUCUAAGAGGACUUGAACAUGAGUUCGCUCAAAAUUUAAUAUAUUUUUUUUAAAAAAAGUUCCCAACAGGCCCAACUUAGGAAUUGCUGAGUUCCAUCUAAUGGGUUGCGUAACAGGCUCAGUCUGCAGCACCAAUCACCAACGAGUAUAUAAUGAGUUGCAGAGAAAUGGAAGAACCAUCAAUCUUAUAUUGAUAUAAUGUAUGAGAACCACAGAAUUUUGUUUUCAAGAUUAAAUGGAUGGUCAUGAUUAAGGGAUCAUAGAACCACUUUCAUCAGUAAUAGCAGAAUUAAAAAAUGAUUACAUUCAGAAUUUCUGCAAACACAUUUCAGAUCGGUGUGCAGGCAUGGAAGAGUGAGGAGAGCAAGAAGACUGAAUGUGAAUACCUGGACAGCAGCAUCUACCAUAAUAUGUGCCUUUAAUCUCAACCCUCUAACAAUCUCGAGAACAGCAGAUCCUGAAUCUUGAGAAACACAAGAACUUUGCGGUCUUAGCAUACCAGAGAAACAGGAAUUGGCUGGAGGUUUCAGCCAAGCAGGCACAUUGAGUAAAGCAGAAGAGGCCUGUCAGAUAUAUAAAGUGAUUAGAGGUUGAAGCAAGAUUGCAGCACAUAAAUCUGAAAGUGAACAUGCAAAUCAUAUACAGCGUGAGUGCAAAUAUAAGCAAGGCACAUGACUGGCCACUGGCUUCCUUUAGUUGUACAAGUACUGUGCCCAAGUGCUUCUUGAAAGGUUCAGAAUCUUUUAAAGAGUUAUCUCCAUUUUUUGGGUUUUCCAUUACAUCAUUAUUUGUGUUUUUAAGCAACACCAACCACAAUUCCUAUAAUUAUAAAACAGGGGAAAAUAUGGUCACAAACUUGAUGCAAAUCCAAGGCAACUCCAUUUGUAUACAAGAUCAUGAAGAAGUACGGUGUUGAAUCAAGUAUUAAGGAUAAAAAUGCUAGCACUGCAAAAGCCAGGAGACCAAAAUGGUGAGUGCACAUUAUGAUUUUAUGUUGUGCUCUUCCAAAGGAAAUGCCUAGCCAGCUUAAUCGGUGGUGUGUAAUUUACAAUCCAAAUCCCAAAAGACAAUAAUGAGGACAGUCUGAAAAUGGAAGGAACAUUGAGCCAAAACCGGAAGUGUUGCAGAAUUAAAUCAUAGACCAAAGAAAAACAAAUCCUCCCUGUAAAAUGGCAGACAGUGACAACCAUCUGUGCCAUAACUGAGCAUCACAAGUAUUGCAGGUUGUUCAACUGAAUAUAGCAGGUUGCAUAUAGCUGCAUCUUGUACCUUUUUAUCAAGAGCACAAUUCAGCUCAGACAGAGCUCGAAUAUCAUAUUUCUUCAGUUGGAUCUGUGAUACCCUAGAAGGUUGACCACAGGCUCCUUGUGCAUUGACAAUGUCAGUGGAUGUUGCCUUGGCAAGAAGGUUGGCAUGGUUUGCCUCAACCUGAAUAAAAGUAAUCAUAUUGCUUGAAAAUAACAAAUUUUGUAAUACCGUUAUUCUGAAGUUUAAUGGAUAGCUAUUCUUACUUGUGCCUGCUUCAUCAAAGCAUUCAUGGGACUCUGUGCAUUCCUUAGUUUUUCAAUUGCAGUGAACUCUCCGAUGCUUGACUUCCCAUUCACUGGCAGUUCCUUGGGCAGAACAGAGGUUUUCUGUCUCCUAAGAGCUUCUGGCAUGUUAUCCAGCGGAUUUGAAGGCAUGCAAUCUAUAUCCUACAGUAAAAUAUUUAUUGUCAUUGUUCUGAAGUAGGAGAGAUGACUGUGCUAGUUUUUAAAGGAAAAAAAUAAAUGGAGGAGAUGUCUAUUCCUAGAAUAAAUUCUGCAGAAAAUAUAUUUCCUUCUCAACAUGACUUGGGAACAAAAUGGAUGAAUCAUUAGCGACUGAAUCAUGAGAGGAAAAGUAGAAGAAAGGCACAAGUUGGAAACAAAACAAUAGCAAAAUUCAAAUAAAUUCUUAAGAAGAAAUUUUACUUAACUAAACAAGACUGUUUGGAGACAGUUCAUUAACAAUUAGGACAUGAAAUUUGCUAAAUUACACUUCCCAAAAAAAUAAAAGUAAUUUAAUAGCUCUUAACUGCCUAACAAUUACAAAUAGCUUAUAGAAGCACAAAAGCUCAAACAUCAGGAGGAUUAAAGACCAUGAAAGCUUUAUAAUCCCAGCCAAUAAAUCAUAAGUACUAACCAGAAAUUGAGUAACCAAUGACUUGCAGCAGAACCAGUAUGACCCAUGUUACGGGCUACAACCACUCAUCUUUGUAGUCAAUAAGACUCUUGGCAUUACAGCAAACUACUAUGAAAAUUGAUCAUUUUUCACUUCAUAAACUAGGAUGUCGUAAGGUUUCUGGGGCACAAUUCAUAGAGGGCAACCAAAUUGAUUGCUGCUUGUUAUUUUACAAACCAAUGAACUAUGAGCAUAACAUUUGAAGCCAAUUUCUGAAUCAGCACAGCAUAAGUAAAUUCUACCAAAACUUAAUAGAAUAUUCAAGUCUUUCACAUUGUUCCAACUUCCAAAAGAUAUUUUCAAAUGCAAACUAUUUAUGCCACUGAAAAAAGCAAAACACAAAUAACAAAAUCUGAAAAACUGUAAACACCACAUGAAAGUAAGAAAUAUAACACACAUAAAUUCAAGAAUGCAAUUACCUUGACAAAUUCAACCCCUAACUCAGCACGGUCAAACUGAACCCUGCACCGGUCAUGAUCCACGGUGAGCACACUUCCAUCAUGAAGAUCUCUUGUUUUGGGAUGAAUAGCAAUUACUCGCUGUCCAACUGAUAAAGGUCUUGCUAAAUCUGUUGGAAGUCCUUCCCUUAAACCAGUACGAAGCUCCAUAUAAUGUUUUCUCACAGAUUCUCUAUAUUGCUGGAGUUUCUCUCUUUCUUCGUGUAAAAAACGCUCAGAAAACCUCCGAGGUUUGCCAAGAGAACUGCAUAAAGAAGAAAGUUACAUUAGUUUACGCUCCAUGAAUGUAGCUAUAAUAUGCUUGACAGAGAUUGAAAAACAAAACACACCUUCUUAUGACACCCCAUUCUACUCGAGUCAGCCUUGGAAUGUGCCCAAGUCCAACAUGAUUCAAAUAUUCAACAAACUCCCUUCUAGAAAACCAAGGGUAGUCAACUGCACUGUAAAACCAUUCAUAUGUACACCAUCUGCGAACCAUAGGAGAUGAUACUACACAAGAAAGCUUGUCCUGUAAUUCCAGAAACCAAUAAGAACAUCUGUAAAUGAGACUCUAAUAAUUGGUAAACUAUGAUAAAUAGAAUUACACAUGGAGGACUUCACCUUUAGAUGGGUUGCUUCAUCUUGUAGGGAGAUGGAGUAUUUACUAAUUUGAUUCUUCAGAACGUUCACCUUUGGAAUCAUUGCUCUCUUUAGAUCCAUCUUGCGUCUACUUGUUUUUCUGGUUGGUAAGAUAACUUGGCUUGCAACAGGAACUUGUUCAGUUGACGUUGCUAGAUCAUUUGAUAUAGUUUUCUGAUCACCACUGAAAGAACCAUCUGGCAAUUUUAAUGAUUUCAAUUGUUUUGAAGGAGAAGAAAUUUGAGCACUGUGUUUUCCUUUAACCACAGAUGUAUUCUCCUCUUCAUCCAGAACCUGUGCCAGGGUUCAUAUGGAAUGGAGUCAAACACCAAUUAUGACCAAAGAGAAAAAGAAAGAGCAAGGAAUAACCAGCGACACUAGUAUCUAACAAAUUCCAAACAUGUUUAUGCCUUCAAGCAUUCACAUGUCCAUUUAUGUAGAGGGAAAAAACUAAACUUUCAUUAGCUGGGACCUGAUGAAUACACCUAAACCAAAGCAAUCAAUAACAGUUGUGUAUCAAAAUUGCAAGGGAAAUUCAAACAAUAAAUCAAAGCAUGCUAACAGGUAUUAAUGAAUGAAUGAAUGAAUGAAAGAGUUACAUGAACAAAUGGGUAUACCUUUGCUACCAAAGCCUCGCGUUUUCUUUUCAGCAUAUCAUUGCUGAUGGACUGAGGCCGUUUAUUUGCUUCAGAGACUGAUUUAGCAGAACUUUGUGGAUAUCUUCCGAGCUUAGAUUUUCUUGAGGUUGCACCCUCAACAUCACUUGUUGCCUUUUCUUUCUGCCUUGAGAAUUUAGUUUUAUCUCUAUGAUGACUAGUAGAUGCAGAUUCAGGUAUGCUACUCUUGUGGUCCCCAUUUUGUGUGGUUCUUUCGUCAUCCAACAGGCAAGAUGAUUCUAAAACAAAUAUUAAAAGAGAAAAAAGAAGGAUUUAUAUUUUAAGCACAUAUGAAAAGGAAUAGCACCUCAGCUACAACAAACUAAGACCUAUAUGCAGCGCAGACCAAAGCAUAAAGUAUGUCAAAAUAGAUUGUAAUCCUUUUAUAUUAAUAAAAGAAAAUAACCAGUUUGCCAAUAUCUGCUUACAAUCAUUUAGAGAAGCCAAAACUUCAUAGAAAAAAUCAAUGCAGAAACAAAAUGCAAAAUGGAACCAUAAGAAAAUGCAGGAGAACAUUUAAUAUUUACCCAAUAUGCAACGUCAAAAUAUCAAAUACAUGAAGUAGAUAUCACAGUCCACUUGAUAACAUAUCCCUUAGACAUCCUCCUCGUCCCUUUUACUCAUAACAUCAUGUGUGUAUGCGUGUGCACAUGCACCUGCAUGCUUGUGUGUGUGUGUGUGUGUGUGUGUGAGUGAGUGAGUGAGAGAGAGAGAGAGAGAGAGAGUAACAUUCUUCCAAAGAUUAAAGAAACAAGGGAAAUAGGAAGGGAAAUAAGACAAAAGUAGUGAUCUGUUGUUUCAGCUGAAAUUGAAGAAUACAAAAUUGAUUAAUAUUCUACAUUAGGAUUUCAGUAUAAAUAUUUCUAGGAAUGAUUUCAGCAGUAAAGUUUUCUUGAAAUUAUCAUCUCUAACAAAGCAAUAUUGUACAAUAAUUCAGCAUGCAAAUGGGAUGUUGUUUGACAAGUGAUGCAAUGUUACUAAAUUAAUUACUCAUUGUACUUCAAUAUAUUUUGUCGUUUCACACAAGUAUGUACAGAACCAGAGAUGCAUUUAACAUUUACCAAAUUCCAUUGCAGAAACAAGAGCCAACGUUUGAAGACCAAUCAAGUCAGCAGGUUCAUCUGCAAAUAAAUAAGGAAAAUGUAAUACAUCAGCUGUGGGAGUACAAAUGGUUGGAUAAGUUCGUUAUCAUUGACAUAUCAUGAACAUUCUACAAACUUAACAGGAUUACAGCUAGGAGAAGCAAAUCAAUUCACAAGUUAAAAACUGUCACGUGUAUUUCCCUCUAGUUUUGCCCCAACAACAGGUUACGCAAUGAUUAUCACUACUUCACCACCCCAUGCAUUGGUGAAAGUUGAAGUCAGUUCUAGAUCUCUGGUAACUCUUCCGAAAGAUUUACCAGCUAUGCUAAUUGGUAGAAUUUUCUUGAAUGGCUGGAUCAUUCAACCAAACCAAGUGCCAGGAUGUGAAGAGGAGGGGAGGGAAAAUAUUGCAUCAUAAAACAACAGUUUAUAUCGCACCAACCUAGUGAUAGGAGAUAAGUUCACUUAACCAGGAACCCUCUCCAAUACCUAAAAAAGGCUAUCCAAGCUAUCAAUGAUAUAAAAGAGUUGAUAAUCAGGUCUGAUCUCACCUUUCAAAAAGUUGCUUCUUCAAAGACAAAAUCCAAAGCAUAUGAAGUUAUAAAAACAAGCCCACACUCAUUACAGUUCUCCAAAUAAUCCUCCUGAAUGAUAAUCCUCCAAUAGACUCCAAAUAAUCAGGACAUGGUCCAAGCAUUAACUAUUAAUAGAGCCAUAUUAAAGGAAACAACUUUCCUGAGUUCCCACAAAUUUCUUUUUAAGACAGAAACUCCAUAGUCUCCACUAUAAGCAUCAUCCUCGUUGUAUAUUAGUUUGUAAUCUGAGAAUUGAAUUCAAGAGCCAUAUCUUCCCAUUAUCUUGGGCAGACUUGCUGUAUUGAAUCCCAAAUCCCUAACAAAACACCUAACCAGAUAACUUCAAAUACACAAAUGUCAACAGAGGAAAAAAUACAAGGGCCAUAACAAGAUUUACAAUUCUUAGGAGAUGUAGCACAAAUUUCACUCCAAUGCAAGGGCAAAAGACUUCAUAAUUCACAACUUCAGAAGAAAAUGAAACUGCAAUUCUAAAAAGUCUUUUGAUUUAACGAAUGAUGAUCUCAGAUGAAACAUGCAAUGAAGUGACUAUAUAACUCUCGCCCAUGAAAAGGAAAGAUGAUUGCCAAUCCAUAACACUCAAGAUCAAGUGUGAAAGAACAGAAUUACCGUCUGAAAAAAGUUUCUUGCUUCUCUUCCUUUGGCUCCGGUGAAAGGUCUCAUCAAUUUUUGCAUUUGACAUCUCAAUUUCAACUUUUCCCUUCAAAGUGCUGGCCUUUUGCUCUUUUUCAGUGCCACUGCACGCUUCUCCACCAUCAUCAGACUGACUGUUCCCAAUCUUCUCAACUUUAAUUUUAUUUCCAUAGAACUUCUUGCCUUUUCGAUGAACUUCUACAGUACCUAUACCUUCCAUUUCCGCCAAGGAGCUUGCAUCCCUCACACAAGCAAGAUCAGGCCCCCCACGUCCUAUGCCACUUUCAGACCAAUUUUCAUUUAUGGAAGCAUCACAAAGAUUUGCUGGAGAUGAUUCAGACUGCAGAAUUCAAUUAAGGAGACAGAAAGUUAUGAUAUUGCAUAACCAAAGUAACAAUAGCCAUGGAAAAUUGGCCUACAGUAAAAUACCAUCCUAUCCCAGCUUUGAACAGGUGAUGAUUUCAUAUUUUCUGUUCUUCUACAGGGUGUUUGAGACAUUUGGGGAGAGUCUACUCUCUGCAAUGCCUCGGUUAAUGCCAGUACAGCAGCAUGCUCAUCGUCAUUAUCAUCGGCAUUGAUCUCUAACUUUCUGCGCUUCUUCUUUGGUGAAACAUAAUUUUCUCCAUCAUCUUUCUUACGCAGAUAUGAAACAGGGAAGCGAGGUGUCCUUUUCCCAACUGCAUGAAGUGGACGGCCUAAAUAUGAAUUUGAAUUCAUCAGAAACAAAAACAACACUUCAAAAGGUCAUCGCUGUUGUUAGAAACAUUUAUAUCACGCAUUAACUAUUCUGUUGAGUUCAAAUAUUUAUGAGAAAACUUAGAAGUAUAAAGGAAAGGAACAAUGCACGAAAAUAAAAAUAAAACAAAAUUGAGUUGCAUAAUCACACUAUCAAAUCAAAUUCAAUACUAAACCUUGAUGGAAAAAUCUCAGGAAAAGAAAUUCCAUGUCAGACAAAUUAAAUCUUUUGUUGUUGUAAUUCCAGUUCACAGAAAAUUACAAGAGUCAGAUUAGUUGCCUAUUCUAUCCAAUCCCUAUACAAUUGUAUUUGGACAUCAAAACCAUUGGAUUUGCAUCAUUUUCAAUAACAGGAUAUGGAUAUCGCUCCAUGUAGAUGACCACUGGGGGGAAUUCUAUACCUGUAACAGCAUCUGAUUCAUACAGUUUUCUGUUCAGCCCUAUUCCAACUGAGGAAAUAGAUUUCACUUUCAUCUCUUUUGACUCAAUUGGAUCAAAGCAAGACUCCUUCUGUGUGCUUCUUUUUUAUGCUGUCUUAGAUAACAUUGUCUCCAAUAUUUGUGGAGUGUUUGGGUGGGAGGUGCGGUAGCUUUUUUUUUAAGGUACCACCCUUUUAAAGCACACACCACACUUUCUAAAAGCAAAAAAUACAUGCUUUUUAGUAGGAGGUGUGGUAGCUUUUUGAAAAAAAACAACCACACCUCCCACCCAAACACCCACUUGAUAUUUCAUUCUGCAGCUAAAAAAUCUAAAAACAAGGGAAAGAACCAUCCCGUUUGUAUUGCUACAAAGUUUGGACCAUACUGAUAUUUCACAAUGGUGGCUUUCUAUCCAUUUACAUUAAUAAACAAAGACAGGAGGUGGAAAUUGCCUCUCCACCUUAGUAUCUUACUAAACCACUUAGAUGUCAUUAGCAUAACCCCAUAAAAGGUUACAGUUUAUGCAGUAAAAAGUAUAAAAGAAUACGGGUAAAAGAGUGAUUAGAUUAAAUUCAUUGAAAGUUUUUAGAAAAUAAAAUAGUGAAGGACAAGGAAUGUUUGGACAACAAAAAUAUAGACACUGACAGCGACAGCUGGAAUGCAUGAGCCAUCUAAUGCAUGCAAGUUGGAGACCUAAUUAAGGAAAACAAGUACGAGUACUCCUCAAAUCAUAACAGGGUGGAGAAAGGAAAAACUGGAAACAAACCAGAGUUGUGUUUUCCAUAAGCAAAGUAUAUUACCACAUCCUCUUUUUAAUAAUGAUAAGCAUCCAUCAGUUGAUCCAACCAUGCGAAAAUGUUGGGGAUCUUCUUUUGAUGCACUAAGCAGCACUUUUGGCCGCUUGUGUUUCUGAAGCUUCCUGAGUACUCCAGGCAUCUCAUUGCUUUCUCGUUCACUAUCACUUGCUUCCUGCAAGUUCAAAAUCCGGAUACAAGCAAUCAGCUUUUGAUUUAUCAGCAGACAAUAAGACAAAAUCAGGAUUUACAGCAAUUCUACUAGGUAAAUCAAAAUGCAUCUUAUAAAAUGUUUUUCUGUAACCAUCUAAUUAUCAGAUUAUGCAACUUAAUAAUGAUAAAAGACAAAAUUUAUGGUCCCUUCUUACUGUGAACACCCAUAAUGCAUCAAAUUAUCUGUCUCAUUUUCAGUCAAUUGCUGUAAAGUAUUCUCCAACAUAUCUGCUAUAAACACCAUGGCUACCAUAAAUCUAAAAGUAUCUGAAUAAUUAAAUUUUCAAUUUGCACUUCCCUGAACUCCCCUUCCCAGAGGGGAAAAAAAAAGAAAGGAACAAGAACAAAAAAUAAGAACAAUGAAGACAAUCAGAAAUUAAGUUGAACUUCCAGAUGUCAAAUGCAAUCAUACCAGAACACUAUAGUGAUCAAUCAUCAUAGCUAUAAGCCCAACUACAGAAGCUGUUCCCUCUGGAAGAGACAAGUACGCCUGAAAAAAUAUAGAACAUGGAAGAGCGACAAUGUUAACGAAGGACACCAAGACUAACUAAGGCUUCAUCUACCAUAUAAUAACCGAGAUUUAACACAGGAUACAUAUUACUUAUUCUGACGAUAUUUUCCUUUUGCAAGUUGAAGAAACUUUUUAAAAAAUAUUCCAUCAUUUUUUUUAAGCUUUUAUAUUACCUCUGCAAUCCCAUAACAUAGGCCCAACCAGGGGCCAAAAGGUAGUAUCAAGUUGUCUGGAAUCACUCUUCUUGCACUGCUAAGGCAAUGCCCAAAAUUUUACAAUGACAUCCACCUUUUGUCUUGAAAUUUUGGGUUUUGUUACCUCGUUGAAUGACAUGCGAAUAAGAAGCAACUUAUAUAACAUUCAAAAGUUCACAAACUAUUCAAUAGCUUUAGACUACAAAUCCAAAAUUAUAGAAACAGCUGACUUUAUGUCCUACUUUGGACACAUCAAAAUUCCAAGAGCUAAGGUUCUUAACCAUAUUCUAAGGAAGCCCACCCAAUUGUAAUUCUUCCAGUAAAAAUGUUCAAUAGCAUAAACAAAUUAGAUAUGAAUUGUGUUCAAUUAAGGACACUCGACACCAAAGGUUAAGAAGAUCCCGAUUCCAAUAACAAAACCACAUAAAAAAUUCUCACAGUAUGACAAAACUGUAAAGACAGAAACAACAAGAAGGACGUGUAAGCAGUGAGACUAGUGACUGAUUAAACUAGCUGAACACAAGGUACCCGAUUCAUAUUGUAAAGGGCCUCCACCAUUUCCACAGAUCUGUUGCGCACUUCAGCAGCUACCUGAUCAUCAACAACAAUAAAAAAUUAAGAUGAUACUUAAAGUGUAUGAUGAACUUAAUUUGCACAAAUUAAAGUUCAUGGAAAAUUAUCAUGCUGAAUAGAACCAAAGAAAGUAUAAUGAUGAAAAGGAGUCACGAUAACACAUAAGGCAUACUUUCUUCCAGUUCUUUCCAUUGUCCCGAUAUGCUUUGUAAAAUCGUUCAAGUUCUGCCUUCUUCCAUUGAGGUCCUAACUUAUCAGACAAUUUCUUCUUCUGGGAGAAAGCAAAAUAGUCAAUGCAUUAAAAUAUCAUUAUACAUUACAAAUUUUCUGAACGAAGAAAGUUCUUUGGAAACUCUUUGCCAUUUGUUUAAGAGAAAUAUACUAAGUCUCAAUUUUGCUAUCAUAUCUAUAUCAAGAUCAAUGAACCACAAGGCUAUGAAUAAAAAUAAAUCAAGUCUUAAAAUAACUCCGCGAGCAAUUUAACUCAGCCAACAGCUGGAUCAUAAAGAAUGAAUCAAACCAUUAAAAAACUGGUGUAAGUACACAAACACAUACAAAGCCAAUUCUCACCCCAUUCACCUGCUGUUUACUUUUGCCUGAACUCUUGACUUCUUUUUCAGGUGAUACCUCAUUCAGAAACCUCUUAUUCACACUUUUUUUCCUUGCUGGGGCCAUGGAGGACCUAUCUAUCUGAAACAAUCAAUGAACAAAUUAGCAACACCAAUUUGCUUAAAGCUUUAACAUGGACAUCAAUAACCAUCAAAAUUCACAAAAUACAUUACAUUAAUAAUAAAAAUAUAAAACUCUUCGCAAAGCAAGACGAUCUUCCACCCCAGAAUUUGAAAUAUAAUACAGUCCAAAUAUUAAAAAAAUUUCCUUCUUUUGUUUUUUUUGGUUUUUCGGAUACUUAGACUCGAGUUGGAGUUUACUAAGCUGCACUAAUUGUGGAGAAUAUUUUCCCACUCGGAUUAUAUUUAAAACCUCAGUCAAAACCCACCACAAGAAUUCAACUUUUACAACAUUACCAAAAUCACAUCAUUUUAUCAAAGUAUCAAAAGAAGCAAAAUACAUAUAUGAAAAAAAAAAUCAAUUUUAGCAAAUAGAAACAGAGGAAUCACAACAAAAUACGCAAGGCUAUUAAGGAAACACUUCAAAAGAGAAUCGAAAGGAAAAAACCACCCAGUGCCAUUACCAUAUAUCACAGUUUUCAAUCAAAAAACAAAAAAUAGACCCCCCAAAUUUCAAAUUUUCAGAUUUUUUUUUUUAAAUGAAUUUCAGAAACAACUAAAAUAAUUCAAAAAUAAACCCCCCAAAAUUGAAAAAAGAAAUUCAAAUUCAAAACAUCACCAAAACCCAAAAUUUCAAAUUUGACUAAAAUUCAAGCUACAAUUCAAAACCCAUCUCCAAAAUCCCCUCAAAAAACAACGAAAACGAAUAAAAAAACAAAAAUCAAAUUUUGAAACCAAAAAAAAAAAAUUCAUAGUAAAGCCCCAACAAAAAUCUCAAAAUUACUCCUCUAAAAACCCUAAUUCACAGAUCCGAUACUGUACACUUACAGAUUCAGAGUAAUUGAUAUCUGGGUAUAAAUCAUACAGUGAAACAAAGGGCUGUGAAGAGAGAAAAAUGCAAGCUUUAAGUUCAUGUGUUAUAGAGAAGGGUUUCUUAGAGAGAGAAAUAAAAGAGAGUUUUCAAAGUUGCGGAAAAGAGAGGCUCUUUUAGAGAGAGAAAGAGAGAUGUUGCCGCGAAACUUGAAUAUAAAGGUGGGCUGGCCAAUCAGAUGUUUUUUCUGUAUAUAUUUUUUUGUUUCGUUUUGUUUUUCUUGUUUUAUACAGUGUUUUUUGUUGUUAAUCACCGUACACGUUGGUGUGUGGGGUAUUGUAUGGUAUGAUCUUGUGGUUAUUGGUUGGGGUUUGAAGGGAUAAUUAUAGCAGAUUCAAUUUGAAAUUUUUUUUUGUUUGCUGUGGGAAUGGCCCUUGAAUUUAUGGGUAUUUGUACUUGGUUACCAUAAAGUUUUAGAAAAAUGGGCCUCGAAGUUUUCUAUUGAGAGAUGGUCCCUCAUUUGAAUCUUCUGCACAAAGUUUUUAAACCGCACAAUCCAUGACACAACCUAAGGCUCGCAUUAUGGGUUAGAUAAAUUUAUAUAUGUGAAUUUAAAAUUGUGUUAUUUUAAUUAUUUAUAAAAAAAUUAAAAUAAUAUCAUUUAAAAAAAAAAUCAGAUUGAGUUUUGACAAUGUUGUAAGUGGGCUCAUUGAGUCAAUCAAGUUUUAAUUGAAUUGAUUUUUAUAUGGUUUAAUGUAAAACUCGAUCAACACCAAGUUUUUUAUUGAGCUUGUGUAUCGGUUGAGUGGGUUAAGUCGAGUCAAUUUAAAAUGAUUUAAAAAAACAAAAUGAUUUUUUUAAAAAAAAAAUAUUAAUUUGAUAUUUUUUAAGAUGAAAAAUAAUUUUAAAAACAGAAACAAACAAAAUGCCAAAUAGAAACUUAGUAUUGAACUAAUAAACUCCUCCGUAAAUUUAUUAGCCUUCAACAUUUAUUCUCGUAAAAGAAAAGAAAGGACACCAAUAGCACCAAGCUCAAACUCCUCGCUCCUUGCCAUCCCCAGCAUUUUCAGCCCUGCCUUGCCUUGUUACACACCACCCUCAUUAUUAAUGUCAAUAGGAACCUAUUUUCAGGAAAAAUAAAUAAUUAUAAGCUAAUUCAUUUUUCUUUUUUUCCCAUAACAAUGAUAAUUAUUAUUAAAUUCACCAAUAAAAAAAAUUACUGAUUUGUUACCUUUUCAAUCAGUAAAGCUAAGAUCCCAUUUGGACCAAGAUCAGCAUGGUAAAGUGACCAACAAGCAAUUUUGUCACCAACUUUGAAGUCACUCUUCACAAGAACUUCAGCCCAAGCAAUCUUUUCCAAUCUGAAAUUCUUGACUGCCCUAUCAUAGUAAAUUGCCACCCAAAUCUUAUUCCUUGGUGGUGUGUAGAUCUCAAUUUCUAGUCCUUUGAUCCCAAUUUCAUCGAGCAUGGGUUUUGGUAGAGUUGUUAAGAAGCUUUUUGAAUCUCCAACAAGAACUAAACCUAGCAUGCCAUCUUGAGUCAUGGUUUCUGUGAAUAAAUGUUCUAGCUCCCCACCAAUUGGAUAGUGUUGAAUCUGGUUAGGUUGAGGAGUAGCCAUGUUCUUGAAUUAGGUUUUUUUUUUUUUUUUUUGGUAUGUUACCCUCUUGAAAACCACCUUGAUGAUUUGAAACUAAAUAUAGGUAAAUGAAUGUUGGAAUACUUAAUAGAAUGCAUGACUAACAUAUAUAUGAACUGUGAAGAAGGCAUGACACAUAAAUCAUGACAUUAAGAGGGAUGAUACCUUGUCUCAAAUUCGAUAAAUAUUAAUAAUAAACAUUAUCAAAUUUGAUAUAUCAUAUUUAAAUAUAUAGAGAAUAAUUAUAUUUUUAAUCUUAUAGUGUCUGUGUACUUUAUAUUGACAUAAUAAACACGUGUGUGUGUGUGUGUGUAUUACUUUAUUAUUUUAUAUUAAAUAGUAAUAUUUGGGUAAUGGACAUCAAAAUAAAUACUCGAAACUUAAUAAAUAAAAUUUAAAUUUUUUUUCUUGAUAAAUAAUAAAUAAGAUAUAAAUAUAAUAAAAACAUGAUCUAUGAAUAGUAUAUUCAAUCUUCAUCGAACAUUACUAAGAAGACAUUUGUUUCUUCAGCAACUCAAGUUCACUAAAAUCACAAUAAAAAAUUCCCUACUAGUAGCAUAUUUGACAAUAAAGAUGGCUUAGCCAGUUAUAAUUUUUUUUUUUUUUUAAAUAUUAAAUAACUAUAUUAUUAUUUUUGCUUUAAAGGAGUGUGCUAGACUGGUGGAUAAUCACUGUACACGUGUUAAGUGGAGUUUGUGUAAGUAGUGGUGAUCAUUUUCGGUUCGAUUUGGUUUUUAUAAAAAAAAAUAAUCAAACCAAUUUUUUUUUAAAUCGAAACCGGUUCAAAGCGACCGGUUUCGGUUCGGUUUGGUUUUUUAGGACAAAAGCCGGUUCAAACCAGUUUGGUUCUGUUUUUUUGGUUUGGCUCGAUUUUUUCUGGUUUGGCUCGGUUUUUUUCUGGUUUUUUUUGUUUGGGUUCGGUUCAGUUUUUUCGGUUUCAGACUUAUAAAACCGAACCGAUCGGUUUUUUCAAAAUUUUAAUCGGUUUUUUUUCACGGUUCGAUUUUUUCAAUUAUUUUUUUUAAUUUUAUCAGUUUAAUCAGUUUUUUAGUUUUUUAGUUACUCUCAUUUACUCCCAUGUGAGUAUUAUGUGUAUGGCAUGAUCUGUGGUUGUUUCUGGCACGAGUGAAUAAUUAUACCAGAUUUAAUUUGAAAUUUCGCUACACAAUGUUCCCUGAAUUUAUAUGUAUUGCAUUUAUCUCCCUAGAGUUUUGAUAAUUAACGACUUUUACACUUUGUUUGGACUUAGGCGUUACUGUAAACUAAGGACGUGGCAAAAUAAUCACCCUACGAUUGGUAUUAAAAUACGAUCACCACAUUAUAUAUUUUCUCAUGUUAAUUUUUUUUUUAUGUAAUUCAAGAUAUUGAUGGUAACGGUCAAGAAAAAAUUAUGAAGGCAAUUAACGUUAUCUACAAUGAUAUUAAAUUAGGUAUAUAAUCUCAUUAUUAGGAAAAGUAUGCGUAUAAUCCAAUCAAAAGAGUUAUAAAUAUAUAAUCUCAUUAUUAUUAUUAUUAUUUUCUCGUGAUUUCUUGGAUAUCACUUGUAAUAUUUUAGUUGUUUUAUUUUCUUCUUCACUCUUUGAUUUUAGAAGUUAGAUUUUUUCUUCUAUUGCCACUUUUAUUUGUAAGAGGAUUACUUGAUGGUAUAAAUGCCACAUUAAUUUUGAAAAUUAAUAAAAAUUAAUGGCUUGGCAUUUUCAAUUGAGUUUGUCAAAGACAUGCAUGUUUGUAUUACAAAACUACUAACACCAAAACUUUUAAUCAUAAUUGUUAGAUUUAGGGUGUGUUUGUUUUUGCAGUUAAAUCCGUUUUGUUUUUCACUUGAAAAUCAUCAAACUAAUGAUUUUUAAGUGUUUUUCGAUGGAUUUAAUAGAUAAAAAAAAUAAAACAACAUUAUUUUAAUGUUUUUUCGAUUAAAAAACACCUUUUCAAAAAAACACUUUACACCGCAUUGCCAAAUAUACACUUAGGCCAUGUUUAUCUACUGAAAAAUAAUUUUAUUUUGGAAAGUGAUUUCUAUGCAAAGUGAAUUGCAGAAAAGUGAGUUAUUUUUUUUUAUAUGUUUGCUAGUGCAAUGGAAAAUGAGUUUAAAAACAAUUUCUAAUACUUGGUUAUGUCAUAAAAAAUAAGCUGGAAAAUAGCUUAUUAAUAUUUUAUUAAAAGAAUAUGAAUCAAAUCCAACAAAAAAAAAGUUAAAGGAUGAUGAAAUUUAAAAAAUUUAAUUUCAUAAACUAUUUCAAAUAAAAAAAUCAAAAGAAUGGAGACGAAAUCUAAAAGAUAAAAACGUUGAAAGAGGAUAAAAUUAAAAAAUAUAUAAAUUUUAUAAAUUAUUUCAAAUAAAAUAAAUAACAAUCAAAAGAAUAAGAAUAAAAUUUGAUAGAUAAAAAAAUUUUAAUUAGAAAAAAUGAUAAGAGAAAAACAAAUAACAAUCAAAAGCACGACAAUCAAAAUUGAUAUAAAAAUCAAAUUCUGAGGGACAAAAUUGAAAAAAAAAUAUUAAAAAAAUAUAACAAUCAAAAGAUUAAAGAUCAAAUUUGAUAUAAUCAAUAAAUAAUAACAUAGUUUUUAAUUUUUCACAACUUUUAGAAAAUAUUUUUUUGUCCAAAAUAAAAGAAAAAAAAAGUUUAAAUUGCUAAGUUGUAAUUUUAACUUACAGGUUAAUUGUUCUGUUUGGGAUUGUGGUUGCGAUUGCUUUUUAAAGUACUUUUCAUGCCGAAAUGCAUCAAAAUGAUAUUUAAAAAAAAAUUAUUUUUGAGAUUAAUGCAUCAAAACAAUUCAAAACAUAAAUAAAAUUAACAAAAAAAAUUUUUGAAUUUUUUGAAAACCAUCCCCGUUUAGGUUUUGGAUCAUAAAUUUUUGAAUCGACCUGUCAUGCCGCGCUAAGUUUAACAACCAUGUUAUUAACAUAUCAAUGGUUUCAACUUAGCCGACAUGUCAUUUAAAGAUUCAAGAUUGAGUACUUGCGAGGCUAUUAACUAAUGUUUCUUUAGUUUUAAAAUAAUCUUUUCAAUUCAGUUGUUGUAUCUUGCAUUUUUAUAAGCAAGCCCUACUUCUUAUAGUUUUUAGACGAGUCCGGUCUAAGAUCAAGGUUCCGGAUUUUGAUCGGGUCAUCGGGUUGCCCGGAUCAAUUCUUUUUUUUUUUUAAAUCAAAACGAUGUCAUUUUAGUAAAAAAAAAAAGUUAACGGGUUGCAACUGAGUUUUUGACCGGAUCUUGCCGGGUCAACUGGGUCGCCGGGUCAGCCGAGUCACACCGGGUUUUUCCUUCCCCGGUUUUUUCUUCAGCUUGACCCGGUUCCAGCCCCGAUUCGGUCGGGUCCCGGGUUGACCCUCCAGACCGAGUUUUAAAACUAUGCUACUUCUUGAAUUUUUAAAAAUGUUGUUAUGCAAAUUAAAUAUGAUUUUAGAAUUGAUUUUUUUACUUCAAAUCAUAUUUUUUUUUUCAUAAGCAAUAAACUGCAUUACAACGUAGAAAUAAUUAAAAUUUAUCUUGAAUCAAGAGAAAGUGUGCAUAAUUAACCAGGAUAUCAUAGAGUAAUAAUUUCAUGUACAUGCUAUAAAUCUUACUUCAAAUCGCAUUUUAUCAUUCAUAUUGAUGUUUAUAAAUUAGAAAUCAAAUCAAUACACUUCUUUAUAGUUAUAGAAUUCUUAAGAACUCUUGCGUUAACCUAACUUGCGUAGUAUUGACUAGCAAUAAGAUCAAACUUAACUAUGCACCCAUUCCCAAAAGACGUUUCUUUGACCUGAUUUAUUACAUGGCUAAGAUAUAUCAAGCAUUCCAAUAUUUACACUAUUAUUUUAAAAUGUUAGUUAUCAAAUCUCAAAUAUAUCAUGAUCUACAUUAUUAUUUUACUUUUUUAAAAUGUUAAUUAUUAAAAGAAAUUAUGUUAUUAAACUUUAUAAAGUCCAUGAACAUGUUUACAAGUUUGGCUAGUUGAUCUAGUUUAUGGGUUUGACAAGUUUAACUAUUUUAUUUUUUUCAUCCUUAAAUAUUGGAUUAAUUGAGAAUUUAGUUUUAUAAUUGGUCUCGUUUCACCUUUUAAUUAUGAGGUUAUCACGGUCUAAAAAACAAAUCUAGGUACUGGGUUGAUAUUUGAUUUCGUAAUUGUCUAUUUUUGUUAUUAUAUAGUUAAAUAAAAAAAUAGUUUCGAAAAAAAAACAAAUUAUAAUCCUAAUGGAACCCUUAACCCGGUUCACAGUUUGACAUGCUAACCCGGGUUACCCGAUUCAUAUGUUUGACGAGUUUGCCCAAUAAUAGAAUAUGUUUUUUUUUUGUUUUGGUCUUUUAAUUGUUUUUUUCUCGAUUUUAUCUUUUAAUAUUGAGUUGAUUGAGAAAUAGACUGCACUGAUUUUUGUUUUGCUUUAUAUAAGGAUAAUUGUCUCAAAUAAAUAUCUAUUUUUAGGUUGGUGUUCAAUUUUAUGAGCAUCUAUUUUUAUCAUAUAAUUAAAUAAAAAUAGUUUAUAAAAAAAGUUAUUAAACCCAAUAGAGUUCAUGACUAGGGUCGCGGGGAGACCGAGGUAGAUUUAAUUUGUCAUUGUCUCAACAUUUUUUUGAAAAAAAAUAUGUCAUCUUAAAGUUUUUUUAAAAGUUAAGUAAUGUUUUUACCGAUUAUCAAUGUUGCAUUUGGACCCAUGAAAUUGAUCAAUUUAAGUCGAGCUAGCUCCCAUGUGGUUUAAUUAGAAACUCAAGUUAGACAAAGAAUUGAGUCAGGAGGUUUUAAAAUUAAUAUUAUAAAAAAAUCUUCUUACUCUUAAUAUUUUUUAUAUUUUAAAAAUAUUAAUCCGGUUUAUGGUGGAGCCCGAACCAAUAAACUAGUGUAAACUAAAAGGAAGAAAAGAAAAUCACAUGAAUCAUGCAUAUAAUAUUUAAGAACAAUCACAUUAUUCUUGCUGAUAAUGUUUAGUGCCCAAAUUUAAGUUCAUUGGUGAUAUCGAUCACAAUUAAGUAGCCUUUCGUUGAAACUUCGAAUAUAUAUACUACGGUACCUAACAUAAAUCUGCCCAACUCCCUGCUAAUCAUGAGCCAAUUAUCAGUAAUUAAAUCCAUCUAGGCCUAGAACUUUAAAAACCAUUUGAUCAAUCAUCAAAGAAUAAACGAUUGUAGUCAUGUCAAAAGGGAUUCUUCCUCGAAAAAGCACAAUUUUAUAUGGUUAUAAAUGAGAUUAUUGCUCACAGCAAGAUUGCAUUAUCUAUGUAUAUUAAUUUAAUUAGAGAAAAAAAUCAUGUCCCCAUCAAAAAAUGGAAAUUAAAAAGCAUGUUAUAAAGAUAAAAAAAUAAAAUAAAAAAUAAAAUCAGUUCCAUGAACUUGACUACAAAUAAGCAAUGCAUAUAAAAUACGCCAACACUGCCUUGCAUAGAUUAAUUAAUGGUAUGCAGGGCCAAAUUACACUGAACCACUAUACACGCAUCACUUAAAAAGAAAGAGGAUGCCGAAACAAAUCAAAUGAUAUGGGAGAAUUACAAUUACAACCACUGAAGCCAGUCACACGUGUUGCAAGAAAGCGGCGGAGCAAUAGACGCGUGCAAGGCACGCGUCAACAGCUUUUUUGUUAUUUUCCUUAUUUGUAUAAAAUCAAAAAGGCCAUUGAGACUAAACAAUAAUAAUAUACAAAACCACGAUGAAAUUACAAUUAAACCCUUGGAGUCAUGGUUAAUAAAUUUGAAUGAUAAGGAUAAUAUGAUACUUUUACUGUUCUAUCAAAUAUAAAAAUACAAAAACGUCUUUAUACAUGUAAUAACCCAAUUUUGGAUUCUUCAAAUUUUCUUUAAAUGUUAUUUUAUUUUUCAAAAAAAAGAAAAAAAGCUUAAAAUUCAAAAAUAUAUUUUUCUCGGGUCAACCGUCAUUUUCCAUAAAAAACGAGCCCGUCGGAUCAAUACGAGUCAAACCAUGUCGACCGAAAUAAAAAUUGAGUUUCAGGCCGUUUCGGGUCAAACCCGUCAUUUUUGGUCAAAACCGAGUCCGUCGGGUCAAUACAAGGCAAACCAUGUCGAUCGGGAUAAAAAUUGAGUUUCAGGCCUUUUCGGGUCAAAAUCGUCAUUUUUGGUUAAAACUGAGUGCACCGGAUUUAUACGGGUCAAACCUUGUUGACCAAGAUAAAAAUUGAGUUUUAGGCUAUUUUGGAUCAAAACUGUUAUUUUCUAUCAAAAUCCGGUUCACCGGGUUGAUACUGGUUAUUUUUUUUUUAUGGUGUUUGAAAUUAAGUUUUCGGUAAUCAAAGUUAAUUUUUAGCGGUUGAACGGGCAUUUUCUAAUACUAAUCUGCGUUUUAGUUUUACCCACUAUAUAUAUAUAUAUAUAUAUAUAUAUAUAUAUAUAUAUAUAUAUAUAUAUAUAUAUAUAUAACAAAUCAAUAAUGCAUAAAUAUUUACUGUAGUAGUUGGUGCAGUUGAGGCAUGUGAAAUCUUUUCUUCGGACAAAGCCGUGUCUCCUGGUUAUAAAUGCCCUGUUCCCCUAGGCCCUAGUCAUUGGCUAUAAAAGCCAGUAAAAGAGAACAGAAAGGAAGAAGUGAAUCCUAAUGCUGAUACUAUUAAUGUUUUUUUAGUUUUUCUUCACGCGAGUAAGGUAUUGAUUUUUUUUAAAAACAAUUUAAAAAAUACCAAAAAAUAUCCUAACAAUUAAAUCAAAUAGUAUUUAGUUCUGGAUCCUUGAUUAGAUCUGAUCAAAUAGGGCAAAGUACACUGGAUUAAAACCCAAAUCCAUCUCAGCUCUUUAAACGGUCUGUCCUUUGAUCCUGUCUUGCCACAUCACCUGGUGUACCAAGCCUCAGGUGCAUCCUAUCACACUAUCACACUGAAGCAAAGAUCUAACAAUCGGGGCCGUGUAUUAAUUUUCAGAUCAAGCAAACCGUAGCCGUAUGAUCAAUUCAUAACUGAUCAACGGUCCAUGAGGUCCGAUGCACCUGCUUACCAUGCUAACGUUCGCACCAUAGCAGAUCUCAGAGAUUCUCCCUCCUCUCGCCGGCGAUCCUCUCUCUACACGGAUCUCCCAACUCCGGCCACCUAAAGAGUCCGGACCACCACAGAAAGGUUCCUCACCUCCUCGCUAGAAAACCCCAGGUGUUUUUCAUCGCUUUCUCCGCCGUAUCUUUUCGAAAAAAGACCGCGACAUCUUCAGCCACCCGAAGCUUCAAACCGUCGAUUCUCUCUCAUCAGCCAUCAACAGCCAUCGAAAACACCCUCAUCAGAAUCCUCUCCCCCAGAUCUACCAUAAUCUACCCUUUUUUGGCCCGGAAUCUCGCCGAAGAAUUUCACAUCUCCAACAGUGGCCGCGCGUGAGCUAUACGCGCCACAGGGGUAUUUUCUUAAUUUUCUGAGAAGUGCAAGGGUAUUUCAGUCUUUUACCUAUACAGUGGCACUCAGGUGAUUUUGGGGGUUCCUAGUGGUAUUUUAUUUAUUUUUUAUACAAGUAUUUGUAAAAUUUUCUACCAUAAAUAAAUAUAAAAGGAAUAACAAUGCUGGUCCAACAUCCAUUUUAUCCCGUCAUCGUGCGUGGGUUCGAAGCCCAAUUCUCAAGUAUGAGUUAUACUCAUUUUUUAGGGAUACCAACAUAAUAUUUCUUUUUAGGAUUGAACAUUGUUUGUUGAAACGUUUUUUUUUUACAAAAAAAGAACCGUUGUCAAAAGUUUAAAAACAAAAUAUGGAUUAUGUCCAUUGUUUUUUUUUUUUUUGCAACUCAGACUUAGCUCUUUUUUUUAGGGUUAAAUGUCAACAUUUUAGACAAGUUUUCUAUUUUUAGGGACUGAUGUCAUUUUUUGACGUGUUUACUAUUUUUAGGGACCUACGUUAACCAUCUUUAAAAACAAAUUGCAAAUAAGUUCAAAAAAUAUUAUAGCAUUUGAAUAAAAUAAAAUAAAACACAAGUAAGGGUAACCUUUUUCUUGAAAGGAUGUUUUGAGGGUGAUGUCUACCUUCCCUUAAUCAUAAAUAACUCAGUACUUGAAUCUCUGGGACCAAUGUCUAAUUUUGAAUUUCUAGUUCCUUCAAAUUAUUAGAUGGCGACUCCAAUUAAAUCUUUAUUUUUCCCGAUUAUUUUUUUUGUUAAAUAGAAAAAGUGGAGUCGUCGCGCGACGUCGUGUAUCGACAAAAACAAAUGUAUUAGAUUAUUUUAUUCAAGGGUUACAUUAGUAAUUUUAUUGUGCAUUAAAAAACAUAACCCCAUACAAUCCUUAAAAGACAUUUAUAUCAUGGUGAAAAGACCAACCUAACCCCAAAACCAAGUUAAAAGAUUAAAUGACUAAUGAACAAUAUAAUAAUUAUAUUAUUGUAAUGAAUAGUAAAUUAUGCUACGGGAAAUUGAACAACCGCGUACAAUCCUUAAAAAAAAUUUAUAUUAUUGUAAUCGACUAAUCUUACGGGUCCUGAAGUUAAUGAUCAUGUAAGUCUUUCAGUGACCCUUAGGUUUGUGAGACUCAAACAAGUGACCUCUAAGAUGAAGUACCUGUUUGGCAUUGCGGUUGCGGCGGCGAUUAGAAAUAACAUUUUUAUUUCACAUGGGUCCCACUCACAUGUCCAAUCUCAGUUUUUGAAAAGCAAUUUACAAUUGCUUUUCUGUCCGUGUUCUCCUCUCUUUCACCGACACUGCUAAUUAAUUAACACAACUUUCCCAACCCGAGCUGUUAUCCUCUGUUCCCUUCCCCUCUAUUCCUUAUGCAUGAGUUGACCGAUUCUAAUUUUUCUCAUCACUUAUCUAUUAUCACUAUUAUGUUUUUCAUUUUUCUUUGGUUAACACCACAAUAAGCUCUCGUAUCAAUAUCACUAUUACAAUUUGAAAAGUCAAGACCUAUGCCAUAACCAACACGACAACAUCUCCCACAUUAAAGCUCUCUUAUUAUUUAAAAAUGGACUUGUAUAUAUAUAUAUAUAAAAUGUUCUUUUCAGUAAUUUUACAAUCAAACCUCAUACAAAAAGCAUAUUAACCAAACAUAAUAAAUUAUUUUUUUUUUCAACCAUAUUUUCAACCGUAAUUUUAACAAAACACAUCAAAAUUAAAAACAAACCUUAUAGAAAAUACUUUUUAUUAAACUGUUUUUUUUAAAUUACAACCACAACCAACUAAAAUACCAAACAGACACAAAAUAAUCCAAAUGAGAGAGAAAAUCAAGUUUUUUUAAUCUUACUCUUCAUUUGGAUUAUUUUAUUUCCAGUAGAUGGCUUGUCUUAAUAAUGCAUCUGUAUGGGGAAUCACCCAAAUUACGCGUUCCUUGUCGUGGUUUCGUAGAAGGAAAGUGAAAAUCCACGGAAGAAUCUGUAGAAAUGACUUCUUACUUGUCAACUACAAGGGGGGAAAUAAAAAAGAGACGAAGCUUAUCAUUUCAGAUUUCAUCAUGCAGAGAAUACCCCAAACAUUGGGAUUUUUUUUUUAAUUUUAUAAUCAUCGUUUGAUUUAUUGAAAAGUAGUUAUUAGCUAUUUAAUUAAUGACUAAACAACCGAAAAUAAGAGUUAAUACGGAAGAAGCAAUAUAAAGAAAAACGAAAUACAAAAAUCUCUAUUUCCUUAACUACUUAACUUCUGGGAUUUAAUUAGACAAAGGAAUCAAUUUAGCUCCCCGCAAGUUAUGCAUUAAACAGUAAUGGGGUGAAAGCAACUCAACCUAUAAACAUAUUAAUCAAACUAAAUUGAUGUAUUUAGAAUCAAAUUACAGGAGACUCAGUUAAUCAAUUCAUGCAACAUUAACAUUAUUCUAAAAGGUGUGGGGAAAGUACUGAAGCCAUGUUUUUUUGUUUUUGUUUUUUCAUUUUUUUUGUUUGUUUUUUUUAUAUAUAUUUUUUUCUUCUUUUUCCCACAUUUUUUUUUGUUUUUUACCCUUUUUUUUCGGGCUUAAAAUGUUUUUUUUUCUUUUUUUUUUCCAAGAUUGUCUUCUUUUUUUUUUUAAAUUAUCUUUGUCGAUUUUUUUAAUAUGAAAUUGGUUGAAAAUUUAGUUAUGUAGUUUUUUUCUUUAAAACAUUAUGGAUUCCUACAAUGUUUCCUUACAAGGCUUUUUUUAUUUAUUUUUUUAUGAAUCUUCUUCUUUCUUUUCUUUUCAAAAUGGUCUUUGUCAAUUUUGUUUUAUAGUUUUUUUCUUUAAAACACUAUGGAUUGUUACAAUGUUUUCCCAUAAGGUUUUUGUUUUGCUACAGUGUUUUCCCACAUGUUUUUUUCAAAAUUAUCCUUGUCAAUGUUUUUUUAAUAUUGAGCUGGUUGAGAAUUCAGCUUUAACUUUCCCCACAUGUUUUUUUUUUCAUUUUUUUAAUUUUUUUUCUUUUUUUUCCAAAAUUGUCUUCUUCUUCUUUUUUUUUCAAUUUUUUGUGUUUUUUUUUCAGAAUUAUUUUUGUUAAUUUUAUCUCUUUAAUAUGGAGCUGGUUGAAAAUUUAGCUUUGUAGUUUUUUUUCUUUAAAAUAUUAUUGAUUGCUACAGUGUUUCCCCGCAUGGUUUUUUUUUUAUAUUUUUUUAUGAUUUUUUUGUUUGUUUUCCAGAAUUGUCUUUGUCGAUUUUUUUUUUCAUAUUGAGCUGGUUGAGAAUUUAGCUUCGUAGUUUUUUUCUUUAAAACAUUGUGGAUUGCUACAGUGUUCCUCCACAUAAUUUUGUUUUCUUAUGAUUUUAUUCAAAAUUGUCUUUAUCGAUUUUAUUAUUUUUAAUAUUAAGCUGAUUGAGAAUUACAACUGUAAAUUUCCUAAUGAAAUACUAUAGAUUGCUACAGUGUUUUCCUGCCUGGUUUUUUUUUCCUUUUAUUUUUUUUGUUAUGAUUUUUUCUAAAAUUUUCUUUGUUCAUUUUAUUUUUUAAAUAUUAAUAUGGUUAAGAAUUUAGCUUUGUAGUUUUUUCCUUGAAAACAUUGUGGAUUGCAACAGUUUUUUUUCAUAGAAUUUUUUUUUAAUUUUUUGCAUAAAUCCAUAAUAAUACAUAAACAUACCACAAGCCCGCAGCAUCGCACGGGCAUGAUAUAUAGUAAGUUAACCAAUUCACGUAACAUAUAAGAUAAUAUUGAUGGAUUUGGGACCGCAAGAGGGACAGGGACCAAGCCGAUGCAGAGGUAGAAUUAAGAGGAGGCAAAAACGGGUCUCAAAGAAAAAAUAUAUUGACGGAUUCUGUAGGUUAGUUUUUUAUUGCUUAGUAAUUAAGAUGUAGUAUUUAAAUAGGUGGGCCCUUCUAAUGUAAAUAUAUUUGUUAUCUUUGAUUUAAAAACUAUCUACGUGGAAAGAAAAAAUAUGAAGUUAUAUGGAUUUUGCUGUUUACUCUCAGCUACAGCCCUAAUAUAAAGAGUAAAAUAUAGAAAUAAAAAUAUAAAUUGCGAAUAGAAAGAUUGAACUAAAUCGCCAUCAAUUAAUUGUUCUUUCAUCAAAUAAAUCAAGGUAAUUAAGCAUUGCUAACCCCAAAUUUAAAAUUUAUUUUUGUUUUGUUUUAAGAUGUAUGAAGUAAAUCGCUAUCAAUUAAUUGUUCUUUCAUCAAAUAAAUCAAGGUAAUUAAGCAUUGCUAACCCCAAACUUAAAAUUUAUUUUUGUUUUGUUUUAAGAUGUAUGUUAAGAAUUUGAUGAUGAUUUUUUAUAAUUAUAUUAUUUUUGCUUCUUUUUGUUUUUUUCCUCACGAUAUAUGUUUUGAUUUUAGGUUGAACCAUGAACAAAAUAAUAAGAAUUGAUUCUUUUUUUUUUUGAGAAAAAGAGAACAAAUAUUGAUAACUCACAGCCUAGUGAACCAAUUCCAAUGUGUAUUGUUGAAGUUAUGGUUGAGCAACCUCAAUGUGCUUCAGUUUACGAAGAACCUACAUUGAUUAGUGAACAACCUUUUACUAGAAUCGACAUUGCUCAUUUAAUUAGAAAUCCAAGUAAUCGUCCUCAAAUUUAGGAAUACGGGGUUAAUCAACAAAAUAAAAUUCAAAGGGUAUACAUUUAAAAUCAAAUCAACAUAGUUAAUAAUAAAUUUAUGGAAGUUUUAAAUUAAAAGAAUUCACACAAAAGAUUGCAUUAUAAAAUAAUAUAAAAUCAUCAUCGAAAUAUUAGCUUGCUACCAUGAGACAUGGAGCAUUCAUUUAUGAUUUUCCAUCUACUUCUAUAAGUAUGAGAGUUGACCCUUCCCAUUGUACGUGGUCAUGACGUUUCAAUGAAAUUAAUCUCUAGUCAGUUAAAGUGUGGGAAAAAUAAAAAAGAGACGAAGCUUGUCGUUUCUAACUUGAAAAUGCAAAGAUUACCUCUAAAAUUUGGAAUUUAGUCGAAGGAAUCAAAUUAGCGGCGCCCUGCAAAUUAUGCGUUGAGCAUUUAUGGGCUGGAUUCAACUCAACCUAUAAAACAAAUCAAACUAAAUUGAUGCAAGUGGAAUGAAAUUAGUAGUGGGGACUAAGUCAAUCAAUUCGUGCAACAUAAGUUAAUAAAUUCACCUAACAUAUAGAAGACAUGCUGAUGGUUUUGGAACCGCAGGAUGAUAACCACUUUUUUUUUUAAAAAAGAAGAAGCUUAUUUGUUUUAUUUUUUAAUGGUAAAUAAUUAUUUUACCUUUAACAAGUUGUUUUGUUUUUAUUUGACGAGCUAUGUUCAUUCUAAAAUUUUAACCAGAUUUUAUUCAAUAUAUUUUAAGAUUUUUCAUAAAAUUUCAGCUCAAUCUGAUGGCUGGAUUGAAAAUUAUGCCAAAUAACGUAGAACUGGUCAAAUUGUAAUUUUUCAUCAAAUUUCUGAAUUUCUCCAAAAAUUAUAAAAUUUUAACCCAAGCUAAAGCAUCAUAUUAGAAGGCUCCACGCAAAUUUUCAGAAUUUUUUAAUAAUUCAAUCGAGAAUUAUAAAUUUUUUUUACAUAAAACUAGUAAAAAAAUAUUGAUAAAAUCUUGACAUGGGCUAUAAUUAACCCACCCAAGCCUUUAGCAUGCCUCCGCCCUUGUCUCUAGUAGCCCUAAGAUUUGUGAGACUCGAACUGGUAACCUCUAGAAAACAAACCUAAAAUCUGACCAAUUAAACUACACAUCCCUGUCAUGAUUGAUGGAUAUGAAUUAUUGUACACCAAAGCUGAUGCAGUAAUUAAGAUCUUGGAAGAUUAAAGUAUCAAUCAAAACCAGAUUCACAAUGCGUCUAAUCUGUAAUUGUUAAGUAUCGAAGAUAAAUUUUUUUUAUUAUAGUCAAAACUAAUACAAGUUUUGAAUAAUUCUCAAACCCAAUACUUACCAUAAUAUAAUAUUUUCUUGCUAGUUAUCUUUAUAGCACACAAGAACAUCAUGCAAUAUCAUCUCUAAAUUAAAAAAAAAAAAGGUCUAAGUACAGGCAUAUUUAUAAAUAAAGAACAUGUUUUAAUGGGAAAAUGAUUAGUAUAACACUAAAACCUAUAAGAAUUCUUUUUUCUAUACAAAAACAAUCUUACAUUUAUAAAGUCUUCAUUAUUUAAUGCGAAAUCUUAAUCCAUAAAAAACUAACUAUUACGUACAAGAAUACAUAUACCUUGUUAAUUAAAUCCCAACCACGUCUUCAACAUUUCCAAACUUGUUAAUUAGUUUUGCCAUCCUAUCAAAUUAUGAACGUAUUGACAUGUGUCCCUUGUUAAUUAGUCUAUUUGGGUUGUUACAUAGUAAUAUAAAAUAAGAAAUAUGAUUAGAUUCUUGUCCCACAAUUUAAUUCUUGAAUUGAGAUAACUUCUUAGUAUAAUAUUAUCAUUGAAUAAUUUCUACGGACACCACGAUGGGAGGAAUGUAGCAGGUGAAACACAUUUAAGAAAGAUCAAGAUAAAAAAAAUAACCAAUUAUAUAGGUACUAUUUUGUUAUUAUUUCAAGGUAAAAAAACAAAGAGAUAAUCGAAAUAAAAAUAAAAAUAUAAAAUAAAUAUAUUUUUAUGAUAAUUAAUUUUGCAGUAAAUUUUUAUAUUUUAAAAAUAAAAAUUACAAAAAAUAUAUCCUUUUUGUCUCUUUUAUUUUGAUAUAGUAAUCAAAUUCUACUGCAAUGAUUACAUGCAAUUAUUCAAUAUAUAUAUUGGUUUAGAUUCCUAUCAAAAGAAGAUGAAUACAAAUUUUACUUGAUCAAUGUCAAAGAACCAUCUCAAUUCAAUAGUUUAAGUUGUUAGGGAAGGUCCCAAUAUAUGAUUUAUAUUAUUUUUUAACACAUCCUCUCAAGUGAAAGCCCUUUGAGCCUGAAAUUUGCACAGACUCCAUUACUUUGUGCUUGAUUUUUAUCAAAUAAAUGGAAAUGGUAAGAUUUGAACUCGUGACCGCUUAAUCAUCAAGGCUCUGAUACCAUGUUAAAGAACCAUCUCAACCUAAUAGCUUAAACUGUUAGGUAAGAUUUUAAGAUAUGAUUUAUAUUAUUCUCUAACCAUCUAUAUACAAUUUAACGUGACAUGCAUGGAAUUCUAUAUAAAAUGGAGCCUACCUUGGGUACAAGAAACCAUCACUAGUCAUACACACAAAGAAAGAUAUGGACUAUGAAAUUGCAGGUCUGGUUCUAGCAGUCUUGCUAUGGGUUGCAUGGGCAGUGGUGACUCAACGUCGUUACCGUCGUUCAGAAGAGCAAGGGCAGCUACCACCAGGGCCUAGACCACUGCCAGUGGUUGGCAACAUCUUCCUGUUGGGUUGGGCACCACACGAGUCUUUUGCUAAUUUGGCUCGUGUUCAUGGUCCAAUCAUGACCAUUUGGCUCGGGUCCAUGUGUAACGUGGUCAUUUCCUCGAGCGAAGUGGCUCGUGAGAUGUUCAAGAAUCAUGAUGCGGUGUUGGCUGGGAGAAAAAUCUACGAGGCUAUGAGAGGUGAUUUUGGCAAUGAAGGGUCUAUAAUCACAGCCCAAUAUGGACCGCAUUGGCGCAUGUUAAGGCGCUUAUGCACCACCGAAUUCUUUGUGACUAGCCGCCUUGAUGCCAUGCAGGGUGCACGAACUAGGUGCAUCGAUGGCAUGCUGCUAUACAUAGAAGAUGGUAGCGCCAAUGGCACUAGCGCUAUUGACCUUGGGAGAUACAUUUUCUUGAUGGCUUUUAAUCUUAUUGGCAACCUCAUGUUUUCUAAAGAUUUAUUGGACCCAAAAUCGGAGAAGGGAGCAAAGUUUUUUCAGCAUGCAGGUAAGGUCAUGGAGUUGGCAGGUAAGCCUAACAUGGCUGAUUUUUUGCCAAUUUUAAGAUGGCUGGAUCCACAAGGUAUAAGGAGGAAGACACAGUUCCAUGUAGCAAGAGCCUUUGAGAUUGCAGGAGGGUUCAUCAAAGAAAGAACAGAGAGUACGCAAAAGGAAAAUAGUAGAGAUGACAAGAGGAAAGAUUAUCUAGAUGUCCUUUUGGAGUUUCGUGGUGAUGGCGUGGAGGAGCCCUCUAGAUUUUCUUCAACAACGAUCAAUGCGAUUGUCUUAGUAAGUAGCAUCUCUUUUCCUAUGGUUCUCUUUUCUGUCCUAUCUUUGCAUACAUUUUUGUGUUUUUGUUCGGAGGCGGCAAAGCCUGUCUUAAUAUAAUUGUCUACCUAGUAAUUAACAUCUCGUUUGACAGCUUUGUUAAGCUCAGACCUCUGUUAGUAAAGUACUCCGCCCCGCUGAUAGGUUUACCUUCAGCUCUAGCUUGUGUUGGCUUUUUUUUUUAAAAAAAAAUCAAUCCAGAUUGAAUUAGUUGAUUGGACAUAUUAAUCUGUUACUCGGUUAGAAUUUCAUUGAUUUUUUUAUCAAAAUUAUUGUUUUGAUCUUUAAAAAGAAUUUUAUUAGACUUACUUAAAAAUCAAUCUCAUGAUCCGAGACUUACUCUGAAUGCAACUCCGAGUUAGGUCUAAUUAUAACUAUGACUUGGACUAUGGAAACUAUAGUUCUUCAUACACGGUGGAACCAAAAAUUUUAUCAAACCCGGCCUGAAUCAGUAAUUAACCUAGAACCCAAUUGAUUUGAUCACCUGUAGUUUAAGUUGGAUUUUAAAAUAAAAUUAACUUUGAGAUGAUACUGUUUGGCUUGAUUGAACCCAAUAAAAUUAACCCUGAACCUAGUUAAUUUGAUCAAAUUUUAUUUGAUUUUUUUUUAUUUUUUUUUUAAAUAAUAUUGUUUUGAUUAAUUUUAUUUAAUUCACCCAACUCGUGAUUCAAAGUUUAAACCAGAUAUAAUAUCUUUACUUUUAAGUAAUGUUCAAAAACAAAAAUUAAUUAUAAUAUUUAUCUCGGGCCUGGGUUUUUUCCAAAUCAUAGUAAAGCAAUUAAUAAGAGAUAAUAUACAAAAUUAAAUGACUAACAUACUUAAUUUUUGUUAUGAUUUUUUCUUAUAGGAAAUGUUUACGGCAGGGACUGAUACAACAACAAGCACUUUGGAAUGGGCCAUGGCUGAACUUCUACGUAACCCUAAAGUAAUGAAAACAGUCCAAUCCGAGUUGAGAAGCACCAUUGGCCUCAAUAAGAAGCUCGAAGAUAAAGACAUUGAGAAUCUCCCAUACCUAAAGGCAGUCAUCAGGGAAACACUGAGACUCCACCCUCCUCUACCUUUUUUAGUCCCGCACAUGGCCAUGAACCCUUGCAAGAUGCUAGGCUAUUACAUCCCUAAAGAGACAACAAUUCUAGUUAAUUGUGGGCCAUUGGAAGGGAUUCAAAGACUUGGGAUGACCCUUUGGUUUUCAAGCCAGAAAGGUUCUUGGAACCAAACAUGGUGGAUUACAAAGGUCGUCAUUUUGAGUUCAUACCAUUUGGUUCUGGCCGUAGAAUGUGCCCUGCCAUGCCGCUCGCUUCUCGUGUACUUCCUUUGGCUCUUGGAUCGCUCUUGCUUUCAUUUGAUUGGAUUUUGCCGGUUGGUCUCAAGCCAGAGGAUAUGGACAUGACUGAAAAAAUAGGGAUAACACUUAGAAAAAGUGUUCCCUUAAAGGUCAUACCGACACCUUACAAGGGGUCAUCAAAUCAUUAUGGGUUCUGAGUAGAUAUUGGAUAUUCCAAAAUUUCUACGUACUAGUAUAACAAAACGUAGUUAUAAAAUGGGUAUAAUAGAUCAAUCUUGGUAUCCUAUUGAUUUCAAACUUAAUCCAAGUUAUAUUUUAUUUUGAAUUGGAUUUUUUUUUACCAAAACCAUAUCAUUUUAUUAAAAAAAAAAAAAAACAACAUUGUUUUGGUAAAAAAAAAUAGACUCGUAACCUAAAUUUUAGGCCGAGCCAAACCCAGGCUUGGAUUUAUAUCUAAGUUACAAAAUGUUGUAUUAGUAUUGUAUUAAAUUAAGCUGUUUGAGUCAUAUAUUUGAUUCUUAAUUUGUAUGUGUAUGUAUAUUAAUGUCUAUCUAUAUAUAAUCUAGUUGUGGAGAAGUUUUUUUAAUUAAUUAGCGUGUUUGGUGAUGCAGUUUAACCUAUUCUUCAAACUAAUUUUCAUUAAAAAAAUAAUUAAAUCAAUGUUUUUAGGUGUUUUUCGAUGGUUUUGAUGUAUUGAUGUUAAAAAUAAAAUCAAAUUUGAAAAAAAAUAUCAUUUUGAUACAUUUUUAAUUGAAAAACACUUUCAAAAACACUAUGCACUACAUUAACAAACACACACUAAAAAUGCCAUUACCCAUUUCUAGGUUAUUCCCUUAAAUUUACCUUUUUUUUCUUUUAAAAAUAAAAAUAAAAAUAAAAAUAAAAAUAAAUAAUAAUAGCAAGGAGACUGGCGAUGAGGAAAAAGCUAGAUGAGAAAGGAUUUUAAAUAUGCAUAAAACCAAGCUGCAAUUUUGGACGAAGUCGAAAGCCUAAUCGUACCCCUUUGUGCCCAAAACUAGAGAGACAAUGGAGAUUCAAUGUCAAAUUAAAUGAUUAUUGGAUGAAUCUGCAUAAGAAUUAAGUACAAGGACAUAAUUAGAUUUUUAAUAGGCUAAAUUGAUCUAAUCAUGGACCAAAUUAAAAGUUUAAUUAUGUUUAAGAAUUAAUUUGGGUCCAAUUAAAGGAUUUAAUUAGGCGCAAAGACUUAAUUAUGCUUUAAAUGGGUCAAAUUAAUUUUAUUAGGGGCUUAAUUGGAGAAAAAAUAAGUUUGAGAGUCUAAUUUUAGCUUAAUUGAGAAUGUUGGAAUUUUAGAAGAUCAAAUUUAAUUUUUUCUAAGUUAAUUGAUUCAAAUCAGGGGUGAAAUUGCGAGAAAAUUAAAAGUUUGAAGUCAAUUCAAGGCUAAAUUGAAUAAAUUCAUAGCCAUAGACCAUUUUGCAAAAGGCAUCGAACUACAAGGACUCAAUUGAUUGAAAUCAGGGGUGAAAUUGAAGAAAAUUAAAAGUUUAAUGGUCAAUUUGCAUAAAUCCAAGACCAAGAACCAAAAUGAAAAAGGCGUUGAAAUUUGGAAUGAUUAUUGGAUGAAUCUGCAUAAGAAUUAAGUACAAGGACAUAAUUAGAUUUUUAAUAGGCUAAAUUGAUCUAAUCAUGGACCAAAUUAAAAGUUUAAUUAUGUUUAAGAAUUAAUUUGGGUCCAAUUAAAGGAUUUAAUUAGGCGCAAAGACUUAAUUAUGCUUUAAAUGAGUCAAAUUAAUUUUAUUAGGGGCUUAAUUGGAGAAAAAUUAAGUUUGAGAGUCUAAUUUUAGCUUAAUUGAGAAUGUUGGAAUUUUAGAAGAUCAAAUUUAAUUUUUUCUAAGUUAAUUGAUUCAAAUCAGGGGUGAAAUUGCGAGAAAAUUAAAAGUUUGAAGUCAAUUCAAGGCUAAAUUGAAUAAAUUCAUAGCCAUAGACCAUUUUGCAAAAGGCAUCGAACUACAAGGACUCAAUUGAUUGAAAUCAGGGGUGAAAUUGAAGAAAAUUAAAAGUUUAAUGAUCAAUUUGCAUAAAUCCAAGACCAAGAACCAAAAUGAAAAAGGCGUUGAAAUUUGGAGUUGACAUUGAAUUUUGGAAAGGGCAAAAUUGCAUAAAAUUGGAAGUUUAGGGUCAAUUAGGGGUCUAAUUAAAAGAAAUUAAAAGUCGAUCAAAAUGAACUUUAGCUAAACUGCUAAAUUAAAACCCUAAAAAUUCCAAAAUGACACCAUUUUGAACAAUAAAAAAAAGGAUCAUACAACGUGUUGUCUAAUUAUUGUACGUUGUCUUUUUUAGGUCAAAAUGACUGUCAAUGAGGCCACUUUUCAGGGGCAUUUAAUGCUUCGUCUCUCCAUCAAAUUUGACAAAACAUAUAUGAAAAUGAUGGCCUGACAUUCGACCAUACCCGAAUAUGGUUUUUUCCGGCUAAUUGACACCAUAGCAGCUGCGACGCCGCCUUAAAAUGGCCAACCCGAGUAAGCUUUUAGCAACUAUAUUUACAGUUCAUGAUGACCACUUUGAGUCAAUGGUUAGGAUCCUUCUGGGUCGAAUCAAGGGUCAAGAUUUGACAUUAGUAAAGACAAAAUGUCCUUUUUCCACCCCGAAUAAAUAUGGGAGGAUUCCAUGAAUUGAAAUCAAGAAAUUUGAAGCCAAAUUUGGAAGAAAAAUCAGUUUUUUUCUCCGUCACCCUCUUCCACCUCCCUCUCCACUAUUUUUUCAGCCACCACUACCUCAAUAACACCGUGACCAAGAGUGGCCCAACCUUCUCCACCAACCCAUCUGCUCACUGGUAACAGUGACAACCACCACCACCGCCGCCAACUUCUUCAUCUUCUUCCUCUUCAUCGUAAUCUUCAUGCACCUCAGGAGCGUUAACUUCUCCACCUCAUCCUUUCCGGCAGCAACACCCCCAUACAGACCUCCCAACAAUGGCAGCAACAUCUCCUCCAUAUCAUGUAACCUUCUCGUCUUCCUGCACCUCAGGAGCGUUAACUUCUCCACCUCAUCCUUUCCGGCAGCCACACCCCCAUACAGACCUCCCAACAAUGGCAGCAACACCUCCUCCAUAUCAUGUAACCUUCUCCUUUUCUCCUCCCUCUUUUGUUUUUCUUCUUCUUUUUUUUCUACAUGCAAAUGUGCAGAGCGUGAAUUAUAAUUCAUGUUCUGCCAUUUGUAAGCACAACUUAGUCACUGGGCUGAGCCAAUGACUAAGUUGUGCUGGGUUAGACCCAUUCUGGCCCAGCUGUCAUAAUCCAAUUUUAAGUUUCUAAAAAAAAUGAUGAUAAAAAUAUAAUUUGGAUUAAUCAUCCAUGCACGAUUAUUCAGAACAACAUGUGGAUAGACAAACUGGGAUCUUAUUGAAGAAACAUUAAAAAAUGAUUUGAGAAUGUGAUCAACACAACACAAAUUGAAGGUUUUAGUACUAAUAAGGAUAAAAUUAUAAAAUUUAAAAGUUAAUUUGGCUGAAACUGAAAGAAUUGACAAGUCUAUGGAUUUGAAAAGCCAGUUAAAGAUUGAAUUGAAGAAAUUUAAAAUCAAUUACUAUUUUGAAAAUAACACAGAAAUUUAGGUCAAAAUUGCAUAGAUCAAGGGAGGAAAUUAAUAAAAAAAGAAUUUUCAAAGACAAGGGCUUGAUUGUAAGACUUCAACAGGGGUAAUUUUUAAAAAAUAAAAAGUUUGAAAAGUCAAUUAAGGAUUGAAUUGAAGAAAUUUGAUACCAAUGACUAUUUUGAAAGGGAAAUCGUUCGAAGAAGCCAUCCAAACGGCCCCUGUUAGACCCAAUCGUCGCACCAAAUCCAAGCCAAAUCUUAGACCAGAUUGUCUACCACAGAUCUUAUAAGUUGGUUCAGUGUUUCUCGCCCUCACAACUCUCCUCUGACGCGAAGAUCACUCAGGUCCAACAGCCCAACAAUGGCAGGACUGUUGGUGUUUUCAUUCCACCAAACAACUAGCGAACCUAAAGCAGUAGCUAUCCACCACUCCUUUAAUAUGCAGGCAGGGACAUAUGAUUCGAUGAAAGAUGUUUCUUUGAAAAUUUUGCAAAACAGCGUGUCAACAGUUCCCAUUAUUCAUUCUGCUUCUCAGGAUGGCUCAUUUCCGCAGCUACUUAAUCUUGCUUCCCUGUCUGGAAUACUAAAAUGUAAGCCUUCUUGGUUCGAUGCUUGAGGAUGUAUAAGUUGUUGCGAACUCCUGGACCUAAUUGUCAGGUAUAUGCAGGUAUUUCAGACAUUCUGCUGGCUCCUUACCCAUUCUUCAACAGCCAAUUUGUUCAAUUCCUUUGGGUACAUGGGUUCCAAAACUUGAGGAACCAAACAGACGGCCAUUAGCAAUGUUGGGACCGAAUGCUUCUCUUGGUGCUGCUCUGUCCUUGUUGGCUCAAGGUAAUUCACACGUCAAAAGAUUACCACAAGCUACAACUGUCCUCUUCUAUCUGUUUCUGAGUGUGCAUAUUGCUGAUUGAUCUUCUUUAACCUCUCCUAACCUUGUGCUAUAAUACCUUCCUGAUACAGCCAAUGUCAGUUCAAUACCAAUUGUAAAUGAUAACGAUUCACUGCUGGAUGUAUAUUCUCGAAGGUAACUUGUGCAUCUGUGAGUGCAUGUGCUUGCAUGUUCUGGAUCCUUGUUAUUGUUGAAUUGCAGGUUAAGCCAACUGUGACUUAAGUUUGUUGUUUCCUUGACAGUAAUAUCACUGCUCUGGCAAAAGAUAAAGCCUAUGCACAAAUUCAUCUCGAUGAAAUAAGUAUUCAUCAGGCAAUUAGUUUUGAUUACUUUAAGCUCUAUUUAUAUGCAGUUGUAUGCACAUUCUUGCAAUGGUCUGAACCAAUCCGCAGCUCUGUACAUGAAUAUCCAUUUGUGAAACAAUAAAUACAUUCAACUAAAUCAGGAGAAGAUAAAUGACUGGAAAUGAUAAAGUAAACUGCCUUUUUGAAUAAAACAUGCAUGGCAUGAACCUCCUGUAUUGAUCUGCUCUUUCAUACCCUUUUAGGCUCUGCAAUUGGGUCAGAAUGCAAAUUCUUCAAAUGCAUUCUACAAUGGACAGAGAUGUCAGAUGUGUUUGCGGACUGAUUCUACACAAAGUGAUGGAGCGUUUGGCAAAUCCCGGUACUCUUACAGCAAUAUGAUUUUUUUUUCUACGUCAACUUUUCUCCAUAAUUAGUUCUGACUUCGUGGUCUGGACUAGUAACACGUUUUCUAAUUGCUUUGUUGCGUGGUCUUUUCAGGGGUUAGGAGGCUUUGUUGCGUGGUAAAAAAACACUUUUUAAAUUAAAGUUAUAAAAUAACUAAAAAAAUUAUAUAUUAAUAUUAAAGAUUUUUAAUUUAAAUAUUAUAGAAUUAUAAACAACAAACUUAAAGCAAAUCGAUGUAAAUUGCUUAACUAAUACAACAUUCCAAGCUAUAAAUCAAGGUUAGAUUUUUAGAACUCAAAACAUUUUUUCCCUCUUUAUCUGCUCCUAACCCUACACUUUCUGUGGUGUUCAAUAAUGGAAGGAAAAACAAUAUAAUCUUGUAGUUAACGCAAUAUGUGUUUCUGAUCAAGAUAUCAUACAAGUCGCGAGUGCAGCUCUAUAGCACCCACCCAAAUUUUAAACCAGAGAAUAACUGCUUAACUAUAAAAGAAUUAACCUCCCAACUGAUGACUGGUAUAGAGCCAAACGAUCUAUUCCAUCUUUAGUCUUGAGCAAAUUUUGGCAAACCCCCAUGUCAUCUUGAUCAUAAUCUGCCAUAGCUAUAGCAUACAGAAUAAUCCUGCAGACAAGCAGAGAUAACCAAAAUCCAGUAAACUUUAGACCAAACAGGGAAACAAAACGUAACAAAUAUACUCUUGCUAACUGAUAGAGAAAGGCAACAGCAGUCUGUACGAUCUAAUCUUUGGAGGCAACCGCAUUUUUUACAAGUACUCAACAAAUGGCCUCUCCAAAUCCUCAUCUGGAAUCUUUGUCUUACCUUCCUCUUCAUCAUUCCCAUUCCCAAUCCCAUCAUUACCAGAAGAACCCGCCGCCACUGUGGCAUCCAAGUGCCCUUGCACCAGCUUGAAAAACCUCAUCAACUGAUUCUUUUCCAUCAGAGUCAAACUCUUAUCCUUAAAUAUGGCAGCUCUGGAAUCUGGCACAUUCCAUAACUUUCCAUUCCCAUCACCAACAAAACUGGCAUCAAUACUCUUGAACUCCACAUAAUUACUUGCUCCAGAUUUUAACAUAAGAUCAAUUGACUUGUCGGCGCAAAAUAACACCCUUAGUCCGCACAAGUCCAAAUUGAACUUCCGUAAGUUUUCUUCCAUUAGUUUAGGAUAAAGACAGGAAAUCUCAACAUCUGAAUAUACCGGCUGAGUGCUGAGAUUUACAAUGGAGUAAUCAGGGAUGUCAGUUGUGGUUGAGGUGGAAGAUGGUGGUGAGGAAGCUGUAGAAUUGGAAAUAAGGAAAGAUGUGAGAUCCGGGACCGAGAGAGAGGAGUAAUGGGACCCAUAGAUUGGGUUGGUGUCAAGGUGAAGGACAGUUUUUCCAGAAGCAGAAGCUGCAGCAGCAACAAUGCAUUCUGCUAAACCAGUGCCUGCAGCAAUCAGGUCGAUGGUAGUUGGUUCAAUUUGCGGGUAUGGUGGGGGCUCACUCGUGGUAGCACUGGAGAGGAACAGUAGAUUUACUGCUGAGAGUGAGCAAGUGAGGAGCUAAGAAUCACCUGGCACAAGAACCAAGAGAAAAAAAUUGUGUUAUCAAGUAUGAUCAACAAGUGAAGUUUUUGCACUUUCUUUUAAUAUUUGAACACCAGCAAGGUACUUGCUAAAUGGGGCAGGCAGGCUGGCUUGGCUUACGUUCAACAAUGUCUAGCUUUUACUUUUUUUUUAAAUUUAAUUUAUUAAUUGAUGUUUUUUUCUACAUGUAUUUUUUUAAAAAUAUUUUUUUAUUUAUAUUUAAAUUAAUAUCUCUUCUCUUUUUUAUUUUGUUUAUAUAAAAUCUUUCAAGUGACUAUUAUUUUUUAGUUAUUUUACAUGUAUUUUAUUUUAAAAAAAAUUAUUCUAAUUCAUGUGUAUUUAUAUAUAUAUAUAUAUAAAAUAUUCAUAAUUUUUUUUUAUAGUGCGAGUCAAAUAGGGAUCACAUGCUCUACUUUAGAGACUUUUGCUGCACCUUUUUGGUCUUGUAGCUCUAAGGUUAAUCCCUUUGUCUAUGGAAAUUUCAUUUUUAAGUCAAUUUUUUUAAAAAAUAAAUACUGUACUUUAGAAUUAAUGGUUGAUUGUAGCCCGUCAUUUCAUUUGCCCUGUUAGCUUUGUGCUUUCUUCUACUGCCCUCAAUUUUAUCGGCAAACAACUCCUUUUGUAGUGCGCCGCCGCCUCUUCUUUACUGCCCUAAAACAGAGAGAGCGAGACGCAGAGACAGAGAAGACAAAGAAAGGUAACCGAUAACCGAGAGAGAAGGCAAGAAAGAGAUGGAGAUAGGAAAAGACAGUAUGGUAAGAAUUAUAUUUUUAGUAUUUGUGAUAAUUUUUCAGUAUCAAGUUUGAGUUUUAUUGACUAAUCUGUGUGGAUUUGUUUUUAUAAAGCUUUAUUACAGGAUGUUAAGAUUUGGGUGAAUAUAUAUGCAUUGAUUUUGAUUUACAGUUCUUGAGAAAUUAACCGAUAGCUUUUGAUUUCAGUAUCAAGUGAGAUUUAUACUUAUUCCUUUUCAGGUGAUGCCUCAUUCAGAAACCUCUUAUUCACACUUUUUUUCCUUGCUGGGGCCAUGGAGGACCUAUCUAUCUGAAACAAUCAAUGAACAAAUUAGCAACACCAAUUUGCUUAAAGCUUUAACAUGGACAUCAAUAACCAUCAAAAUUCACAAAAUACAUUACAUUAAUAAUAAAAAUAUAAAACUCUUGGCAAAGCAAGACGAUCUUCCACCCCAGAAUUUGAAAUAUAAUACAGUCCAAAUAUUAAACUUUUUUCCUUCUUUUGUUUUUUUUUGGUUUUUCGGAUACUUAGACUCGAGUUAAGAGCAUACUAAGCUGCACUAAUUGUGGAGAAUAUUUUCCCACUCGGAUUAUAUUUGAAACCUCAGUCAAAACCCACCACAAGAAUUCAACUUUUACAACAUAUCAAAAUCACAUCAUUUUCAAAUUCACAGAUCCGAGACUGUACACUUACAGAUUCAGAGUAAUUGAUAUCUGGGUAUAAAUCAUACAGUGAAGCAAAGGGCUGUGAAGGGAGAAAAAUGCAAGCUUUAAGUUUAUGUGUUAUAGAGAAGGGUUUUUUAGAGAGAGAAAUAAAAGAGAGUUUUCGAAGUUGCGGGAAAGAGAGGCUCUUUUAGAGAGAGAAAGAGAGAUGUUGCCGCGAAACUUGAAUAUAAAGGUGGGCUGGCCAAUCAGAUUUUUUUAUGUAUAUAUUUUUUUGUUUUUCUUGUUUUAUACAGUGUUUUUUUGUUGUUAAUCACCGUACACGUUGGUGAGUGGGGUAUUGUAUGGUAUGAUCUUGUGGUCAUUGGUUGGGGUUUGAAGGGAUAAUUAUAGCAGAUUCAAUUUGAAAUUUUUUGUUGUUUGCUUUGGGAAUGGCCCUUGAAUUUAUGGGUAUUUGUAUUUGGUUACCAUAAAGUUUUAGAAAAACGGGCCUCGAAGUUUUCUAUUGAGAGAUGGUCCCUCAUUUGAAUCUUCUGCACAAAGUUUUUAAACCGCACAAUCCAUGACACAACCUAAGGCUCGCAUUAUGGGUAAGAUAAAUUUAUAUAUGUGAAUUUAAAAUUGUGUUAGUUUAAUAUUUUUUUAAAAAAAUUAAAAUAAUAUCAUUUUAAAAAAAUAAAGUUAUAUUGAGUUCUGACAAGAUUGUAAGUGGGCUCACUCGAUCCAUCAAGUUUUAAUUGAGUUAACUUUCAUAUGGUUUAAUGUAAAACUCGACCAAGACCAAGUUUUUUUAUUGAGCUUGUGUAUGAAUUUAUUAAAAUUAGUUUUGCCUAAAGCUUAGGUUAUAUGUUUAGUGGGUUAAAUCAAGUCAAUCUAAAAUGAUGUCAUUUUAAGAUAAAAAAAAAAACAAAAUGAGUUUCUUUUGAAAAAAAAUCAAUUUUAAUCAGGUUAUAAAUAGACGCAGCCAAAUCAAUCAAGUUUUAAUCGAAUUAACUUUUAUAUUAAUUUUAAACUCGUUCUUAAUUAGGUCUCGAAUCAAUAAUUUAUCAAGAUGAUUUAUUAAAUCAUAAGAGAUUGAAUAACAUUGGUUAUUAAUAUAUGUCUGGUAUUGUGGUGUAUGAUAUUUUUAAAAAGUGUUUUUUAAUUAAAAAUAUAUUAAAAUGAUAUUUUUUUAAAAAAAUAUUUUUGAUAUUAAAAACAAUUUUAAAAACAGGAACAAACAAAAUGCCAAAUACAAACUUAGUAUUGAAAUAACAAACUCCUCCAUAAAUUUAUUUUCCUUCGACAUUUAUUCUCGUAAAAGAAAAGAAAGGACACCAAUAGCACCAAGCUCCAACUCUUCGCUCCUUGCCAUCCCCAGCAUUUUCAGCCCUGCCUUGCCUUGUUACACACCACCCUCAUUAUCAAUGUCAAUAGGAACCUAUUUUCAGGAAAAAUAAAUAAUAAUUAUAAGCUAAUUCAUUUUUCUUUUUUUCCCAUAACAAUGAUAAAUAUUAUUAAAUUCAUCAAUAAAAAAAACUACUGAUUUGUUACCUUUUCAAUCAGUAAAGCUAAGAUCCCAUUUGGACCAAGAUCAGCAUGGUAAAGUGACCAACAAGCAAUUUUGUCACCAACUUUGAAGUCACUCUUCACAAGAACUUCAGCCCAAGCAAUCUUUUCCAAUCUGAAAUUCUUGACUGCCCUAUCAUAGUAAAUUGCCACCCAAAUCUUAUUCCUUGGUGGUGUGUAGAUCUCAAUUUCUAGUCCUUUGAUCCCAAUUUCAUCGAGCAUGGGUUUUGGUAGAGUUGUUAAGAAGCUUUUUGAAUCUCCGACAAGAACUAAACCUAGCAUGUCAUCUUGAGUCAUGGUUCUUGUGAAUAAAUGUUCUAGCUCCCCACCAAUUGGAUAGUGUUGAAUCUGGUUAGGUUGAGGAGUAGCCAUGUUCUUGAAUUAGGUUUUUUUUUUUUUUUUUUUGGUAUGUUGCCCUCUUGAAAACCACCUUGAUGAUUUGAAACUAAAUACAAGCAAAUGAAUGUUAAAAUAGUUAUGUUCGUGUCAAAUUGCUAGCAGAAUGCAUGACUAACACAUAAAUUGUGAAGGCAUGCUUUAAAGGAGGGUGCUUGCCUGGUGGUUAAUCACUGUACACGUGUUAAGUGGAGUUCGUGUAUGGGAUGAUCUGUGGAUGUUUCUGGUACGAGUGAAUUAUACCAGAUUUAAUUUGAAAUUUCGCUACACAAUGAUCCCUGGAUUUAUAUGUAUUGCAUUUAUCUCCCUAGAGUUUUGAUAAUUAACGACUUUUACACUUUGUUUGGACUUAGGCGUUACUGUAAACUAAGGACGUGGCAAAAUAAUCACCCUACGAUUGGUAUUAAAAUACGAUCACCACAUUAUAUAUUUUCUCAUGUUAUUUUUUUUAUGGGCAAUUAACGUUAUCUACAAUGAUAUUAAAUUAGGUAUAUAAUCUCAUUAUUAAGAAAAGUAUGCGUAUAAUCCAAUCAAAAGAGUUAUAAAUAUAUAAUCUUAUUAUUAUUAUUAUUAUUUUCUCGUGAUUUCUUGGAUAUCACUUGUAAUAUUUUAGUUGUUUUAUUUUCUUCUUCACUCUUUGAUUUUAGAAGUUAGCUUUUUUUUCUAUUGCCACUUUUAUUUGUAAGAGGAUUGAUUGAUGGUAUAAAUGCCACAUUAAUUUUGAAAAUUAAUAAAAAUUAAUGGCUUGGCAUUGUCAACUGAGUUUGUCAAAGACAUGUAUGCUUGUAUUACAAAAUACUAAAACCAAAACUUUUAAUUAUAAUGGUUAGAUUUAGGGUGUGUUUGUUUUUGCAGUCAAACCCGUUUUUCAAAGUGUUUUCACUUAAAAAUCAUCAAACUAAUGAUUUUUAAGUGUUUUUUUGAUAGUUUUGAUAUGUAAAAAAAAUAAAACAACAUCAUUUUAAUGUUUUUUCGAUUGAAAAACAGUUUUACAAAAAUACUUUGCACGUAUUACCAAAUAUACACUUAGGCCAUGGUUUUCUACUAAAAUAGUUUUAUUUUGCAAAGUGAUUUCCAUGCAAAGUGAAUUGCAUAAAAGUGAGUUAUUUUUUUUUUAUGUUUGGUAAUGUAGUGAAAAAUAAGUUAAAAAACACUUCUAGUGCUUGGUUAUGUCAUAAAAAAUAAGUUAAAAAUAACUUAUUAAUGUUUAAUUUAAUUUUAUUAAAAGAAUAUAAACCAAAUCCGACAAAUAAAAAAGUUAAAGGAUAAUGAAAUUAAAAAAUAUAUAAUUUCAUAAACUAUUUCAAAUAAAAAAAUAGCAAUCAAAAGAAUGGAGACCAAAUCUGAAAGAUAAAAACAUUGAAAGAGGAUAAAAUUAAAAAAAUAUAUAAAUUUCAUAAAUUAUUUCAAAUAAAAUAAAUAGCAAUCAAAAGAAUGAUGAUAAAAUUUAAUAGAUAAAAAAAUUUCAAUAAAAAAAAGAUAAGAGAAAAACAAAUAACAAUCACAAGUACGAGAAUCAAAAUUAAUAUAAAAAUUAAAUUGAAUCAAAUUCCGAGGGAUAAAAUUAACAAAAAAUAAUAAAAAAGAAUUAAAAAAAACAUAUAACAAUCAAAAGAUUGAGAACUAAAUUUAACAUAAUCAACAAAUAACAAUAUAUUUUUUAGUUUUUCAUGACUUCUAGAAAAAUAUUUUUUAUCCAAAAUAAAAAGAAAAUACUUUUUUAAAAUCCAAGUUAAAUUUGUCUUUGAUUAAAAAAUAUUUUUUUUAAUUAAUUUUUUUAAUACCAAAUAAUCAAAAAAAAAUUUAAAAAACAUUUUUCAAAAAACUAUAAAACACAAGGACUUAUCUGAAAGUCUAACUCUUAAAAAAAGUUUAAAUUGCUAAGUUGUAUUUGAAUCCUAAAUUUUUGAAUCGACCCGCCAUGCCGCGCUAAGUUUAACAACUACGUUCUUAACAUAUCAAUGGUUUCAACUUAGCCGACAUGUCAUUUAAAGAUUUAAGAUUUAGUACUUGCGAGGCUAUAUAUAGCCUAUUAACUAAUCUUUCUUCAGCAAUGAUGCCCGAAUUGAUUCUCACGUGGAUGUGUUUGUUGUUAUGUUUUAAAAAUAUUUUCAAAAAAUUUAAAUUGUUUUUUAGAAUUAAUAUUUUUUUAGUGUUUUCGUAUCAUUUUAAUAUACUGAUGUCAAAAAUAAUUUUUUUUUAAAAAUAUUAUUUUGAUACAUUUCUGAGUUAAAAACAACUAUAACCACAGUUUCAAACAUGCUAAAAAAAACCUUCGAAGAUAGUAACCUACAAAUUUAUUGUCAACUAUUCGAACUCCUCUUUUAACAUUUUAUUGAAUCAAGUUUUUUGUGAAUAAAUGUUCUAGUUUCCCACCAGUUGGAAGUGGUUGUACUUCCAUGUUCUUGAUUUUGAUUUGUUUCUAUUUCAAAAUCAUUAAACAUAAUAAUAAUAAAAAAAUUUCAACCAAUAGUUUUUUUCUCUCUUUUUUUACUCCCUGGAUCUGUUGUCAAGGUACAGGGGCUUCUUUGAAGUGGAAUAACCCGACCACAAAAAUGCAGUGAUACAAAAUGCAUAUGCUCUACCCAGUAUGGUAGAAAAUGCCUAAGUAUUAAAAUUAAAAUUUUAUAAUUAUGUUAAUAUUUAAAAGUGCAAUAACUUCUGUUUUUAGAUGCAUUUCACUUGAAAAUACAUAAAAUUGAUGUUUUUUAUAAUGUUUUUUUAAUAGUUUUGAUGUGCUGAUAUUAAAUAUAAAAAAAUAUAAAAAAAUUUUUUAUAAAAAAUAUCGUGCAUCGCAUUAUAAAACACGUACUAAUAUCAGCUGAUAUUCUAAAAUUCAAGAUAAUCUUGUAUUGUUCGGUGAAUCUAAGUCAUAAAAAUAAUUGAUCAUAAUUUAUAAUUUAUGGGUGAUUUUUUUGAUUAUUUGAUAUUUUUGAUUCUAUUUAAAAAAAAUACCUAUAAUUAUUAUCUUGUAAAAAUUUCAAGAAAAAAGAAAAAAGUAAGACAAAAUCUGUCAUGGAACCCACAUAAAAUAGCAUUUACUCCGAUAAUCCAAAGCCCUUAAAAAUCAAGAGCCCACGAUCAACUUGAAUGGGUACACUUAUCUCGCUUAGACGACCCCGAUUUUUCUUUAGUUUUAAAUAAUCUUUUCAAUUGUAUCUUGCAUUUUUAUAAGCAAGCCCUACUUCUCAUAAUUUUUAGACCCGGCCCGAUCCAAGAUCUGGAUUUCGAGUUUUGACCGGGUCACCGGAUCAAUUCUUUUUUUAAAGAAAAAAUCAAAACAACGUCAUUUUAGUAAAAAAAAAAAAAAUCAACGGGUUGCAACCUGGUUUUUGACCGAGUCUUGCCGGGUCAACCGGGUUUUUUCUUUCCCUGUUUUUUCUUCAACCCAGCCCGAUUCUAGCCCCGGGUCGACCCACCGCACCGGACCGGGUUUUAAAACUAGGCUACUUCUUGAAUUUUUAAAAAUGUUGUUAUGCAAAUUAAAUAUGAUUUUAGAAUUGAUUUUUUACUUCAAAUCAUAAUUGUUUUUCAUAAGCAAUAAACUGCAUUACAACGUAGAAAUAAUUAAAAUUUAUCUUGAAUCAAGAGAAAGUGUGCAUAACCAGGAUAUCAUACAGUAAUAAUUUCAUGUACAUGCUAUAAAUCUUACUUCAGAUCACAUUUUAUCAUUCAUAUUGAUGUUUAUAAAUUAGAAAUUACAAUCAAGCCCUUGGAGUCAUGGUUAAAAAAUUUGAAUGAUAAGGAUAAUGUUAUACUUUUACUGUUCUAUCAAAUAUGAAAAUACAAAAACCCCUUUAUACAUGUAAUAAUCCAAUUUUGGAUUCUCCAAAUUUUCUUUAAAUGUUAUUUUAUUUUUAUUAUUAUUCAUAAAAAAUCCAAAAAAAAAGAAAAAAAAGUUAAAAUUCAAAAAUAUAUUUUUCUCGGGUCAACUAUCAUCUUCCAUAAAAAACAAGCCCAUCGGAUCAAUACGAGUUAAACCAUGUCGACCGAAAUAAAAAUUGAGUUUCAGGCCGUUUUGGGUCAAACCCGUCAUUUCGGUCAAAACUGAGUCCAUCGGGUCAAUACGAGGCAAACCAUGUCGACCGGGGUAAAAAUUGAGUUUUAGGCCUUUUCGGGUCAAAACUGUCAUUUUUUGGUCAAAACCGAGUCUACCAAGUUUAUACGGGUCAAACCUUGUUGACCAUGAUAAAAAUUGAGUUUUAGGCUAUUUUGGAUCAAAACUGUUAUUUUCUAUCAAAACCCGGUUCACCGGGUUGAUAGUGGUCGAAUUUGUUUUUAAUGGUUUUUGAAAUUGACCUGUUUGUUUCUGCGUUUCAAAAGCACUUUUGAAAAAAUUUGAAUUUUUUUUAUUUUUUUAUUAACUUCAAAUUAAUAUAUUUUUAGUGUUUUCAAAUCAUUUUGAAGUGCUUAUGUUAAAAAUAAUUUUUAAAAAAUAAAAAAAAAUCAUUGACAUGUAUUUUAGCACAAAAAAUUAUUUUAUUUUUCGGUAAUCAAAGUUAAUUUUUAGCGGUUGAACGGGCAUUUUUUAAUACUGAUCGGCGUUUUAGUUUUACCCACAUAUAUAUUUAUUAUUAUACAAAUCAAUAAUGCAGAAAUAUUUACUGUAGUAGUUGGUGCAGUUGAGGCAUGUGAAAUUUUUUCUUCGGACAAAGCCGUGUCUCCUGGUUAUAAAUGCCCUGUUCCCCUAGGCCCUAGUCAUUGGCUAUAAAAGCCAGUAAAAGAGAACAGAAAGGAAGAAGUGAAUCCUAACGCUGAUACUAUUAAUGUUUUUUUAGUUUUUCUUCACGCGAGUAAAGUAUUGAUUUUUUUUAAAAACAAUUUAAAAAAUACUAAAAAAUAUCCUAACCAUUAGAUUAAAUAGUAUUUAGUUCUGGAUCAAUAAUUAGAUCUGAUCAAACAGGGCAAAGUACACUAGAUUAAAACCCAAAUCCAUCUCAGCCCUUUAAACGGUCUGUCCUUUGAUCCUGUCUUGCCACGUCACCUGGUGUACCAAGCCCCAGGUGCAUCCUAUCACACUGAAGCAAAGCAAAGAUCUGACAAUCGGGGCCGUCUAUUAAUUUUUUUAACCGGGUCGCCUGAGUUAAUUUUUUUAUUAAAUCAAAACGAUGUUAUUUUAGUAAAAAAAAAAUCAACAGGUUGCAACUGGAUUUUUGACCAGGUCUUGUCAGGUCAACUGGGUCGCCGGGUCACACCAUGUUUUUUCUUUUCCUGUUUUUUCUUUAACCCGGUCCGGUUCCAGCCCCGGGUCGGUCGGGUCCUGGGUCGACCUGCCGGCCCGGACCGGGUUUUAAAACUAUGCUACUUCUUGAAUUUUUAAAAAUGUUGUUAUGCAAAUUAAAUAUGAUUUUAGAAUUGAUUUUUUACUUCAAAUCAUAUUUUUUUUUUCGUAAGCAAUAAAUUGCAUUACAACGUAAAAAAAAUUAAAAUUUAUCUUGAAUCAAGAGAAAGUGUGCAUAAUUAACCAGGAUAUCAUAUAGUAAUAAUUUCAUGUACAUGCUAUAAAUCUUACUUCAAAUCGCAUUUUAUCAUUCAUAUGGAUGUUUAUAAAUUAGAAAUCAAAUUAAUACACUUCUUUAUAGUAUAAAUUAGAAAUCAAAUUAAUACACUUCUUUAUAGUUAUAGAAUUCUUAAGAACUCUAGAGUUAACCUAACUUACGAAAUAUUGACUAGCAAUAAGAUCAAACUUAACUCUGCACCCAUUCCCAAAAGACGUUUCUUUGACAUAAUUUAUUACAUAGCUAAGAUAUAUCAAGCAUUCCAAUAUUUACUCCCAUAAAUAAUAUCAAAUCUCAAAUAUAUCAUGAUGUACACUAUUAUUUUGUCUUUUUUUAAAAGUUAAUUAUUGAGAAAAUUAUGUUAUUAAACUUUAUAAAGUUUGUGGAUCUAUUCAUAAGUUUGACUAGUUGAUCUAGUUUGUGGGUUUGACAAGUUUAACUCUUUUUUUUCAUCCUUAGAUAUUAGAUUAAUUGAGAAUUCAGUUUUAUAAUUGGUCUCGUUUUACCUUUUCAUUAUGAGAUUAUCACGGUCUAAAAAAAUCUCGGUACUGGGUUGAUAUUUAAUUUCGCAAUUGUCUAUUUUUGUUACCAUAUAGUUAAAUAAAAAAAUAGUUUCGAAAAAAAACAAAUUAUAAUCCUAAUGGAGCCCAUAACCCGGUUCAUAGUGCUAGCUCGGGUUACCCGAUUCACAUAUUUGACAAGUUUGCCCAAUAAUAGAACAUGUUUUUUUUUGUUUGGUCUUUUAAUUGUUUUUUUUUCUCGAUUUUAUCCUUCAAUAUUGAGUUGAUUGAGAAAUAGACUGCAUGGUUGAUUUUUGUUUUGCUUUAUAUAGGGAUAAUUGUCUCAAAUAAAUGUCUAUUUUUUGGUUGGUGUUCAAUUUUAUAAGCAUUUAUUUUUAUCAUAUAAUUAAAUAAAAAUAUUUUACAAAAAAGUUAUUAAACCCAAUAGAGUUCAUGACUAGGGUCGCGGGGAGACCGAGGUAGAUUUAAUUUGUCAUUGUCUCAAUAUUUUUUUUUAAAUCUGUCAUCUUGAAGUUUUUUUAAAAGUUACAUAAUAUUUUUACCGAUUAUCAAUGUUGCAUUUGGACUCAUGAAAUUGAUCGAUUUAAGUCGAGUUAGCUCCCACGUGAUUUAAUUAGAAACUCGAGUUAGACAAAGAACUGAGUCAGGAGGUUUGAAAAUUAAUAUUAUAAAAAAAUCUUGAUACUUUUAAUAUUUUUUAUAUUUUAAAAAAUUUAACCCGGCCCAUGGUGGAGCUCGAACCAAUAAACUAGUGUAAACUAAAAGGAAGAAAAGAAAAUCACAUGAAUCAUGCAUAUAAUAUUUAAGAACAAUCACAUUAUUCUUGCUGAAUUAGUCACAAAUUUUGUAGCAAUUACGUACACAUCAAAUAUAAUUGCACUUGAUCACUUCAUGCCAUAUAUUUUAGUAUCUAGAGUCAUGCUGAUAAGGUUUAUUGCCCAAAUUUAAGUUCAUUGGGGAUAUCAAUCACAAUUAAGUAGCCUUUCUUCGUUGAAACUUCGAAUAUACUACGUACCUAACAUAAAUCUGCCUAACUCCCUGCUAAUCAUGAGCCAAUUAUCAGUAAUUAAAUCCAUCUAGGCCUAGAACUUUAAAAACCAUUUGAUCAAUCAUCAAAGAAUAUAUAAACGAUUGUAGUCAUGUCAAAAGGGAUUCUUCCUCGAAUAAGCACAAUGUUAUAUAGUUAUAAAUGAGAUUAUUGCUGACAGCAAGAUUGCAUUAUCUAUGUAUAUUAAUUUAAUUAAAGAAAAGAUCAUGUCCCCAUAAAAAAAAAAGGAAAUUAAAAAGCAGGUUAUAAAGACAAAAAAAUGAAAAUAAAAAUAAAAUCAGUUCUGCCUUGCAUAGAUUAAUUAAUGGUAUGUUGGGCCAAACCAUGCUGAACUACUAUACACGCAUCACUUAAAAAAAAAGGAAACCGAAAUGAAUCAAACGAAUCAAGAAGGCGGCGGAGCGAUAGACGCGUGCAAAGCAUGCGUUAAAAUCUUUUUUGUUUUUUCCCUUAUUUGUAUAAAAUCAAAAAGGCCCUUAAGACUAAACAAUAAUAAUAUACAAAACCACGAUGAAUUUACAAUCAAGCCCUUGGAGUCAUGGUUAAAAAAUUUGAAUGAUAAGGAUAAUGUGAUACUUUUACUGUUCUAUCAAAUAUGAAAAUACAAAAACACCUUUAUACUUGUAAUAACCCAAUUUUGGAUUCUUCAAAUUUUCUUUAAAUGUUUUAUUUUUAUUUUUAUUAUUAUUCAUAAAAAAUGCAAAAAGAAAGGGAAAAAAAAGCUUAAAAUUCAAAAAUAUAUUUUCUCGGGUCAACCGCCAUUUUCCAUGAAAAACAAGCCCAUCGGAUCAAUACGAGUCAAACCAUGUCGACCGGGAUAAAAAUUGAGUUUCAGGCCGUUUCGGGUUAAACAUGUCAUUUGUGGUCAAAACCGAGUCCAUCGGAUCAAUACGGGUCAAACCAUGUCGACCAAGAUAAAAAUAGAGUUUCAGGUCUUUUCGGGUCAAAACCGUCAUUUUGUGUCAAAACCAAGUCCACCUGGUUUAUGUGGGUCAAACCAUGUUGACCGAGAUAAAAAUUGAGUUUUAAGCUAUUUUGGGUCAAAAUUGUUAUUUUUGAUUAAAACCUGUUUUACGAGGUUGAUACUGGUUAAAAAAGUUUUAAGUGAAGGUAACCUUUUUCUUGAAAGGAUGUUUUAAGGGUGAUGUCUACCUUCCCUUAAUCAUACCUAACCCAGUAGCUGAAUCUUUGGGACCAGUAUCUAAUUUGUGAUUUCUAAUUUCCUUAAAUUACAAGAUAACGACUCCAAUUAAAUCUUAAUUUUCCCCUAUUAAUCUUUUUGUUAAAUAAAAAAAGUGGAGCAAUCGUGCAAUCCUCAAAAGAAGUUUAUAUGAUAACCCCGUGCAAUCCUCAAAAGAAGUUUAGUUUUUUUUUUAUUGUGCAUUAAAAAACAUAACCCCAUGCAAUCCUCAAAAGAAGUUUAUAUCAUCCUGAAAAGACCAACCUAACACCCCUAUGCCAAGUUAAAAGAUCAAAUAACUAAUGAAUAAUAUAGUAAUUAUAUUAUUGUAAUGACUAGUAAAUUGUGUAUAGAGACACAAUCGCUACGGGAAAUAGUUUUUGUAGAUAAUUUUUAUGAAGGUAUUUUUAUUCUUAUUGAUUACAUCAUUUGUUGUCUUGGUACAGUUCUACUUGAGGAUUUGGUCAAGUUUUUUGAAUCCAUUUGGAUUAUUUCAUUCCCACCAGAGGGCUUGUCUUAAUUUAUAAUGCAUCUGUAUGGGGAUUCGGAGGUCAUCGCGAAUCACCCAAAUAUUUACGCGUUCCUUGUCGUGGUUUCGUAGAAGGAAAGUGAAAAUCUACGGAAGAAUCUGUAGAAAUGACUUAUACUUGUGAAAUACUGAAACCAUAAACUCUUUUUGCUUACUUCUUGCAAGGGGGGAAAUAAAAAAGAGACGAAGCUUAUCAUUUCAGAUUUCAUCAUGCAAAGAAUACCCGAAACAUUAAUUGGGAUUUUUUUUUUAAUUUUAUAAUCAUCGUUUGAUUUAUUGAAAAGUAGUUAUUAAUUAGCCAUUUAAUUAAUGACUAAACAACAGAAAAUAAGAGUUAAUACGGAAGGAGCAAUAUAAAGAAAAACGAAAUACAAAAAUCUCUAUUUCCUUAAUUACCUAAAUUAAUUUUGGGAUUUAACUAGACAAAGGAAUCAAUUUACCUCCCUGCAAAGCAUGCACUAAACAGUCAUGCACUACACCAUUAAACAGUUUUACUUAGUCCGUCGGUCACAGGAAUGAAAUCCGUCGGUGAAAUAAUUACAGACGGCCUCACCGACGGAACACGUCCGUCGGUAUAACAGUCGUCGGUAAAAUCCAUUUCCGUCGCUAAUUCUAUCGCAAAUAAAAAAAAAACACACACCGACGGUCUUACAGACGGAUACACGCGCGCAAAAAAAAAAAGUUUCCCGCGGGAACAUUACCGACGGAAUAAAUCCGUCUGCAAUUUCAACGGUAAUCACCGACGGACUUACCGACGUAUAAUCCGUCGGUAAUUAUGGCAUGGCUGGUAAUUGUUUGGCAACUCUCUGUGGAAUACCGACGGAUACUAUCCGUCGGUAAAUCCGUCGGUGAUUAAUACCGACGGAUAUAUAUCCGUCGGUAAUUAUGGCAUGGCUGAUAAUUGUUUGGCAACUCUCUGUGGAAUACCGACGGACAUUAUCCGUCGGUAGGUAUGUAAAAUAUAUAUAAAAAAUAAUUUUGUUUAUAGUAAAAAACCUUAAUAAACAAAUAACAAUGGAUUAAACAUUAAAAAUAUAAAAGUAAUGUUAAAUAAUAUUCAUUACAAAUUUAAUGUGUUUUUUUAAAAAAUUAAACUAGAAUAGCGGCGGAGCUGGAGGAGGAGGAGGAGGAGGAGGAGGAGGCUGGUUGUUCCCGGGACUAUACGGCCAAAAAGAAGCAGCACAAGUAUCGUCACCUAUCUUUGAUCUCAUCUCCAUGACUAUUUGACGGAGCUCAUCAUAAUUCGUCGAGAGUUGUUGAUAUUGUUGUUUCAACGCAAUGAACUCCUCAGACUGGGUGUUCGAUACUGAUGGAGAGCUUCCAACAGUUGAGACACUACGAGCCGAACACAAGUUUUCAGCCGUAGUGUUGGAGAGCCCGUAGACCCGAUUUUUAUCGGUUCCACCAGACGAUCCCGCCUCCAUCCACAAAUCUGGAUCGAAAUCUGGAUGGGUCGACGGAAUGUCCCCAUAUCUCUCCCUCAACCGGCUAUUAUAGGUCUCCUGAAAAUUCUGUCGGUAAAAAAAUCAUUAAAUGCAAUUCAAGAUGCAAUUCAAGAAAAUAAUAACUUACAAAAUAAAAUGAAUGAACGAACAUACCACAAAGUGCUGAGCACGGUUGUCCACGAACUGCUGCACCCCCUUUUGGCGGUCUUGACUCCGCACAUGCGUCUCUACAAACAGCUCCAUUGGACUCGGUUCACGUCCAAGAGAUGCAGCCUGUAAGGAAAAAAUAGGUUGAAAGUUAAAUAUAUUAUAAGAAACGACAAAUUAUUUAACGAUAUAUUUCAUUGAAAUUAAUCUUACCAUCCGCUUUGCAUGUGCGCUGAAUGAGACUGAUCCGCCAGUGUGCGUGGUCACCGAACCAUGAAUUUGCCGGUUCCGGUUGUCGGCGCCGGACUGUGAGCGCCGUGAGAACCGCUCUGAGGUCACGUGCUCAAUAUAUGCCGUCCAUAUUUCCCCCGAGAUGAAUGGCGGUUUGAAUUCCUACCAAACCGCCACCUCAUUCCAUCCUUCAAGACCGUUAUCCCUCGCUUGUCUUUUUGAUUUUUUUUGGGUGUCAUACCAAAAAUCACGCAACCUACUUCCAUAGUAACAAAUUAGAAUUUAAAACAUAAAAUUAUAAAACAAAAAUAAAUAUUAUUUUCGAUGUUACCUAGUUGCCGCGUGAUUCUCCCAUACCCUCCUCACAACAUUGUUGUCCGCCCUAUCCCACUCAAAUUUGUUCUGUGUAUAUAAAUAAUUCAUAUAAAAUAAGAAUAGUACAAGAUAUAAAAUUAUAAAAAUCAUUUAUUAAAAAUAAGCUGGAAAUUAAAAAUUUACACCGACCUGAAAUCGCCUAAACCAUGCAUCGAUAUUAGGUUUCCACUCAGGAUGUCUGGAAACCUGGCUCCAUUGAAACAAUGGAAUCUUCAUCGACGAUUUAAACGCCAAUGUUAUAGUCCUUGCAGCCUCAAUGUUUGUGAACCUGAAAUUAAAUAAAAGUAGUAAUAUUAAUUAGUUGUUCAUAAAUUAUGUUAUAAGUAUAUAAAAAAAAACACUAAAACCUAAACAAACUUACAUUGAGAGGUCAUCCUUCCAUUGUGCCUGGUACUUACGGGUGAAUUGACCCCGCUGUGAAGGCACACCGCUUCUGCGCUGUGAAACCGCGCUAGAAUUAGAGGCAGCAUCACAAGUUGGCGUAGAUUCCUCGCCGUGAUCAGCACCUAAGGAUACGUCCUCCUCGUUGCUAGAAGAACUAGCUGCAACCGUCUGGUGACGACGUAUUGUAGAUUUCAUUCUACGCAUCUACACAAAUUUAUACGAAUAAUUACAUAAUUAACUUCGAUUAUUUUAAAAAAAAUUCGAUAGAGUCUCCCCUAUACUGAGGGGUCACAAGUUAUCGACAAAAUCAUAUUACACUUCCAAUUUUAUUUCACAUCCCGAUCCAAUCAUCCUGGAUCUCAACCCAACUCAUCAUCAUCAACACAACAUUUUAUUCAAUAACAUCAUAUAAUGAUAUUCAAGUAAAAGAAUCAAUUUCAACUAUGAACAUUCAUUGUUAAAUUGGUACUUAGAGUUACAAACAUUAGAUUAAAGUCAUACAUUCAAAUUUACGGAUUAAUAUUACAUUUCAAGUUUGAGGAGACAAGACUCUUAAUUUAUAAAUAAUUACAUGGUCAAAAACAAAAGAUAACUAAAUCAAUAUCAUUCCUAACACGAUCGACCCUAAUGGACCUCAAAAUAAAAAUUAACGUGUACACAUAAAUAUAAAAAUGUAAUAACAAGCAAUAACAAUGACAUGGAAACAAUAAUAUCCUAAAUUAAGAUAAACUAAUUAAAAGUAAUUCUAUAUAUAUAAAUUAACAUUUUUAACAUAAAUUCAACAAUAACAUUUAUAGCAAUACAAACAAUAAUAUCCUAAAUUAAGAUAAACUAAUUAAAAGUAAUUAUAUAUAUAUAAAUUAACAUUUUUAACAUACAUUCAACAAUAACAAUUAUAGCAAUACAAACAAUAAUAUCCUAAAUUAAGAUAAACUAAUUAAAAGUAAUUAUAUAUAUAUAAAUUAACAUUUUUAACAUAAAUUCAACAAUAACAAUUAUAGCAAUACAAACAAUAAUAUCCUAAAUUAAGAUAAACUAAUUAAAAGUAAAUCUAUAUAUAUAAAUUAACAUUUUUAACAUAAAUUCAACAAUAACAAUUAUAGCAAUGCAAACAAUAAUAUCAUAAAAUUAAUAAAUAAAAUUAAAAAACUAAAAAACAUUACACAAAACAACAUAAACACAAAACAAACAAUACACAAAACUAAAAAACACUAUAUCAAUUCAAAAUAAAUUUGGGAAUAAAAAAUGCUUACCUUAAUAGUGUGUUGAAUGUAAGAUUUUAUCUACAAACAACACACAAAACAAAGAACACCAAAAAAAAUAAUCAUAAUUAAAAUAAAAAAAUACAAAGAUAAAGAAAAAGGAAUACAUACCUUGGUAAAAUCACAACCACCAAAACAAAGAAAUCUCUUCAAUUUAACAAAUAGAAACGGAGAGGAGAAGAGAAAUGGAGAAGAAGAGAAACGGAGCUGAGAGAAAAAAAUGAACCAAAUGGGGGGGGGAGUGGGGAUUUAUAUGGCAAUUUUUCCGAUGGAAUUACCGACGGACAUUAAUUGUUGUCGGUGGCAUUAAAUUCCGUCGGUAAUUCCGUCGGAAAUUAAUUGAAUUGCGCACCAAAAAAAGUUCGAAAAUCCCGCCAAACUUUUUGAUCCGUCGGUAUUCGUGCAGACGGACACGUGUCAGACAUGCGUGCGCUUCGGGAAGUGCGUAAAUCCGUCGGUAAUAGACGUCGGUACAGCCGUCGGUAUGUGUGUAGACGGACACGUGUCAGACAUGCGUGCGCUUCGGGAUGUGCGUAAUCCAUCGGUGAUUCCGUCGGUAGUGUACGUCGGUGAAUGUGGCACAAUCCCGUAAUUAUUUUGCAACUCUCUGUGAGAUACCGACGGGUUACAUUCCGUCGGCAAUUCCGUCGGUGAAUGUGGCACAAUCCCGUAAUUUUUUUGCAACUCUCUGUGAGAUACCGACGGGUUAUAUUCCGUCGGUAAACCCGUCGGUGAAACCGUAAAUUUUUCUUAUUUUUUUAUGUAACGCUUUCAAAAAAUCUUGAAUUGCAAUAUUACAGCACACACAACACAAUAACAAGGGCUGACCAUUAAAGAAGAAUAAAUAUUUCAUGUUUCAAAUUAUUGCAUAAUUAUAAAAUAAGGCUUUAUAACAUGUUUAGUUAGUCAGAAUUUUCAAUUAAAAAUGAUCACGAGUUCAAAUUUUUACCACUUUAUUUUUUUUAUACUUAAAAUAAAAUCAACAUAGCUAAUAAUAAAUUUAUGCAAGUUUUAAAUUAAAAGAAUUCACACAAAAAAUUGCAUUAAAAAAUAAUAUAAAAUCAUCAUCAAAAUAUUAGCUUACUACCAUGAGACAUGGAGCAUUCAUUUAUGAUUUUCCAACUACUUCUAUAAGUAUAAGAGUUGACCCUUCCCAUUGUACGUGGUCAUGACGUUUCAAUGAAAUUAAUCUCUAGUCAGUUAAAGUGUGGGAAAAAUAAAAAAGAGACGCAGCUUGUCGUUUCUAACUUGAAAAUGCAAAGAUUACCUCUAAAAUUUGGAAUUUAGUCAAAGGAAUCAAAUUAGCGGCGCCCUGCAAAUUAUGCGUUGAGCAUUUGUGGGCUGGAUUCAACCUAACCUAUAAAACAAAUCAAACUAAAUCGAUGUAUUUGGAUUUCAAAAAAAAAAUAAAAAUGAUGCGUGCAACAUAAGUUAAUAAAUUCACCUAACAUUUUGAAGACAUGCUGAUGGUUUUGGGACGGCAGGAUGGGCCGGUAAGGGACUGAGCCGAUGGAUCUGAAUUAUUAUUAUUAUUAUUAUUAUUUUUUAUUAAUAUGGGUGUCCAGGUCAGCUUGCGCGCAUCUUAACUAAUCUCACGGACCCUGAAGUUAACGACCAUGUAAGCCUCCAGUCAUGGACGAAGCCAAUAAUUUUUCCUCUCCAGAGCUAUUAAAUAAAUAUAUAAUUUUUUUUAAAGAUUAAUUAUUAACUUAUGUACAUGAAUUUUUGAAGUUAACAAUAAAGUUUUAAUUCAAAUACACUACCCAAAAUAUUAAAAAAUAAAUUUGAAAGUAUAUAAAAUUAAAGUGAAAGUAAAAAUAAACCCAUUAUUGAAGUUAUGUCCUUCGAUAUUUUGUGGAAUAUAAUUCAUCUAUAAUCGAAUCUGAAUCGAUAUUGUAACAACCCCUCAACCGGGAUAAAAUAGCAAUCUCAUGUCAACUGAAAAAUAAAGUAAUUAAUUUUUUUUCUCUCUCAAUUCCUCUUUCCUUCACUUGAUUCUUCAUUAGAUUAGUGUUUUAUAAGUUGGAUUUUGUAAGUUUACAAGGUUAUUCUCUCACUUUUUUUAUUUUUUCUUUGGAUUUUUUUUAUGUUUUCUCUUAUUUUCUCUCUUUCUCUCUCGCCUUUUUUUUUCUUUCUUUUCCUAUUCUGCUUCUACCCAGUCGGCAACAUAUAAAAAGAAGGAAGAGCUGAUUUGUUUUAUUUUUUAAUGGCAAAUAACUAUUUUACCCUUAAUGAGUCGUUUUGCUUUUAUUUGACGGUCCUUUUUUUUUGUUAGCACUACAAAGCUCCGUUCAUUCUAAAAUUUUAACCAGAUUUUAUUCAAUAUAUUUGAAGAUCUCUUGUAAAAUUUCAGCUCAAUCUGAUGGUCGGAUUGAAAUUAUGCCCAAUAACGUAAAACUGGUCAAAUUGUGAUUUUUCAUCAAAUUUCUGAAUUUCUCCAAAAAUUAUAAAAUUUUAACCUAAGCUAAAGCAUUAUAUUAAAAGGCUCCAAGAAAAUUUUCAGAAUUUUUUAAUAACUCAAUCGAGAAUUAUAAAUUGUUUUUACAUAAAACUAGUAAAAAAAUAUAUAUUGAUAAAAUCUUGACCUGGGCUAGCCUUUAACAUGCCUUCACUCUUGCUUCCACUGGCCCUGAGAUUUGUGAGAUUCGAACUGGUGAUCUCUAAAAAACAAACUUAAAACGUGAUUAGUUGAGCUACACCUCUCAGAAUUGAUGGAUCUGAAUUGUUAUACACCAAAGAUGAUGCAGUAAGAUUUGGGAAGGUUAAAGUAUCAAUCAAAACCAGAUUCACCACGCGUCUAAUAUGUAAUUGUUAGGUAUCGAAGAUAAUUUUUUUUAUUAUAGUCAAAACUAAUACAAGUUUUGAAUAAUUCUCAAACCCAAUCCUUACCAUAAUAUAAUAUUUUCUUGCUAGGUAUCUUUAUAGCACACAAGAACAUCCAAUAUCAUCUCUAAAUUAAAAAAAAUUAGGUCUAAGUACAGGCAUAUUUAUAAAUAAAGAACAUGUAUAACACUAAAACCUAUAAGAAUUCUUUUUUCUAGACAAAAACAAUCUUACAUUUAUAAAGUCUUCAUUAAUAUUCUUACUCCACCCACCAACUUUCAAAACGAUAUUUUAAAUGGAAGACAAUUCUCUUAAAUAUGAAAAUAGACUCUUGAAUUAUGCCAUUAUCCAUAAAAAAAACUAACUAUUACGUACAAGAAUACAUAUACGUGGAUGGAUAGAUAAUUAUAUCCCAACCUUGACAUGUCCUCAAUAUUUCCAAACUUGUUAAUUAGUUUUGACGUCAUCCUAUCAAAUUAUGAACGUAUUGACAUGUCCCUUGUUAAUUAGUCUAUUUGGGUUGUUACAUAGUAAUAUAAAAUAAGAAAUAUUAUUAGAUUAUUGUCUCACAAUUUAACUCUUGAAUUGAGAUAACUUCUUAGUAUAAUAUUAUCAUUGAAUAAUUUCUACGGACACCACGAUGGUAGAUUGUAGUAGGUGAAACACAUAUAAGAAAGAUCAAGAUAAAAAAAAAAACCAAUUAGGUACUAUUUUGUUAUUAUUUCAAGGUAAAAAAACAGAGAGAUAAUCGAAAUAAAAAUAUGUUUGAUUAAAAAAAUAAAAAUAAAAAAAUAAAAUAAAUAUGUUUUUUAUGAUAAUUAAUUUUUCAGUAAAUUUUUAUAUUUUAAAAAUAAAAAUUACAAAAAUUAUAUCCUUUUAGUCUCUUUUAUUUUGAUACAGUAAUCGAAUUCUACUGCAAUGAUUACAUGCAAUUAUUCAAUAUAUAUAGGUUUAGAUUCCUAUUAAAAGAAGGGGUAUUGAUUAAUAUCUAAAAACCAUCUCAAUCCAAUAACUUAAACUAUUAAGUAAAGUUUUUAUAUUAUUCUCUAACAAUCAAUAUAGUUAACCUGACAUGCAUGGAAUUCUAUAUAAAAUGGAGCCUACCCAGGGUACAAGAAACCAUCACUAGUCAUACACACAAAGAAAGAUAUGGACUAUGAAAUUGCAGGUCUGGUUCUAGCAGUCUUGCUAUGGGUUGCAUGGGCAGUGGUGACUCAACGUCGUUACCGUCGUUUUGAAGAGCAAGGGCAGCUACCACCAGGGCCUAGACCACUGCCAGUGGUUGGCAAUAUCUUCCUGCUGGGUUGGGCACCACACGAGUCUUUUGCUAAUUUGGCUCGUGUUCAUGGUCCAAUCAUGACCAUUUGGCUCGGGUCCAUGUGUAACGUGGUCAUUUCCUCGAGCGAAGUGGCUCGUGAGAUGUUCAAGAAUCAUGAUGCGGUGUUGGCUGGGAGAAAAAUCUACGAGGCUAUUAGAGGUGAUUUUGGCAAUGAAGGGUCUAUAAUCACAGCCCAAUAUGGACCGCAUUGGCGCAUGUUAAGGCGCUUAUGCACCACCGAAUUCUUUGUGAGUAGCCGCCUUGAUGCCAUGCAGGGUGCACGAACUAGGUGCAUCGAUGGCAUGCUGCAAUACAUAGAAGAUGAUAGUGCCAAUGGCACUAGCGCUAUUGACCUUGGGAGAUACUUUUUCUUGAUGGCUUUUAAUCUUAUUGGCAACCUCAUGUUUUCUAAAGAUUUAUUGGACCCAAAAUCGGAGAAGGGAGCUAAGUUUUUUCAGCAUGCAGGUAUAGUCUUGGAGUUGGCAGGUAAGCCUAACAUGGCUGAUUUUUUUCCAAUUUUAAGAUGGCUUGAUCCACAAGGUGUAAGGAGGAAGACACAGUUCCAUGUUGCAAGAGCCUUUGAGAUUGCAGGAGGGUUCAUCAAAGAAAGAACAGAGAGUGUGCAAAAGGAAAAUAGUAGAGAUGACAAGAGGAAAGAUUAUCUAGAUGUCCUUUUGGAGUUUCGUGGUGAUGGCGUGGAGGAGCCCUCUAGAUUUUCUUCAACAACGAUCAAUGCGAUUGUCUUAGUAAGUAGCAUCUCUUUUCCUAUGGUUCUCUUUUCUGUCCUAUCUUUGCAUACAAUUUUGUGUUUUUGUUCGGAGGCGGCGAAGCCUGUGUUAAUAUAAUUGUCUACCUAGUAAGUAACAUCUCGUUUGACAGCUUUGUUAAGCUCAGACCUCUGUUAGUAAAGUACUCCGCCCCGCUGAUAGGUUUACCUUCAGCUCUAGCUUGUGUUGGCCUUUUUUUUUAAAAAAAAAAAUCAAUCCAGAUUGAAUUAGUUGAUUGGACAUAUUAAUCUGUUACUCGGUUAGAAUUUCAUUGAUUUUUUUUCAAAAUUAUUGUUUUGAUCUUUAAAAAGAAUUUUAUUAGACUUACUUAAAAAUCAAUCUCAUGAUCCGAGACUUACACUGAAUGCAACUCCGAGUUAGGUCUAAUUAUAACUAUGGCUUGGACUAUGGAAACUAUAGUUCUACAUAAACGGUGGAACCAAAAAUUUAUCAAACCCGGCCUGAAUCAGUAGAUUAACCUAGAACCCAAUUGAUUUGACCUGUUGUUUAAGUUGAAUUUUAAAAUAAAAUUAACUUUGAGAUGAUACUGUUUGGCUUGAUCGACACUACUAGUUAAUUUGAUCAAAAUUUUAUUUGAUUUUUUUAAUUUUUUUUUAAAAUAAUAUUGUUUUGAUUAAUUUUAUUUAAUUCACCCAACUCAUGACUCAAAGUUUAAACUAGGUAUAAUAUCUUUGUUUUUAAGUAAUGUUCAAAAACAUAAAUUAAUUAUCAUAUUUAUCUCGGGCCUGGGUUUUUUCCAAACCAUAGUAAAGAAAUUAUUAGGAGAUAAUAUACAAAAUUAAAUCACUAACAAUCUUAAUUAUUGUCAUGAUUUUUUCUUAUAGGAAAUGUUUACGGCAGGGACUGAUACAACAACAAGCACUUUGGAAUGGGCCAUGGCUGAACUUCUACGUAACCCUAACGUAAUGAAGACAGUCCAAUCCGAGUUGAGAAGCACCAUUGGCCCCAACAAGAAGCUCGAAGAUAAAGACAUUGAGAAUCUCCCAUACCUAAAGGCAGUCAUCAGGGAAACACUGAGACUUCACCCUCCUCUCCCUUUUUUAGUCCCGCACAUGGCCAUGAACCCUUGCAAGAUGCUAGGCUAUUACAUCCCUAAAGAGACAACAAUUCUAGUUAAUGUGUGGGCCAUUGGAAGGGAUUCAAAGACUUGGGAUGACCCUUUGGUUUUCAAGCCAGAAAGGUUCUUGGAACCAAACAUGGUGGAUUACAAAGGUCGUCAUUUUGAGUUCAUACCAUUUGGUUCUGGCCGUAGAAUGUGCCCUGCCAUGCCGCUCGCUUCUCGUGUACUUCAUUUGGCUCUUGGAUCGCUCUUGCUUUCAUUUGAUUGGAUUUUGCCAGAUGGCCUCAAGCCAGAGGACAUGGACAUGACUGAAAAAAUAGGGAUAACACUUCGAAAAAAUGUUCCUUUAAAGGUCAUACCAACACCUUACAAGGGGUCAUCACAUCAUUAUGGGUUUUGAGUUGAAAUGAGAUCUUCUAAAAAAAUAGACUCGUAACCUAAAUUUUAGGCAAGCCAGACACAGGCUGUGUCUUAUAUCUAAGUUACAAAAUGUUAUAUUAGUAUUGUAUUCAAUUUAGUUGUUUGAGUCAUAUAUUUUGUUGUUAUCCAUUUUUGGAUUCCCCACAAAAAAUAAAAAAAAUACAAAAAAAUACACAUCAAAAAAAUAUAUUCGGAAGGAAUAAAAAAAAAAUAGGAGUGAGAAAAAGUUGCUGGAACUACCAUAAAAUGGCUAGGAAUUGGUUGAGGAGGUUCAGAAAUACAAGAAUUGAAAUUUGACAGUAAGAACCCUGUUGAUAAGGAAAAUUCAAUUUGAGGAAGAAAAGUCCAAAAUUAGAUGUUUAUGAACUCAAUUAAAUUUUAUCCAAGGUUUAAUUGAAUUUAUAGAGGGUUUGAUUGCAAGAAAAUUGAUUUCUUAAGUCAAUUUCGGCUUUUAUUGGAAGAAAUUAAAAUUCUGGGGUCCAAUUAUAAUUUUAAAGAGUUGAUUUGGUCAAAUCAGAGGCUUAAUUGCAUAAUUAUUCAAGUUUGAUGGUCAAUUAAGGACUUAAUUGAAACAAUCCAAAACCAAGGACUAAAUCGGAAAAAGCGCUAACAUCAAGGGGUCUAAUUAUAAUUUUUCUAGGGGGCUUGAUUACAAAAUUGUUAAAACAUCCAAGGACCAAAUCAGAAAUAUUCUUUUUGAAUUAGAAAACGACGCCGUUUCAUUUGUUCAUCACCUUCUUCAUCUGCAACGGUUUCUACAGUAAAGGCAAUGCAGGCGUUACCAGCUUCAAUCAAGGAGCACGUUUAGCGGCUGACAUCCCUCGCCACCGUGAUGCACGCCGGCCGUUACCACGAAACGCCUGCGUCCUCUGGCUAUAAAAGCCAGAGGAGGAACCGAACCGGGGAGGAGGAGGGUGAAGACGCGACAGGAAAAAAAGAGAGAAAGAAAGACAGAAGAGGCAUAGUGAGCAGUACGUGAGGAGAAACAGAAGCAGGCAAAAGGCAGGAGGAAGAAGAAGAAAAUACAGAAAAAACCAAAACAGCGUCCCCCGCUUACCACCACCCGUCUUCCUCUUCGCCGCAACCAACAGCACCGCUAGCACCAGCAACACCUCCACGGAGCCACUGCAGAGAGGCAAGAACACUGUUGACGGGAGAAACGAAAUACAGAGGAAACAAGCAGUACGGCGAAGCAGAGGUGAGAAGAAAGAGAAGCAACGUCUGCCACCACAGCCGGGUGCCGCGACGUCAGCUUCUCACCAUCGUCCUCCCCCUGCUGCAACACCCGUGAAGAAGAAGAAGAAGCCUGCGCCUCUGCACAGACGGGAAGAAUAGCAGCAAACACUGCCCGCCACCGCAGAGAAGAGCCAUCGUCUGCAGCCACCAGUGCCACCUUAAGCCACCAUCAACAACGACAUCACCACCAUUAGAAGUAGAAGAAGAAAAAGAGAAACAGGAGACAGAAGCGGGGAGAAGAAGGAACACAGAAAAAACAAAGAGAAGGAAUAGAACCACCGCCCAACAGCAUAUAACCGGCAGCUUCAGCUCCCGCAAGAACGGACAACCGCCAGGUAAGCCUCCACUUCUCUUCUUCUUCUUCUUCCUCGCCCGGGCUGCUCCACUGUUCACGUUGCAUGUGAACAGUGGAGAGUUCUCCACUGUUUGUUUUUGUUUACUGGGCUGGGCAGUGCCGGCCCAGCCCAAAAUGAGUGGGCCGGGUCCGGCCCAGCCCAAAAAUAAAAAAACUGUUUUCAGAAAAUUUGUGAUUUCCCCGCGUAUUUUUUAUUGUAUUUUGAUCAAUAUUGGUUUGUAUUUUUAUACUGUAAAGAUAUAAAUCCGGUAUUAAAAUACCUAGUUUUCGUCAAAACAUAAAAAAAAUAUUUUGUCUUCAUGCAUACGGCCAAGUCUCUAAAAAAAAUCAUAUCAUAUUUUCAUACAACAAAAAUUCAAAAAAAAUAGGUAUUAGCAUGCAUUUUGACUUUAAUAACCAGUUUAUUAAAGUCACGAGAACUAAGCCAAUAUUUCAAAAAUUUUUAAAAAAAUUAUUUUGUUUUCUUUUAAUAUCUAGGGUUAUGAUCUUAUAUGUAAGACAUAUUCCGGAUAUUAAAUUCUUUUGUUGAGGUUAGAACGAUUAGGUUUUACCCGAUAAGAUAAGGACCUCUUUACUUUGGAGAACUUUUUUUAAAUCAGAGACGGACCAACAACUAGAAAACACGAUAAGACUUUAGAUUUUAUCAGACAAUAAAACAAUGCAGCUUACCUUAGGUAGGGCGUAUUUAGAGUGCUAAUACAUUCCCUUUACGCAACCAGUCCCCGUACCCAAUCUCUGAGACCAGUUAGGGUUCCUAAUGAUCAAAAUACUAGGUGGCGACUCUCAUUCCAUUUUUCCACUAAUAAAAGACAAGAAUUCCUUGUCUCCCCACAUUUGCCACAUUUUUAGAUAAUACAGAAUUUGAGGGUGGAUGUUUUCGUCGCGACGCAGCACACGUGCGACAUAUUUGAUUCUUAAUUUGUAUGUGCAUGUAUAUUAAUGUCUAUCUAUAUAUAAUCUAGUUGUGGAGAAGUUUUUUUAAUUAAUUAGCGUGUUUGGUAAUGCGGUUUAACCUAUUUUUCAAACUAAUUUUUAUUUUUAAAAAAUAUUAAAUUAAUGUUUUAAGGUGUCUGUCGAUGAUUUUGAUGUAUUGAUGUUAAAAAUAAAAUAAAAUCUAAAAACAAUAUUAUUUUGAUACAUUUUUAAUUGAAAAACACUUUAAAAAACACUGUGCACUUCAUUAACAAACACACACUAAAAAUUUCACAACCCAUUUCUAGGUUAUUCCCUUAAAUUUACCCUUUAUUUCCUUUUUAAAGUAAAAAUAAAUAAUAAUACAAAGGAAAUUGGCGAUGAGGAAAAAACUGGCUAAGGAAGGAUUUCAAAUAUGCAUAAAAUCAAGCUACAAUUUUGGACAAAGUCGAAAGCCUGAUCGUGCCCUGUUGUGCUCAAAACUAAAGAAACAAUGCAGAUCUAAGGUCAAAUUAAAUGAUAUUGGAUGAAUCUGCAUAAUAAUUAAGUUCAAGGACAUAAUUAGAUUUUUAAUAGUCUAAUUUGAUUUAAUCAUGGGUCAAAUUAAAAGUUUAAUUAUGUUCAAGAAUUAAUUUGGGUGCAAUUAAAGGAUUUAAUUAUGUGCAAGGACUUAAUUAUACUUUAAAUGGGUCAAAUUAAUUUUAUUAGGGGCUUAAUUGGAGAAAAAUUAAGUUUGAGAGCCUAAUUUUAGCUUAAUUGAGAAUGUUAAAAUUUUAGAUGAUCAAAUUUAAUUUUUACCAAGUCAAUUGAUUCAAAUCAGGGGUGAAAGUGCGAGAAAAUAAAAAGUUUGGUGUCAAUUAAAGGCUAAAUUGAAGAAAUUCAUAGCCAAUGAGGAUUAUUUUGCAUAAAUCCAAGACCAAGAACCAAAAUGAAAAAGGCGUUGAAAUUUGGGGUUGGCAUUGAAUUUUGGCAAGGGCAAAAUUGCAUAAAAUUAGAAGUUUAAGGUCAAUUAGGUGUCCAAUUAAAAGAAAUUAAAAGUCGGAGGAUCUAAAUGAAUUUUAGCUAAACCGCUAAAUUAAAACCCUAAAAAUUCCAAAACAACACCAUUUUGAACAGUAAAAAAAAGGAUCAUACAACGUGUUGUCUAAUUUUAUUUGUCUUUUUUUUUCUUCAGGUCAAAAUGACUGCCAAGGGGGCUACUUUUAAGGGGCAUUUAAUGUUUCUUCUCUCCUUCAAAUUUGACAAAACAUAUAUGAAAAUGAUGGCCUAACAUUCUACCAUACCCCGAUAUGGUUUUUUCCGGCUAAUUGACACCAUAGCGGCUCCUUAAAAUGGCCAACCGGACUAACAUUUUAGUAGCUAUAUUGACAGUUCAUUAUGACCACUUUGAGUUAACGAUUAAGAUCUUUCUGCGUCAAAUCAAGGGCCAAGAUUUAACAUCAGUAAAGACAAAAUGCUCAUCUUCCACCCCCAAAGUUUGGACCAUACUGAUAUUUCACAAUGGUGGCUUUCUAUCCAUUUACAUUAAUAAACAAAGACAGGAGGUGGAAAUUGCCUCUCCACCUUAUUAUCUUACCAAACCACUUAGAUGUCAUUAGCAUAACCCCAUAAAAGGUUACAGUUCAUGCAGUAAAAAGUAUAAACGAAUACGGGUAAAAGAGUGAUUAGAUUAAAUUCAUUGAAAGUUUUUAGAAAAUAAAAUAGUGAAGGACAAGGAAUGUUUGGACAACAAAAAUAUAGACACUGACAGCGACAGCUGGAAUGCAUGAGCCAUCUAAUGCAUGCAAGUUGGAGACCUAAUUAAGGAAAACAAGUACGAGUACUCCUCAAAUCAUAACAGGGUGGAGAAAGGAAAAACUGGAAACAAACCAGAGUUGUGUUUUCCAUAAGCAAAGUAUAUUACCACAUCCUCUUUUUAAUAAUGAUAAGCAUCCAUCAGUUGAUCCAACCAUGCGAAAAUGUUGGGGAUCUUCUUUUGAUGCACUAAGCAGCACUUUUGGCCGCUUGUGUUUCUGAAGCUUCCUGAGUACUCCAGGCAUCUCAUUGCUUUCUCGUUCACUAUCUGAACACAAGGUACCCGAUUCAUAUUGUAAAGGGCCUCCACCAUUUCCACAGAUCUGUUGCGCACUUCAGCAGCUACCUGAUCAUCAACAACAAUAAAAAAUUAAGAUGAUACUUAAAGUGUACGAUGAACUUAAUUGCACAAAUUAAAGUUCAUGGAAAAUUAUCAUGCUGAAUAGAACCAAGAAAGUAUAAUGAUGGAAUGGAGUCACGAUAACACAUAAGGCAUACUUUCUUCCAGUUCUUUCCAUUUUCCCGAUAUGCUUUGUAAAAUCGUUCAAGUUCUGCCUUCUUCCAUUGAGGUCCUAACGUAUCAAAUUUCAAAUUUUCAGAAUUUUUUUUUUAAAAUGAAUUUCAGAAACAACUAAAAUAAUUCAAAAAUAAACCCCCCAAAAUUGAAAAAAGAAAUUCAAAUUCAAAACAUCACCAAAACCCAAAAUUUCAAUUCGACUAAAAUAUAUAAAUUUCAUAAAUUAUUUAAAAUAAAAUAAAUAACAAUCAAAAGAAUAAGGAUAAAAUUUGAUAGAUAAAAAAUUUUUAAUAAGAAAAAAUAAUAAGAGAAAAACAUAUAACAAUCAAAAGCACGAGAAUCAACAUUGAUAUAACAAUCAAAUUAAAUCAAAUUCUAAGGGAAAAAAUUAAAAAAAAUAAUAAAAAAUUAUUUAAAAAAAUAUAGCAGUCAAAAGAUUAAGGAUCAAAUUUGAUAUAAUCACCAGAUAACAAGAUAUUUUUAAUUUUUCACAACUUCUAGAAAAUAUUUUUUUGUCCAAAAUAACAGAAAAAAGUUUAAAUUGCCAAGUUGUAAUUUUAACUUGCUCGUCAAAUGUGGCCUGUUUGGGAUCGUGGUUGCUGUUACUUUUUAAAGUGUUUUUCAUGCUGAAAUAUAUCAAAAUGAUGUUAUUUUAUUUUUUAAAAAUUAUUUUUGAGAUUAACGCAUCAGAAACAUCCAAAACAUACAAAGAAAUUAAUUUUUAACAAAAAAAAACAAUUUGAAUUUUUUGAAAACCCAUCCCCAUUUAGGUUUUGGAUCAUAAAUUUUUGAAUCGACUUGUCAUGCCGCGCUAAGUUUAACAACCAUGUUAUUAACAUAUCAAUGGCUGUGAAUCAGAGAUGACGAUCAAAUUAUAUUAUGGUCUCCAGUGUUUAAAAAUGUUACUAUCCACUUCAAAUAGAGUUUGAGUCAUGUGAUGCACAAAUUAUAUUAGUACACUUUCAAAUACGCUCUCUAGAAUACUAAUAAAACACGUGACUAAUAUAUUUUAAAUUAAAAAACACAUUUAAAAAAUACUUUACAAUACAUUAUCAAACGCACAAGUCUAGCUCUCGAAAAGAUAUUUAAAUUACUAAUUAAGUUGUCAUUUUAAUUUACGGGUUAAUUAUUUAUAUUUGAAAACUCAACUCCAAUAAAGUUUUGGAUUGUAAAUUUUUUAAUCAACCUGUAGUGUUAAGUCAAGUUUAACAACCAUGUUAUUAACAUAUCAAUGGUUUCAACUUAGCCGACAUGUCAUUUAAAGAUUCAAGAUUGAGUACUUGCGAGGCUAUAUAUAGGCUAUUAACUAAUGUUUCUUGAAUCAAGGUUUCUGUGAAUAAAUGUUCUAGUUUCCCACCAGGUGGAAGUGGUUGCAAUUCCAUGUUCUUGAUUUGUUCCUAUUUCAAAAUCAUUAAACAUAAUAAUAAUAAAAAAUAUACAACCAAUAGUUUUUUUUUCUCUUUUUUUACUCCCUGGAUCUGUUGUCAAGGUACAGGGGCUUCUUUGAAGUGGAAUAACCCGACCACAAAAAUGCAGUGAUACAAAAUGCAUAUGCUCUACCCAGGAUAGAAAAUGCCUAAGUAUUAAAAUUCAAGUUUUAUAAUUACAUUAAUAUUUGGGAGUGCAAUAACUUCUGCUUUUAAAUAUAUUUUACUUGAAAAGAUAUAAAAUUGAUGUUUUUUAUAAUGUUUUAUUUAUAAUUGUAAUGUACCGAUAUCAAACCUCAAAAAAUAUAAAAAAAUAAAUUAUAAAAAACAUCACGCAUUGCAUUACAAAACACACAUUAAUAUCAGCUGAUAUUCUAAAAUUUGAGAUAAUCCUGUAUUUUUGGUGAAUCUAAGAGUUUCAAAAAUGAUUGAUCAUAAUUUAUAAUUUAUGGGUGAUUUUUUUAUUAUUUAUUUUUUUUAUUCUAUUUAAAAAAUAAUACCUAUAAUUAUUAUCUCGUAAAACUUUCAAGAAAAAAGAAAAAAAGUAAGACAAAAUCUGUGAUGGUACCCACAUGAAAUAGCAUUUACUCCGAUAAUCCAAAGCCCUUAAAAAUCAAGAGCCCACGAUCAACUUGAAUGGGUACACUUAUCUCGCUUAGACGACCCCGAUUCUUCUUUAGUUUUAAAUAAUCUUUUCAAUUCAGUUGUUGUAUCUUGCAUUUUUACAUUUUUAUAAGCAAGCCCUAUUUCUCAUAAUUUUUAGACCCGGUCCGAUCCAAGAUCUGGAUUUCGAGUUUUGACCGGGUCACCGGAUCAAUUCUUUUUUUAAAGAAAAAAUCAAAACAACGUCAUUUUAGUAAAAAAAAAAAAAUCAACGGGUUGCAACCUGGUUUUUGACCGAGUCUUGCCGGGUCAACCGGGUUUUUUCUUCCCCUGUUUUUUCUUCAACCCAGCCCGGUUCUAGCCCCGGGUCGACCCACCGCACCGGACCGGGUUUUAAAACUAGGCUACUUCUUGAAUUUUUAAAAAUGUUGUUAUGCAAAUUAAAUAUGAUUUUAGAAUUGAUUUUUUACUUCAAAUCAUAAUUGUUUUUCAUAAGCAAUAAACUGCAUUACAACGUAGAAAUAAUUAAAAUUUAUCUUGAAUCAAGAGAAAGUGUGCAUAACCAGGAUAUCAUACAGUAAUAAUUUCAUGUACAUGCUAUAAAUCUUACUUCAGAUCACAUUUUAUCAUUCAUAUUGAUGUUUAUAAAUUAGAAAUUACAAUCAAGCCCUUGGAGUCAUGGUUAAAAAAUUUGAAUGAUAAGGAUAAUGUUAUACUUUUACUGUUCUAUCAAAUAUGAAAAUACAAAAACCCCUUUAUACAUGUAAUAAUCCAAUUUUGGAUUCUUCAAAUUUUCUUUAAAUGUUAUUUUAUUUUUAUUAUUAUUCAUAAAAAAUCCAAAAAAAAAGAAAAAAAGUUAAAAUUCAAAAAUAUAUUUUUCUCGGGUCAACUGUCAUCUUCCAUAAAAAACGAGCCCAUCGGAUCAAUACGAGUUAAACCAUGUCGACCGAAAUAAAAAUUGAGUUUCAGGCCGUUUUGGGUCAAACCCGUCAUUUCGGUCAAAACUGAGUCCAUCGGGUCAAUACGAGGCAAACCAUGUCGACCGGGGUAAAAAUUGAGUUUUAGGCCUUUUCGGGUCAAAACUGUCAUUUUUUGGUCAAAACCGAGUCUACCAAGUUUAUACGGGUCAAACCUUGUUGACCAUGAUAAAAAUUGAGUUUUAGGCUAUUUUGGAUCAAAACUGUUAUUUUCUAUCAAAACCCGGUUCACCGGGUUGAUAGUGGUCGAAUUUGUUUUUAAUGGUUUUUGAAAUUGACCUGUUUGUUUCUGCGUUUCAAAAGCACUUUUGAAAAAAUUUGAAAUUUUUUUAUUUUUUUAUUAACUUCAAAUUAAUAUAUUUUUAGUGUUUUCAAAUCAUUUUGAAGUGCUUAUGUUAAAAAUAAUUUUUAAAAAAUAAAAAAAAAUCAUUGACAUGUAUUUUAGCACAAAAAAUUAUUUUAUUUUUCGGUAAUCAAAGUUAAUUUUUAGCGGUUGAACGGGCAUUUUUUAAUACUGAUCGGCGUUUUAGUUUUACCCACAUAUAUAUUUAUUAUUAUACAAAUCAAUAAUGCAGAAAUAUUUACUGUAGUAGUUGGUGCAGUUGAGGCAUGUGAAGUUUUUUCUUCGGACAAAGCCGUGUCUCCUGGUUAUAAAUGCCCUGUUCCCCUAGGCCCUAGUCAUUGGCUAUAAAAGCCAGUAAAAGAGAACAGAAAGGAAGAAGUGAAUCCUAAUGCUGAUACUAUUAAUGUUUUUUUAGUUUUUCUUCACGCGAGUAAAGUAUUGAUUUUUUUAAAAAACAAUUUAAAAAAUACUAAAAAAUAUCAUAACCAUUAGAUUAAAUAGUAUUUAGUUCUGGAUCAUUAAUUAGAUCUGAUCAAACAGGGCAAAGUACACUAGAUUAAAACCCAAAUCCAUCUCAGCCCUUUAAACGGUCUGUCCUUUGAUCCUGUCUUGCCACGUCACCUGGUGUACCAAGCCCCAGGUGCAUCCUAUCACACUGAAGCAAAGCAAAGAUCUGACAAUCGGGGCCGUCUAUUAAUUUUUAGUUCAAGCAAACCGUAGCCGUAUGAUCAAUUCAUAACUGAUCCAACGGUCCAUGAGAUCCGAUGCACCAGGUUACCAUGCUAACUUCGCACUAUAGCAGAUCUAAGAGAUUCUCCCUCCUCUCGCCGGCGAUCCUCUCUCCACACGGAUCUCCCAACUCCGGCCACUUAAAGAGUCUGGACCACCACAGAAAGGUUCCUUACCUAAUCGCUAGAAAACCCCAGGCGUUUUUCAUCGCUUUCUCUGCCGUAUCUUUCCGGAAAAAGGCCGCGACAUCUUCGGCCACCCGAAGCUUCAAACCGUCGAUUCUCUCUCAUAAGAUUAAAUGAUAUUAUUGUAAUGAAUAGUAAAUAGUGCUACGAGAAAUUGAACAACCGCGUACAAUCCUUAAAAGACAUUUAUAUUAUUGUAAUCGCCUAAUUUCACGGGCCCUGAAGUUAACGAUUAUGUAAGUCUCUAGUGGCCCUGAGAUUUGUGAGACUGGAACAAGUGACCUCUAGGAUGAAGUGCCCGUUUGGCACUGCGGCUACGGCUAGAAUAAACGCAGGAUUGGUUAAGUUGAAUCGCAUUUUUUAUUUCACGUGAGUCCCACUCAGAAACUGAUGUCGAAUCUCAGUUUUUGAAAAGCAAUUGCUUUUAUGUCCGUGUUCUCCUCUCUCUUAUAUUUUUUACAAUAGCCUUAAUCUUAAUCUUAAUCUUAAUCUUCCAUUUGGAUUAUUUUAUUUCCACUAGACGGCUUGUCUUAAUAAUGCAUGUGAAUGGGGAUUCGGAGGUCAUCGCGAAUCACCCAAAUCCACGGAAGAAUCUUAGAAAUGAAUGACUUGUCAAAUAUUGAAACCAUACUCUUUUUGGUAACGUCUUACUUGUCAACUACAAGGGGGGAAAUAAAAAAAGAGACGAAGCUUAUCAUUUCGGAUUUCAUCAUGCAAAGGAAUAUACCCGAAACAUUGGGAUUGGUUUUUAUUUUAUUUUAUAAUCAUCGUUUGAUUUAUUGAAAAGUAGUUAUUAGCCAUUUAAUUAAUGACUAAACAACCGAAAAUAAGAGUUAAUACGGAAGGAGCAAUAUAUAGAAAAACGAAAUACAAAAAUCUCUAUUAAUUUCCUUAAUUACCUAAAUUAAUUCUGGGAUUUAAUUAGACAAAGGAAUCAAUUUAGCUCCCCGCAAAUUAUGCAUUAAAAGUCAACUUAAUUGGUGUAUUUAGAAUCAAAUUAGAGGAGACUAAGUUAAUCAAUUCAUGCAACAUAAGCUCACCAAUUCACGUAACAUAUUAGAUAAUAUUGAUGGAUUGGGACCGCAAGAGGGAUAGGGGACCAAGCCGAUGUAGAGACGGAAUCAAGGGGAAGUAAGCAGGGGCUAAAUAAUAAAUAAAUAUAAUGAUGGAUUUUGUAGGUUAGUUUUUUAUUGCUUAGUAACUAAGAUGUACUAUUUAAAUAGGUGGGCCCAACUAAUGUAAAUAUAUUUGUUAUCUUUGACUUAAAAACUAUCUACGUGGAAAGAAAAAAUAUGAAGUUAUAUGGAUUUUGCCGUUUACUCUCAGCUGCAGCUCUAAUAUAAAGGGUAAAAUAUAGAAAUAAUUAGAAUAUAAAUUGCAAACAGAAAUAUUGAAGCAGAGCGCCACCGAUUAAUUCCUCUUUCAUCAAACAAAUCAAGGUAAUUGAGCAUUGCUAACCUCAAAUUUAAAAUUUAUUUUUAUUUUGUUUUGAGAUAUUUGUUAAGAAUUUGAUGAGGUUUUUUCAUAAUUCUAUUAUUUUUGCUUCUUUUUGUUUUUUUGCUCAGAUCUGCUAGUUUUACCAAAUUUGUUUUUGAAUUCUUGUUAUAGUGAUUUUUUUUCUAAUUAAUUAGAUAUAUUUUAUUGCUUUGUCUUGAUUAUAAUUGGAUUUUUUUAUGUUUUGCUUUUAGCAGAGCCAUCAAAAUUACCAAUUUUUUUCUCAUGAUAUAUGUUUUGAUUUUAGGUUGAACCAUGAACAAAAUAAGAAGAAUUGAUUCUUUUGUUGAGAAAAAGAGAACAAAUAUUGAUAACUCACAGCCUAGUGAACCAACUCCAAUGUGUAAUGUUGAAGUUAUGGUUGAGCAACCUCAAUGUGCUUCAGUUUACGAAGAACCUACACUGAUUAGUGAGCAGUCUCUUACUAGAAUCGACAUUGCUCAUUUACUUAGAGAUCCAAGCAAUUGUCCUCAAAUUUGGGAAUACUUGGUUAAUCAACAAGAUGAAAUUCCAAGGGCAUACAUUAAUUUGGGACCAUAUCAACCUUUGAUGUCUAAAUACCCACUGACUGGUGAAAAACAUCCUCGUCGAUUUCAAUCUCAUUGGUUCAAAAGUUAUCCAUGGCUUGAAUAUUCAGAGAAAAAUACUGCAUUUUGUUUCCCUUGCUAUUUAUUUCCAAGUAAACCAUUAUUAUCGGGUUGAUAUAUUUACAUCUAUCAUUAAUCAACAAUUGCAAGAGAGCUAAAUAAUAUAUUCGAUGAACAGGCAAUCGAGCUUCUUAAGUUGAGCACAACUUUAGAUCCUAGAAAUAACUAUAAAUUAUUCAAUAUUGAAGAUAUAUGCUUACUUGUUGACAAGUUUUAUCCUGAAGAUUUUUCUGACCAAGAAAAAAUUCAUUUGAGACUUCAGUUGCAGCAUUAUGAGCUUGAUAUCCCCAAUCAUCCAAAAUUAAAGAAUAUGUCAUCGAUUACUGAUUUAUGUCAAGGAUUGGUUGAAACAUAAAAAUCAACAAUUUAUUCACUCAUUGACAGGUUGAUUCGGCUUAUUUUAACUCUUCCUGUUUCGACAGCAACUACUGAAUGAGCUUUUUCAGCAAUGAAGAUUGUUAAAACAAGACUUCGCAAUCGGAUGGAAGAAGAUUUUCUUGCAAAUUAUUUGAUUGUCUAUAUAGAAAAAGAAAUUGCUGAAAGAUUCACAAUUGAUAUGAUAAUCGAUGAUUUCUAUUGUAUGAAAGAACGACGAGCACAAUUAAAAUAAAUAUGUAAGAAUCAUUUUUUAUUAUUUUUUACUUUAUUUUAAAGUUUAUCAAACAUAAAUAAUGUUUCGCUUUAUCUAAUGUUUCUUAUAUACUUUCUAUGUUUAUAUUUGAUAGGUAUAAAGACAAACAAAAUUAAAGUGAUAGAUACAUUAUGAAGAUAAAAUUAACUUCAUCGCUUUGACUCAAUUUGAUAUUGCUUAAAAUCUUUUACCUUGUGCAAAGGUCAUUAUAUGUUUGUAUUUUUUUUUAUAACUCAUGUACAAUAAAGUGAUAGUACGAAUGUGCCUGUAUCCACAAGCAAAGAGAGAUUUCUUAUUAUAAUCAAAACCAAUAAAAGUUUUGAAAAAAAUCUCAAACCCUAAUUCAAAAUAUAUUUAGGCCAAUCCGAUCCUCACAGCACACUAUGAAUUUCUCAUGCUUGCUAUCUUUUUCGCACACAAGAAUGUGCAUGGUUAUGCUUAGAAAAAAAACCUAGGCCUAAAUACGUAAUUGUAGAUAAUAUGUUUUAGUUAUUCUGAUGGCUUGAGGAUUAGUAAAAUACUAGUUUUAUUAAAUUUUUUUUUUCUAGAUUUAUAAAGUUUUCAUUGUUUAAUUUGUGACAUCUUCAUAUAAUAAAAAUAUGAACUCGUACACAUUUCAAUAGAAAUCCAUAAGAAAUUUAAUUAUUAGAAGAAGACAUAAGUACUUAACUAAUUAAAUCCCGACCACCUCAAAUACACACACACACAUUUGUUCCCUUUUAACCACCUUAGGAUUUACGAACUUCUUAAUUACUUUUGUCAUCCUUUAAGAACAUAUUUACAUGUACCUUUUUAACUAGUCUGAUUUUGAUUUGGAGAACAUAUUUACAUGUAACUUUUUAAUUAGUCUGAUUUUGAUUUGGAUGUAUUACAAGGCACGCAAUAUAAUAAGAAAUAUUAUGCUUUUUCAUCCCAAAAAUUUAAAAUUUAAGAUUAAAAUAUCUAUACAACAUAAUAUUAUAAUUUUAAUAAUUAAAUGAUCACGAGUUUAAUUUUUACCGCUCUAUUUUUUUUAAACUUUAAAUCAAAUCAACAUAACUAAUAAUAAAUUUAUGCAAGUUUUAAAUUAAAAUAUUUCACAUAAAAAAUUGCAUUAAAAAAUAAUAUAAAAUCAUCAUCAAAAUAUGAGCUUACUAGCUACCAUGAGACAUGGAGCAUUUAUGAUUUUCCAACUACUUCUAGAAGAGUUGUCCGUUCCCAUUGUACCUCUAAAGUGUGGGAAAAAUGAAAAAGAGACGAAGCUUGUCGUUUCUAACUUGAAAAUUUGGAAUUUAGUCGAAGGAAUCAAAUUAGCGGCGCCCUGCAAAUUAUGCGUUGAGCAUUUAUGGGCUGGAUUCAACCUAACCUAUAAAACAAAUCAAACUAAAUUGAUGUAUUUGGGUUUCAUAAAAAAAAAAAUGAUGCAUGUGGAAUGAAAUUAGUAGUGGGGACUAAGUCAAUCAAUUCGUGCAACAUAAGUUAAUAAAUUCACGUAACAUAUAGAAGACAUGCUUAUGGUUUUGGGACUGCAGGAAGGGCCGACAGGGGACCAAGCCGAUGGAUGUGAAUUAUUAUUAUUUUAUUUUUGAUUAAUGUGGGUGUUCGGAUCAACUUUCAUGCACCUCGACUAAUUCUAUAGGCCCUGAAGUUAAUGACCAUAUAAACUUCCAGUGACCCUGAGGUUUGUGAGACCCGAACUAGUGAUCUCUAGGAAAAAAACUUAGAACCUGACUAGUUGAGUUUCACCUCUCAGAGUUGAUGGAUCUGAAUUAUUAUACACCAAAGCUGAUGCAGUAAGAUUUUGGAAGAUUAAAGUAUCAACCAAAACCAGAUUCACCAUGCGUCUAAUCUGUAAUUGUUAGGUAUCAAAGAUAAUUUUUUUUAUUAUAGUCAAAACUAAUACAAGUUUUGAAUAAUUCUCAACCCCAAUCCUUACCAUAAUAUAAUAUUUUCUUGCUAGGUAUCUUUAUAGCACACAAGAACAUGUAAUAUCAUCUCUAAAUUAAAAAAAAUUAGGUUUAAGUACAGACAUAUUUACAAAUAAAGAACAUGUUUUAAUGGGAAAAUGAUUAGUAUAACACUAAAACCUAUAAGAAUUCUUUUUUCUAGACAAAAACAAUCUUACAUUUAUAAAGCAUAGUUUUGAAACCCGGCCCGGCCCGACGGGUCGACCCGGGGCUGGAACCGGGCCGGAUUGAAGAAAAAAUGGGAGAAGAAAAAACCCGGUGUGACCUGACGACCCGGCUGACCCGACAAGACCUGGUUGCAAACCCGUUGACUUUUGUUUUUUUUUUAAACUAAAAUGAUGUCGUUUUGAUUUUUUUUUUAAAAAAAUGACCCGGCCGACUUGGUGACCUGGUCAAAACCCGGAACCCGGGCCUUGAACCAGGCGGCCACCAGGACCUAUGUUAUAAAGUCUUCAUUAUUUAAUGCGAAAACGAAGGAAAUGCUUUACCUAAUAUUCUUACUCCACCCACCAACUUUCAGAACGAUAUUUUAAAUGGAAGACAAUUCUCUUAAAUAUGAAAAUAGACUCUUGAAUUAUGCCAUUAUCCAUAAAAAACUAACUAUUACGUACAAGAAUACAUAUACGUUGAUGGAUAGAUAAUUAUAUCCCAACCUUGACAUGUCCUCAAUAUUUCAACUUGUUAAUUAGUUUUGACGUCAUCCUAUCAAAUUAUGAACGUAUUGACAUGUCCCUUGUUAAUUAGUCUAUUUGGGUUGUAACAUAGUAAUAUAAAAUAAGAAAUAUUAUUAGAUUAUUGUCCCACAAUAUAGUUCUUGAAUUGAGAUAACUUCUUAGUAUAAUAUAAAUCAUUGAAUAAUUUCAACGGACACCACGAUGGUAGGAAUGUAGUAGGUGAAACACAUAUAAGAAAGAUCAAGAUAAAAAAAAACCAAUUAGGUACUAUUUUGUUAUUAUUUCAAGGUAAAAAGACAGAGAGAUAUUCGAAAUAAAAAUAUGUUUGAUUAAAAUAAUAAUAUAAAAUAAAUAUUUUUUUAUGAUAAUUAAUUUUACAGUAAAUUUUUAUAUUUUAAAAAUAAAAAUUACAAAAAAUAUAUCAUUUUUGUCUCUUUUAUUUCGAUAUAGUAAUCAUGUGUGUGUGUAUAUAUAUAUAUAUUGGUUUAGAUUCCUAUCUAAAGAAGAGGAAUACAAAUUUUACUUCAUCAAUGUCUAAGAACUAUCUCAACCCAAUAACUUAAGCUGUUAAGUGAGGUUUCAAGAUAUGAUUUAUAUUAUUCUCUAACACACCCCUUCAAGUGAAAACUUUUUGGACUUGAAACUUGUACAGACUCAAAUUACCUUGUGCUUGAUUUUUAUCAAAUAAAUAGGGAUGGUGAGAUUCGAAAUCGUGAUCGUUUAGUCAUAAAGACUCUGAUAUCAUGUCAAAUAACCAUCUCAACCCAAUAGAAAGCUUUUAAGUGAGGUCCCAAAUAUAAUUUAUAUUUUUCUCUAACAAUCAAUAUAUAAUUUAACCUGACAUGCAUGGAAUUCUAUAUAAAAUGUAGCCUAUACCUAGAGUACAAGAAACCAUCACUAGUCAUACACACAAAGAAAGAUAUGGACUAUGAAAUUGCAGGUCUGGUUCUAGCAGUCUUGCUAUGGGUUGCAUGGGCAGUGGUGACUGAACGUCGUUACCGUCGUUCAGAAGAGCAAGGGCAGCUACCACCGGGGCCCAGACCACUGCCAGUGGUUGGCAAUAUCUUCCUGCUGGGUUGGGCACCACACGAGUCUUUUGCUAAUUUGGCUCGUGUUCAUGGUCCAAUCAUGACCAUUUGGCUCGGGUCCAUGUGUAACGUGGUCAUUUCCUCGAGCGAAGUGGCUCGUGAGAUGUUCAAGAAUCAUGAUGCGGUGUUAGCUGGGAGAAAAAUCUAUGAGGCUAUAAGAGGUGAUUUUGGAAAUGAAGGGUCUAUAAUCACAGCCCAAUAUGGACCGCAUUGGCGCAUGUUAAGGCGCUUAUGCACCACCGAAUUCUUUGUGACUAGCCGCCUUGAUGCCAUGCAGGGUGCACGAACUAGGUGCAUCGAUGGCAUGCUGCAAUACAUAGAAGAUGAUAGUGCCAAUGGCACUAGCGCUAUUGACCUUGGGAGAUACAUUUUCUUGAUGGCUUUUAAUCUUAUUGGCAACCUCAUGUUUUCUAAAGAUUUAUUGGACCCAAAAUCGGAGAAGGGAGCUAAGUUUUUUCAGCAUGCAGGUAAGGUCGUGGAGUUGGCAGGUAAGCCUAACAUGGCUGAUUGUUUUCCAAUUUUAAGAUGGCUUGAUCCACAAGGUAUAAGGAGGAAGACACAGUUCCAUGUUGCAAGAGCCUUUGAGAUUGCAGGAGGGUUCAUCAAAGAAAGAACAGAGAGUACGCAAAAGGAAAAUAGUAGAGAUGACAAGAGGAAAGAUUAUCUAGAUGUCCUUUUGGAGUUUCGUGGUGAUGGCGUGGAGGAGCCCUCUAGAUUUUCUUCAACAACGAUCAAUGCGAUUGUCUUAGUAAGUAGCAUCUCUUUUCCUAUGGUUCUCUUUUCUGUCCUAUCUUUGCAUACAUUUUUGUGUUUUUGUUCGGAGGCGGCAAAGCCUGUCUUAAUAUAAUUGUCUACCUAGUAAUUAACAUCUCGUUUGACAGCUUUGUUAAGCUCAGACCUCUGUUAGUAAAGUACUCCGCCCCGCUGAUAGGUUUACCUUCAGCUCUAGCUUGUGUUGGCUUUUUUUUUUUUAAAAAAAAUCAAUCCAGAUUGAAUUAGUUGAUUGGACAUAUUAAUCUGUUACUCGGUUAGAAUUUCAUUGAUUUUUUUCAAAAUUAUUGUUUUGAUCUUUAAAUUUUUUUUAUUAGACUUACUUAAAAAUCAAUCUCAUGAUCCGAGACUUACUCUGAAUGCAACUCCGAGUUAGGUCUAAUUAUAACUAUGACUUGGACUAUGGAAACUAUAGUUCUACAUACACGGUGGAACCAAAAAAUUUAUCAAACCCGGCCUGAAUCAGUAAUUAACCUAGAACCCAAUUGAUUUCACCUGUAGUUUAAGUUGGAUUUUAAAAUAAAAUUAACUUUGAGAUGAUACUGUUUGGCUUGAUUGACCCUACUAGUUAAUUUGAUCAAAAUUUUAUUUGAUUUUUUUAAUCUUUUCUUUAAAAUGAUAUUGUUUUGAUUGAUUUCAUUUAAUUCACCCAACUCGUGACUUAAAGUUUAAACUAGGUAUAAUAUCUUUGUUUUUAAGUAAUGUUCAAAAACAUAAAUUAAUUAUCAUAUUUAUCUCGGCCUGGGUUUUUUCCAAACCAUAGUAAAGAAAUUAUUAGGAGAUAGUAUACAAAAUUAAAUCACUAACAAUCUUAAUUAUUGUCAUGAUUUUUUCUUAUAGGAAAUGUUUACGGCAGGGACUGAUACAACAACAAGCACUUUGGAAUGGGCCAUGGCUGAACUUCUACAUAACCCUAAAGUAAUGAAAACAGUCCAAUCCGAGUUGAGAAGCACCAUUGGCCCCAACAAGAAGCUCGAAGAUAAAGACAUUGAGAAUCUCCCAUACCUAAAGGCAGUCAUCAGGGAAACACUGAGACUGCACCCUCCUCUCCCUUUUUUAGUCUCGCACAUGGCCAUGAACCCUUGCAAGAUGCUAGGCUAUUACGUCCCUAAAGAGACAACAAUUCUAGUUAAUGUGUGGGCCAUUGGAAGGGAUUCAAAGACUUGGGAUGACCCUUUGGUUUUCAAGCCAGAAAGGUUCUUGGAACCAAACAUGGUAGAUUACAAAGGUCGUCAUUUUGAGUUCAUACCAUUUGGUUCUGGCCGUAGAAUGUGCCCUGCCAUGCCGCUCGCUUCUCGUGUACUUUAUUUGGCUCUUGGGUCGCUCUUGCUUUCAUUUGAUUGGAUUUUGCCGGAUGGUCUCAAGCCAGAGGAUAUGGACAUGACUGAAAAAAUAGGGAUAACACUUAGAAAAAGUGUUCCCUUAAAGGUCAUACCGACACCUUACAAGGGGUCAUCAAAUCAUGAUGGGUUCUGAGUUGAUAUGGGAUAUUCCAAAAUUUCUACGUACUAGUAUAACAAAACGUAGUUAUAAAAAGGGUAUAACAGAUCAAUCUUGGUAUCCUAUUGAUUUGAAACUUAUUUCAAGUUAUAUUUUAUUUUGAAAUGGAUUAAAAAAGAAAAUAAUUCAACAUUGUUUUGGUAAAAAAAAAUAGACUCGCAGUUGAAUUUUAGGCCGAGCCAGACCCAGGCUCGGACUUAUAUCUAAGUUACAAAAUGUUGUAUUAGUAUUGUAUUCAAUUUAGCUGUUUGAGUCAUAUAUUUGAUUCUUAAUUUGUAUGUGUAUGUAUAUUAAUGUAUAUCUAUAUAUAAUCUAGUUGUGGAGAAUUUUUUUUAAUUAAUUAGCAUGUUUGGUGAUGCAGUUUGUCAUAACCCAAUUCUGGGUUAUUCCCCAAAAAUCAAUAUCUUUUUCAAAAUAAAAAUAAUAAAAUAAUAAUAAAGGUUGACGAUGUGGAGAAAGCAAAUCGAGGAAUCAAGCUACAAUUUUAGAGGAAAUUCAAGACUUAAUGGUACCCCAUUAUGCCCCAAAAUAGAAAGAAAAUGCAAAUUCAAUGUCAAAUCAAAUGAUUAUUGGAUGAAUAUGCUUAAAAAUUAAGUCUAAGACAUAAUUAAAUUUUUAACAGGUCAAUUUGAUUUAAUCAUGGGCCAAAUUGAAUUUUAAUUAUGUUUAAGAAUUAAUUUGGGUCCAAUUGAAGGAUUUAAUUAAGUACAAGGACUAAAUUAUACUUUAAAUGGGUCAAAUUAAUUUUAUUUGGGGCUUAAUUGGUGAAAAAUUAAGUUUGGGAGCCUAAUUUGGGCUUAAUUGAGAAGAUUGGAAUUUUAAGAGAUCAAAUUUAAUUUUUACCAAGUUAAUUGACUGAAACUAGGGGCCAAAUUGUAAGAAAAAUGAAGUUUUGGGGUCAAUUAGGGGCUAAAUUGAAGAAAUUCGCAGCCAAGGACCAAUCUACAAAGGGUGCCAAAAUUAAGGGUCUUAAUUGACAAAAACCGGGAGUGAAAUUGAAGAAAUUGAAAGUUUAAUGGUCAAUUAGGGGUUAAAUUGCAUAAAUCCGAGACCAAGGACUAAAUUGUAAAAGGCGCGUAAAUCUGGGGCUGAAGUUGAAAUUCCGUAGGGGCCUAAUUGCAUUAAAUCAAAAGUUUAUGGUCAAUUAGGGGUUCAUUUGAAAUCAAUUGAAAGCUGGAGGACUAAAUUGAAAAUCAGUUAAAAUCCCUAAUUCAAUUCAAAACGACGUCGUUUUACAUUAAAAAGAAAAAGAAGGACCAGACGACGCGUCGUCUGGUUACUGUUCAUUAUCUUUUCUGUUUUACCCGAAAGAAACAGCGCGGGAGCCUUAUUUGCAGGUGCAUUUAAUGCUUGAUUUCUCCAUCAAAUCGAACAAAACUUGCACGAAACGGAUCCCCUGCAGUUCCUCUACAACCCCAUGUGAACGUUUCAGGAUGAAAGACAGCACAUCGACAUCGGCGACGACGUGAAGAGGUCAACUCAGGGACGCUACUUUGAACCAACGGUUGGGAUCCUUCCCAGCCAAAUCUAGGGCUGAAAUUUUGCCCCGGUGUAGACGAGAUUAUCCUCUUCCACCACCUAUAAAUAGAGGCUCCGUUGAUGACCUGAGAGAGGAGAAAAUUGGGUCCAAAAAUCAGAAAAAACUAGCCUCUCUGCCCCGUUUCUGUAGUAUUUUUCUCUACCUCUCUCUCCCCGCUGUUCCAGCCACCAACCAGAGCCACCACAAGCUUCUCCACCACCAGCUCCACCACAGGAAGCCAACACAACCACCAAGUAGCCACCGCGACUCUCUCUCUCUUCUCCUUCCGGCCUUUCUCUCUCCUCUACAAACUUCUUCUUCCUGCACAGUAGCAACUCCGGAGACCAAGAUCUCCAUCAACGCCGCUACCAGCCUCUUGUCAGCCACCCAGACUAGCAGCGCCUCCCACUUGUGUCAGGUGGUGUCCCCCUACUUCUGCCCCGUUCCUGCCCACGUAUCUUCUGCAUGCAAUGGCAGAAUCAUUAACCUUGAAUAUGGGUCGGACCUUAUUUGGCCCAGCCCAAAUUUAUGGGCCGGAUUCGGCCCACCCCCAAACUUGUUGGGCUGAGAUCGGCCCACCCUUUUGUAGGUCGGGCUCGGCCCAGUUAGCUGGGCCGACCUAGCCCACAUAUUUAAUAUUAUAUAAUAUAUAUUAUAUUAUAAUAUUAUUUAAAAAAAUCCAAAAAAUUUUCAAAAAUCAUUUUAAAAAAUUUUGCGAUUUUGUCAAAUAUUUUUCUAUCCAUUUUGCAUAAUAUCGGGUUGUAUAUUUACACUGUAGUGCGCCGCCGCCUCUUCUUUACUUCCCUAAAACAGAUAGAGCAAGACGCAGAGACAGAGAAGACAAAGAAAGGUAACCGAGAGAGAAGGCAAGAAAGAGAUGGAGAUAGGAAAAGACAUUAUGGUAAGAAAUAUAUUUUUAGUAUUUGUGAUAAUUUUUCAGUAUUAAGUUUGAGUUUUAUUUACUAAUAUGUGUGGAUUUGUUUUUAUAAAGCUUUGUUAAAGGAUGUUAAGAUUUGGGUGAAUAUAUAUGCAUUGAUUUUGAUUUAUAGUUCUUGAGAAAUUAACUAGGACUCGUUAUUCAGUAGAAUUGAUUGCUUAAAGAUGAACUUGAGAAUUGAAAAUUUGUGAACCAUUGAUGAUCUUAAGUUCAAAGGAUAUAUAUAAAUUGAAGAAACUCAAAUCCUGGUUAUGGCCACCGAGUUUAGAGGCUGUGAAUCAGAGAUGACGAUCAAAUUAUAUUAUGGUAUGACGAUCAAAUUAUAUUAUGGUCUCCAGUGUUUAAAAAUGUUACUAUCCACUUCAAAUAGAGUUUGAGUCAUGUGAUGCACAAAUUAUAUUAGUACACUUUCAAAUACGCUCUCUAGAAUACUAAUAAAACACGUGACUAAUAUAUUUUAAAUUAAAAAACACAUUUAAAAAAUACUUUACAAUACAUUAUCAAACGCACAAGUCUAGCUCUCGAAAAGAUAUUUAAAUUACUAAUUAAGUUGUCAUUUUAAUUUACGGGUUAAUUAUUUAUAUUUGAAAACUCAACUCCAAUAAAGUUUUGGAUUGUAAAUUUUUUAAUCAACCUGUAGUGUUAAGUCAAGUUUAACAACCAUGUUAUUAACAUAUCAAUGGUUUCAACUUAGCCGACAUGUCAUUUAAAGAUUCAAGAUUGAGUACUUGCGAGGCUAUAUAUAGGCUAUUAACUAAUGUUUCUUGAAUCAAGGUUUCUGUGAAUAAAUGUUCUAGUUUCCCACCAGGUGGAAGUGGUUGCAAUUCCAUGUUCUUGAUUUGUUCCUAUUUCAAAAUCAUUAAACAUAAUAAUAAUAAAAAAUAUACAACCAAUAGUUUUUUUUUUCUCUUUUUUUACUCCCUGGAUCUGUUGUCAAGGUACAGGGGCUUCUUUGAAGUGGAAUAACCCGACCACAAAAAUGCAGUGAUACAAAAUGCAUAUGCUCUACCCAGGAUAGAAAAUGCCUAAGUAUUAAAAUUCAAGUUUUAUAAUUACAUUAAUAUUUGGGAGUGCACUUCUGCUUUUAAAUAUAUUUCACUUGAAAAGAUAUAAAAUUGAUGUUUUUUAUAAUGUUUUAUUUAUAAUUGUAAUGUACCGAUAUCAAACCUCAAAAAAUAUAUAAAAAAAAAUUAUAAAAAACAUCACGCAUUGCAUUACAAAACACACACUAAUAUCAGCUGAUAUUCUAAAAUUUGAGAUAAUCCUGUAUUUUUGGUGAAUCUAAGAGUUUCAAAAAUGAUUGAUCAUAAUUUAUAAUUUAUGGGUGAUUUUUUUAUUAUUUAUUUUUUUUAUUCUAUUUAAAAAAUAAUACCUAUAAUUAUUAUCUCGUAAAACUUUCAAGAAAAAAGAAAAAAAGUAAGACAAAAUCUGUGAUGGUACCCACAUGAAAUAGCAUUUACUCCGAUAAUCCAAAGCCCUUAAAAAUCAAGAGCCCACGAUCAACUUGAAUGGGUACACUUAUCACGCUUAGACGACCCCGAUUCUUCUUUAGUUUUAAAAUAAUCUUUUCAAUUCAGUUGCUGUAUCUUGCAUUUUUAUAAGCAAGCCCUACUUCUCAUCAAGACCCGGUUCCGGAUUUUGAUCGGGUUAUCAGGUCGUCCGGCUCAAAUUUUUUUUUUUAAAAUCAAAACGACGUCGUUUUAAUAAAAAAAAAAGUCAACGGGUUGCAACCUGAUUUUUGACCGGGUCUUGCCGGGUCAACCGGGUUUUUUCUUCUCUUUUUUUUUCUUCAACCCAGCUCGGUUCUAGCCCCGGGUCGACCCACCACACCGGGUCAGGUUUUAAAACUAUGCUGCUUCUUGAAUUUUUAAAAAUGUUGUUAUGCAAAUUAAAUAUGAUUUUAGAAUUGAUUUUUUACUUCAAAUCAUAAUUUUUUUUCAUAAGCAAUGAACUGCAUUACAACGUAGAAAUAAUUAAAUUUAUCUUGAAUCAAGAGAAAUUGUGCAUAACCAGGAUAUCUUAUAGAAAUAAUUUCAUGUACAUGCUAUAAAUCUUACUUCAGAUCACAUUUUAUCAUUCAUAUUGAUGUUUAUAAAUUAGAAAUCAAAUUAAUACACUUCUUUAUAGUUAUAGAAUUCUUAAGAACUCUUGCGUUCACCUAACUUGCGAAAUAAUGACUAGCAAUAAGAUCAAACUUAACUUUGCACCCAUUCCCAAAAGACGUUUCUUUGACCUAAUUUAUUACAUGGCUAAGAUAUAUCAAGCAUUCCAAUAUUUACUCGCAUAAAUAAUAUCAAAUCUCAAAUAUAUCAUGAUCUACACUAUUAUUUUGUCUUUUUUUUAUGUUAAUUAUUGAGAAAAAUUAUGUUCUUAAACUUUAUAAAGUUUAUGGAUCUAUUCACAGGUUUGACUGGUUGACCUGAUUUGCAAGUUUGAGAAGUUUAACUUUUUUUUUUCAUCCUUAGAUAUUGGAUUAAUUGAACAUUAAGUUUUAUAAUUGGUCUUGUUUCAUCUUUUAAUUGAGGUUAUCACGGUAUUAAAAAAAACAUCUCGGUACUAGGUUGAUAUUUGAUUUCACAAUUGUUUGUUUUUGUUAUUAUAUAGUUAAAUAAAAAAAUAGUUUUGAAAAAAACAAAUUAUAAUCCUAGUGGAGCCCAUAACUCGGUUUACAGGUUUGACAUGCUAACCCGGGUUAUCUGAUUCACAGGUUUAACGAGUUUGCCCAACAAUAGAAUAUGUUUUUUUGGUCUUUUAAUUAUUUUUUUCUUUUCGAUUUAUCCUUCAAUAUUGUGUUGAUUGAGAAAUAGACUGCAUGAAUGAUUUUUGUUUGCUUUCUAUAGGGAUAAUUGUCUCAAAUAAGUGUUUAUUUUUAGGUUAACGUUCAAUUUUGUGAGUAUCUAUUUUUAUCAUAUAAUUAAAUAAAAAUAGUUUAUAAAAAAAGUUAUUAAACCCAAUAGAAUUUACGACUAGGGUCGCGGGGAGACCGAGGUAGAUUUAAUUUGUCAUUGUCUCAAUAUUUUUUAAAAAAAAUUGUCAUCUUGAAGUUUUUUUAAAAGCUAAAUAAUGUUUUCACUGAUUAUCGAUGUUGCAUUUGGACUCAUGAAAUUGAUUGAUUUAAGUCAAGUUAGCUCCCACGCGGUUUAAUUAGAAACUCGAGUUAGGUAAAGAGUCAAGUUAAAAGAUUUCAAAAUUAAUCUACUUGGUUAUGUUUAAUAAUAUUAUAAAAAAAUCUUCAUACUCUUAAUAUUUUUUAUAUUUUAAAAAAAUUAAUCCGACCCAUGGUGAGCCCGAACCAAUAAACUAGUGUAAACUGAAAGGAAGAAAAGAAAAUCACAUGAAUCAUGCAUAUAAUAUUUAAGAACAAUCACAUUAUUCUUGCUGAAUUAGUCACAAAUUUUGUAACAAUUACGUACACAUCAAAUAUAAUUGCACUUGAUCACUUCAAGCCAUACAUUUGAGUAUAUCUAGAGUCAUGCUGAUAAUGUUUAUUGCCCAAAUUUAAGUUCAUUGGGGAUAUCGAUCACAAUUAAGUAGCCUUUCGUUGAAACUUCGAAUAUACUACGUACCUAACAUAAAUCUGCCCAACUCCCUGCUAAUCAUGAACCAAUUAUCAGUAAUUAAAUCCAUCUAGGCCUAGAACUUUAAAAACCAUUUGAUCAAUCAUCAAAGAAUAUAUAAACGAUUGUAGUCAUGUCAAAAGGGAUUCUUCCUCGAAUAAGCACAAUUUUAUAUAGUUAAUUAUAAAUGAGAUUAUUGCUUACAGCAAGAUUGCAUUAUCUAUGUAUAUUAAUUUAAUUAAAGAAAAGAUCAUGUCCCCAUAAAAAAAAAAUUAAAAAUCAGGUUAUAAAGACAAAAAAAUUAAAAAUAAAAUUAGUUUCAUGAACUCGAGUACAAGUAGGCAAUGCAUAUACAUGCAAGGCACGCAUCAACAACUUUUUUGUUUUUUUUUUAUUUGUAAAAAAUUGAAAAAUACUCUUAGAGCUAAACAAUAAUAAUAUACAAACUACGAUGAAAUUACAACCAAGUCCCUGGAGUCAUGGUUAAAAAAUUUAAAUGAUAAGGAUAAUGAAGUAAUUUUAUUGUUCUUUUAAAUAUGAAAAAUAAAAAAAUGCUAUUAUGUUGAGGACAUUAAAUUAUUUUAUUUAAGAGCUACAUUAGUAAUUUUAUUAUGUAUUAAAAAACAUAACCCCUCACAAUCCUCAAAAGAUAUUUAUAUCACGUAAAAAAACUAACAUGCCCCAAAGCCAAGUUAAAAGAUUAAAUGACCAAAGAAAAAUAAAGUAAUUAUAGUAAAUUAUGUAUCGGAACACAAUAAUACAUGCAAUAAUACAUCAUUUGUCUUGGUCAAGUUCUACUUGAGGAUUUGGUCAAGUUUUUUUUAAUCUUAUUCUUCCAUUCUGCUUAUUCCAUUUCCACUAGAGGGCUUGUCUUAAUAAAGAACUCUCUUCCUUAACUAUACGUGGUACUAUUUCAAUGAAAUCUCUUGUCAGUUACAAGGGGGGAAAUAAAAAAGAGUCAUCAUGCAAAUGAAUACCCUAUUGGGAUUAAUUUUUAUUUUAUUUUAUAAUCAUCGUUUGAUUUAUUGAAAAGUAGUUAUUAGCCAUUUAAUUAAUGACUAAACAACAGAAAAUAAGAGUUAAUACGGAAGGAACAAUAUAAAGAAAAACGAAAUACAAAAAUCUCUAUUAAUUUCCUUAAUUACCUAAAUUAAUUCUGGGAUUUAAUUAGACAAAGGAAUCAAUUUAGCUCCCUACAAGUUAUGCAUUAAACAGUAAUUGAUGUAUUUAGAAUCAAAUUAGAGGGGACUAAGUUAACCAAUUCACGUGACAUAUAAGAUAAUGUUGAUGGAUUUGGGACCGCAUGCAUCACCAUGAUCUAUAAUUGCUAUUAUAUACAUAGAAUAUCACAGUAAAUAGAAAAGAAACAAUCAGACAAUACAAUAAUUUUAUAUAGUACGAAUGUGCCUGUAUCCACAAGCAAAGAGAGAUUUCAUAUUAUAAUUCAAAAUAUAUUUAGGCCAAUCCGAUCCUCAGAGCACACUAUGAAUUUCUCAUGCUUGCUAUCUUUUUCGCACACAAGAAUGUGCAUGAUUAUACUUAGAAAAACCUAGGCCUAAAUUACUUUUGUCAUCCUUUAAGAACAUAUUUACAUGUACCUUUUUAAUUAGUCCUAUUUUGAUUUGGAUGUAUUGCAAGGCACGCAAUAUAAUAAGAAAUAUUAUUGCUUUUUCAUCCAAAAAAUUUAAAUUUUUAAAUUAAAACAUCCAUAUGACAUAAUAUUAUAAUUUUAAUAUUAAUUAAAUACUCACGAGUUUUUAUCACUCUAAUUUUUGUUAUACUUAAAAUCAAAUCAACAUAGCUAAUAAUAAAUUUAUACAAGUUUUAAAUUAAAAGAAUUCACAUAAAAAAUUGCAUUAAAAAAUAAUAGAAAAUCAUCAUCAAAUCAAGCUCUUAACUUCACUUGAGAGAUUGUAUUUACGCAUUACUAGUCGCUUUCUUGAGUGUUAAUUGGAGGCUCCUUCUUUUUGCAGCCUCUAGUCUCAUGUAGUCUCUCCUUCUCUUCCUAAUUGUACGUGGUCAUGGCGUUUCAAUGAAAUUAAUCUCUUGUCAGUUAAAGUGUGGGAAAAAUGAAAAAGAGACGAAGCUUGUCGUUUCCAACUUGAAAAUGCAAAGAAUACCUCUAAAUUUUGGAAUUUAGUCAAAGGAAUCAAAUUAGCGCCCUGCAAAUUAUGCGUUGAGCAUUUAUGGGCUGGAUUCAACUCAACCUAUAAAACAAAUCAAACUAAAUUGAUGCAUUUGGAUUUCAUAAAAAAAGAUGAUGCAUUUGGAAUCAAAUUAGUAGUGGGGACUAAGUCAAUCAAUUCAUGCAACAUAAGUUAAUAAAUUCACCUAACAUUUAGAAGAUAUGUUGAUAGAUUUGGGACCGCAGGAUGGGCCGGUAGGGGACCAAGCCGACGGAUCUGAAUUAUUGUACACCAAAGCUGAUGCGCGCAGUAAGACUUUGGAAGAUUUCACUAUCAAUCAAAACCAGAUUCACCAUGCGUCUAAUCUGUAAUUGUUAAGUAUCGAAGAGAACAUUUUUAUUAUAUAUAGUCGAAACUAAUACAAGUUUUGAAUAAUUCUGAUCAAACCCAAUCCUGCAAUUAUUACAUGCAAUUAUUCAAUAAUAUAUAUGGUUUAGAUUCCUAUCAAAAGAAGACGAAUAAAAAUUUUACAUGAUCAAUAUACACUAUUUAACCUGACAUGCAUGAAAUUCUAUAUAAAAUGGAGCCUACCUAGGGUACAAGCGAAACCAGCACUAGUUAUACACACAAAGAAAGAUAUGGACUAUGAAAUUGCAGGUCUGGUUCUAGCAGUCUUGCUAUGGGUUGCAUGGGCAGUGGUGACUGAACGUCGUUACCGUCGUUCAGAGGAGCAAGGGCAGCUACCACCAGGGCCUAGACCACUGCCAGUGGUUGGCAACAUCUUCCAGUUGGGUUGGGCACCACACGAGUCAUUUACUAAUUUGGCUCGUGUUCAUGGUCCAAUCAUGACCAUUUGGCUCGGGUCCAUGUGUAACGUGGUCAUUUCCUCGAGCGAAGUGGCUCGUGAGAUGUUCAAGAAUCAUGAUGCGGUGUUAGCUGGGAGAAAAAUCUACGAGGCUAUGAAAGGUGAUUUUGGCAAUGAAGGGUCUAUAAUCACAGCCCAAUAUGGACCGCAUUGGCGCAUGUUAAGGCGCUUAUGCACCACCGAAUUCUUUGUGAGUAGCCGCCUUGAUGCCAUGCAGGGUGCACGAACUAGGUGCAUCGAUGGCAUGCUGCAAUACAUAGAAGAUGGUAGUGCCAAUGGCACUCGCGCUAUUGACCUAGGGAGAUACAUUUUCUUGAUGGCUUUUAAUCUUAUUGGCAACCUCAUGUUUUCUAAAGAUUUAUUGGACCCAAAAUCGGAGAAGGGAGCUAAGUUUUUUCAGCAUGCAGGUAAGGUCACGGAGUUGGCAGGUAAGCCUAACAUGGCUGAUUUUUUGCCAAUUUUAAGAUGGCUUGAUCCACAAGGUAUAAGGAGGAAGACACAGUUCCAUGUUGCAAGAGCCUUUGAGAUUGCAGGAGGGUUCAUCAAAGAAAGAACAGAGAGUGUGCAAAAGGAAAAUAGUAGAGAUGACAAGAGGAAAGAUUACCUAGAUGUCAUUUUGGAGUUUCGCGGCGAUGGCGUGGAGGAGCCCUCUAGAUUUUCUUCAACAACGAUCAAUGUGAUUGUCUUUGUAAGUAGCAUCUCUUUUCCUUUGGUUCUUCUGAUCUCUUCUGUCCUAUCUCUUACACAUUCCACUAAGUAGACAAGUAUAAGAAUUAUAAUACAAAUAUACAAAAUUAAUAGACCUCAGCCACCAGCAAAAUCUUUGCAUACAAUUUUGUGUUUUUGUUCGGAGGCGGCAAAGCCUGUGUUAAUAUAUAUAAUUGUCUUCCUAGUAAGUAACAUCUCGUUUGCCAGCUUUGUUAUGCUCAGACCUCUGUUAGUAAACUCCGCCCCGCUGAUAGGUUUACCUUCAGCUCUAGCUUGAGCUGUUGGCUUUUUUUUUUUAAUUUUUAAAAUCAAUCCAGAUUGAAUUAGUUGAUUGGACAUAUUAAUCUGUUACUCGGUUAGAAUUUCAUUGAUUUUUUUUCAAGAUUAUUGUUUUGAUCUUUAAAAAGAAUUUUAUUAGAUUUACUUAAAAUCAAUCUCAUGAUCCGAGACUUACUCUGAAUGCAACUCCAAGUUAGGUCUAAUUAUAACUAUGACUUGGACUAUGGAAACUAUAGCUCUACAUAAAAUUGGAUUGGAGGAGGCAGAUAAGAAACUAAGUGAUUAUUGAGAGUGCAAACCACGUAAAAUUAAAGAGUAUAAUUAAAGAUUUUCAAAAUUUAAUGUAGUUCUGCCUGUCUGAAUACAUAUCAACUCGUUCAACUUUUGAUCAUGGUCGUGAAUAUAUUUAUGUUAGCAACAACCGGUGUGAUCAUUCUUAAUUAUUAUAUUUCAUUUAAAAAAUAUAUUUUUUAUUGUUUGGUUAUGUUGAAAAAAAUAAUUGAAUUUUUUUAGUGCUUGCGUGUUUGGUAUGCAUGGAAAAUAUGUAUUAAAAAGAAAACAUGAAUUAAUUAAUAAUAGAGAUCAUAAUUUAAUAUUGAAGCUAAUCUCGUAAAAUGUUUUUUAUCUAUUAUAAACCGUGAGUUGUUAAUUUUCUAUUAUUUUAAGCUUAUCUUUUCUUUAAUUAUAAAGUAUUUUACAUUAAUAAUUUAUUUUAAAAGAAAUCAAACAUAAAAAAUGAAAAGAAAUAUUUUACAGAAACAUAAUUACUUAAGAAAAAUAAUAAUAUAAGAUGAUGUUGAUUGGAUUCACUCAACAAUUGAAAGUGCUUUUAAACAUAUUUAUCGAACCCGACAUUAAUUAGUGGGUCAACUUAGAAUUCAAUUAGCUUGGCUUGUAGUUUAAGCUGCAUUUUAAAAAAGGAUUAACUUUGAGCUGAUCCUAUUUGACUUGGUUGAUCCUACUAAUUAAUUUGGUCAUAAUUUAAUUUGAUUUUUAAAUUUUUUUUUUUAAAAUGAUAUUGUUUUGAUUGAUUCUAUUUAAUUCAUCUAACCCGUGACUCGGAGUUUAAACCAUGUAUAAUAUCUUUGCUUUUAACUAAUGUUCAAAAACAAAAAUUAAUUAUAAUAUUUAUCUUGGGGCUUAGUUUUUUUUUCCAAACCAUAGUAAAGAAAUUAAUAGGAGAUAUUACACAAAAUUAAUCAUCAACAAACUUAAUUAUUGUUAUGAUUUUGUCUUAUAGGAAAUGUUUACGGCAGGGACUGAUACAACAACAAGCACUUUGGAAUGGGCCAUGGCUGAACUUUUACAUAACCCUAAAGUACUGAAGACAGUCCAAUCUGAGUUGAGAAGCACUAUUGGCCCCAACAAGAAGCUCGAAGAUAAAGACGUUGAGAAUCUCCCAUACCUAAAGGCAGUCAUUAGGGAAACACUGAGACUUCACCCUCCUCUACCAUUUUUAGUCCCGCACAUGGCCAUGAACCCUUGCAAGAUGCUAGGCUAUUACGUCCCUAAAGAGACAACAAUUCUAGUUAAUGUGUGGGCCAUUGGAAGGGAUUCAAAGACUUGGGAUGACCCUUUGGUUUUCAAGCCAGAAAGGUUCUUGGAAGCAAACAUGGUGGAUUACAAAGGUCGUCAUUUUGAGUUCAUACCAUUUGGUUCUGGGCGUAGAAUGUGCCCUGCCAUGCCUCUUGCCUCUCGUGUACUUCCUUUGGCUCUUGGAUCACUCUUGCUUUCAUUUGAUUGGAUUUUGCCAGAUGGCCUCAAGCCAGAGAAUAUGGACAUGACUGAAAAAAUAGGGAUAACACUUAGAAAAAGUGUUCCCUUAAAGGUCAUACCGACACCUUACAAGGGGUCAUCAAAUCAUGAUGGGUUCUGAGUGGACAAGGGAUAUUCUAAAAUUUCUACUAGUAUAACAAAAUGUAAUUAUAAAAUGGGUACAACAAAUCAAUCUUAGUAUCCCGUUGAUUUGAAACUUAAUCCAUGUUAUAUUUCAUUUUGAAUUAAAUUUUUUUACCAAAACCAUAUCAUUUUAUUAAAAAAUAAAAUAAAACAUGUUUUGGUAAAAAAAGAAGAAGAAGAUAGACUCGCAACCUAAAUUUUAGGCCGAGGCAGACCUAGGUUGGUCUUAUAUCUAAGUUACAAAAUGAUAUAUUAGAAUUGUAUUCAAUUUAGCUAUUUGAGUCAUAUAUUUGAUUCUUAAUUUGUAUGUGCAUGUAUAUUAAUGUCUAUCUAUAUAUAAUCUAGUUAUGGAGAAUUUUUUUUAAUUAAUUUGUAAUGCGGUUUAAUCUAUUUUUCAAACUAAUUUUCAUUUAAAAAAUAUUAAAUUAAUGUUUUUAGGUGUUUUUAAUGCUUCGUCUCUCCAUCAUAUUUGACAAAACAUAUACAAAAAUGAUGAUCUGACCUUCGACCAUACCCCGAUAUGGUUUUUUCAGGUUGAUUGACAUCAUAACAGCUGCGGCACCACCUCAAAGUGGCCAACCCGACCAGCCUUUUAGCAGUUAUAUUGACUGUUCAUGAUGACCACUUUGAGUCAACGGUUGAGAUCCUUCCGGGUUGAAUCAAGGGCUAAGAUUUGGCACCAGUAAAGAUAAAAUUCCACUCUUCCACCCCCUAUAAAUAGGAGAGGAUUCCAUGCAAUGAGAUCAAGAAAUCUAAGGCCAAAGUUGGAAAAAUAAUCAGUUUUUUUUUUCAAUUUUUUUCUUUGUGAGCCUCUUCCACCUCUUUCUCCAUUGCUUUUUCAGCCACUACUACUUCAGUACCACCGUGACCAAAACCAAAGGUUACCCCGCUUUUUAUACCACGUAACCUUCUGCUCUUCUCCUCCCUCCCUUCUUGUUCUUCUUUUACAUGCAAAUGUGCAGAACAGAACGUGAAUUAUAAUUCACGUUUUGCCAUUUGUAAGCACAACUUAGUCACUGGGCUGAGCCAGUGACUAAGCUGUGUUGGGCUGGACCCAUUCCGGCCCAGCUCAGAUGGUUGGGAUGGGUCCAGCUAUCGUAAUCCAAUUUUAAGUUUCUAAAAAAAGUGAUGAUAAAAAUAUAAUUCGGAUUAAUCAGUCAUGCACAAUUAUUCAGAACGACAGGUGGAUGGACAAGCUAGGGUCUUGUUGAAGAAACUUUGGAAAAUGAUUUGAGAAUGUGAUCAAAACAACACAAAUUGAAGGUUUGAGGACUAACAAGGAUAAAAUUAUAAAAUUUAAAAGUCAAUUUGGCUGAAACUGGAAGAAUUGACAAGUCUAGGGAUUUAAUUGAACUCUGAAUUAGUUUAGUUAAUUGAAGAAAUAUCAAAAUUCAAGAGCAAUUUAUGUCAAAAUUGCAAGAAAUAAAAUUUCAGGGAUCAAAAUGAAUAGGCUCUAAUACUAUAAGGCGGUUAAUUGACUUUAUCAGGGGUAAUUUUGAAAAAAUUAAAAGUUUGAAAAGUCAAUUAAGGAUUGAAUUGAAGAAAUCUGAAACCCAUGACUAUUUUGAAAAUAACGCAGAAAUCCAAGGGUGCAAUUGCAUAGAUCAAGGGGCGAAAUUAAAAAAAAUGAAUUUUAAAAGACAAGGGCUUGAAUGUAAGACUUCAAAACUUCAGGGGGCAAAUUGAAGAAUGACCCUUUUCGGCCUAAAACAGCGUCGUUUCAAAAACUGUUCAUUCUCUUCUUCCUCUCGAGCAGGGGAAAUCGUUAGAAGAAGCCAUCCAAAUGGCCCCUGUUAGACCCAAUCGUCCCACCAAAUCCAAGCCAAAUCUUAGACCCGAUUGUCUACCACAGAUCUCAUAAGUUAGUUCAGUGUUUCUCGCCCUCACAACUCUCCUCUGACGCGAAGAUCACUCAGGUCCAACAGUCCAACAAUGGCAGGACUGUUGGUGUUUUCAUUCCACCAAACAACGAGCGAACCUAAAGCAGUAGUUAUCCACCACUCAUUUAAUAUGCAGGCAGGGCCAUAUGAUUCGAUGAAAGAUAUUUCUUUGAAAAUUUUGCAAAGCAGCGUGUCAACAGUUCCCAUUAUUCAUUCUGCUUCUCAGGAUGGCUCAUUUCCGCAGCUACUAUAUCUUGCUUCCCUGUCUGGAAUACUAAAAUGUAAACCUUCUUGGUUUGAUGCUUGAGGAUGUAUAACUUGUUGCUAACACAUGGACUAAUUGUCAGGUAUAAGCAGGUAUUUCAGACAUUCUGCUGGCUCCUUCCCCAUUCUUCAACAGCCAAUUUGUUCAAUUCCUUAGGGUACAUGGGUUCCAAGACUUGGGGAACCAAACAGACGGCCAUUUGCAAUGUUGAGACCGAAUGCUUCUCUCGGUGCUGCUCUGUCUUUGUUGGCUCAAGGUAAUUCACUCGUCAAAAGAUUACCACAAGCUACAACUUUCCUCUUCUAUCUGUUUCUGAGUGUGCAUAUUGCUGAUUGAUCUUCUUUAACCUCUCCUAACCUUGUGCUAUAAUACCUUCCUGAUACAGCCAAUGUCAGUUCAAUAGCAUUUGUAAACGAUAAGGAUUCACUGCUGGAUGUUUCCUCGACAGUGAUAUCACUGCUUUGGCAAAAGAUAAAGCCUAUGCACAAAUUCAUCUUGAUGAAAUAAGUAUUCAUCAGGUAAUUAGUUUUGAUUACUUUGAGCUCUACUUACAUGCAGUUGUAUGCACAUUCUUGCAAUGGUCUGAACCAAUCCGCAGCUCUGUACAUGAAUCUCCAUUUGUGAAACAAUAAAUACCUUCAACAAAAUCAGGAGAAGAUAAAUGACUGGAAGUGAUUAAGUAAACUGCAUUUUUGAAUAAAACAUGCAUGGCAUGAACUACUGUAUUGAUCUGCUCUUUCAUACCCUUUUAGGCUCUGCAAUUGGGUCAGAAUGCAAAUUCUUCAAAUGCAUUCUACAAUGGACAGAGAUGUCAGAUGUGUUUGCGGACUGAUUCUCUACACAAAGUGAUGGAGCGUUUGGCAAAUCCCGGUACUCUUACAGCAAUAUGAUUUUUUUUUCUACAUCAACUUUUCACCAUAAGUAGUUCUGACCUCGGGGUCUGGACUAGUAACACGUUUUCUAAUUGCUUUGUUGCGUGGUCUUUUCAGGGGUUAGGAGGCUUUUGAUUGUGGAAGCUGGCAGCAAGCGUGUAGAAGGGGUUAUCUCACUGAGUGAUGUCUUCGGGUUCCUGCUGGGGAUAUAGCUUAGAUGUUAAGCAAUUUGCAUGCCGUGGUGACAUUGGAGAGGACCACAGUCUUUACUCAUUGUUCUCUGAGGUUGGAAGGGCCCCAUGAUUCUGACCCCCACACCUUUUCUUUUUUAGGAUAGGAAAUUCAAUGAGCAAAAAAGAAUUUGUAAUUGUGAGUUUUCCAUUUUUAAAAAUUUAAUUUUUUUCUUUUUUUUUCAAUUUUUUUUUAAUAUUUCAAUAUCAAAAAUAAUUUUUUAAAAUUAAAAAAUAUUAUUUUAAUAUAUUUUUAAUAAAAUUGUUUUAAAAAAAAAUCAUUCCACUUGAACAUGUGUAUUACUAUCAGAAAAUGAGGUUCAAGAGCAUUGAGAUACCAAGGGCAACCCAUGGUUUUGUCCGUUUGUUUCCGUGAUUGUGUUUGGUGUCCGUUUGUUUCCGUGAUUGCAUUUUCUAUUGAAGCAAACCACGGAAACUUGAAACGUAUAUUACUGUGCAUGAACCCGACCAUUUAUUGCGUUUAAGACACAGGGUCGUUAAAAGCAGCUCGAAGCUGCUUUUACUCUUCUUCCCGUGGAGUGGAGAAUGACUCCACUGUUCACGUGAACAGUUGAGUCACUUUCCACUAUUCCGGUCGGACUGGGUCGGGUCGGGUCCAGAGCUAAAUGCAUUGAACCGGAUCCGACCCAGUAAAAUAAAAAAAUAUAUUUUUUUAUUUUUAAUUGUAUUUUAUUAAAAAAAACUAGUGUUUAUUGGUCCGGUCGAGAGGUAAAUGCAUUGAAUCGGGUCCGACCUAGAAAAAUAAAAAAAUAAAUUUUAUUUUUAAUUUUUAAUUGUGUUUUAUUCAAAAAACUAGUGUUUAAAAAAAUUAAAUUAAAUUUUUUAUUUUUAAUUGUGUUUUAAUUAUGUUUUAUUUGAAAAACCAGUGUUAAAAAUUAUAACGUAUCACUACAUAAAUUAGACGGAGAUCGCUUGAUGACGUAGUAUUUGCAGAAUUUAAUCGCAAUCUCAAUAUUGUUCCUGAUUAAUAUUUUACCUAAUGUUGUUGCGCGCUUAAGAAACCAAGAAAACUGUAGUCAUUGUCGAAUGUAUUUCAUACAUGAUGAAAUUGUAGAUAGUUUAAUAGAAUAAUAAAAAUUAUUUUAUAUAAAUUAUUAUUUAUUUCAUGAUGUAAUAGCAGUAGUUACAUCUACAAUAUUUAAAUUAAAAAUCAUCAAUAUUAAUAUGUAUUUUUUAAAAAUUAUAAAAUAACCUCAAUUUGAAAAACAUUCUUAUACUAUCACAAUACCAAACAUAUUAAUACUAAACCGACCUCAACCAAAAGUACUUUUUAUAAAAUAAUUUUUUUAAACUAUAACCACAAAAACUACCACAAUACCAAUAUAAAACACACUACCAAUAUGAAACACACUGACAGGCUGCGCAUCAAAGAACAAAGAUAACGAGCAAACUAAUAAUUGUUGAAAUCAACAUAUUUCAACUGAUACAGAUUCACUUGGAUACAGAUUCACUUGUCAUGUUUACAAAGAAGUAUUUUAACUCUAUCAUCAAGUUUUCAUGUAACAGUGAUCUCUCUCAUGAGUUUUUUCAUGUUUUACAACAAAUAGUGGCUUGAAAAACCAAGCAUCUCUGAAUUUUUGAAGUUCUCUAAACAGGAAACGUGUGUUGUAGCAUCACAUUUGUUUUCCCCUCAACUGCUUUAACAAAUAUGCAUAGAGCUUCAUGAACCACUCGAUGCCACCACAACUACCACGCACCAGGUGCAUAAUGCCCGGAUAAUUGCUGGCAGAGAUAGGGAAGUGAUUGAAUACAGCAGCAUAAUUAGCAAACUGAUCCAGUCCAGCAUUAUAUCUAGGUCUCUAGAGUGAGUCCAAUAUCAUCCUCGGAAUUCUCAGGUGGAGUUGUCUCUGGGAAAUUUUCUUCAUUUGGAUACAUCUCCUGAAAGAGCUGUCAAGUAGAAGCACUAGUAUUGAAUUCUCAGUCGGCCAAAAAGAAUGAAAAACUCUUGAGUGUCACAGAACAAUGUCUAAUCACAUAACGGGCUAGAGGAAACAAAAGAGAUCAUGAAACAAUCAACGAGAGACAUCUGUGAGUAUACAAUGUGAUCCAGUAAGCAUGCAUAUUGGCUUGUGGUUGUUGAAUCACUGGCAUUCAUUUUCCUAUUUAACAACUUGUUGGACGGGACAUAAAAGAGAAAACAGGAAUACACUCAAGUGAUGAUAUACAGAAAUUAGGCAUUUAGGAUAAUGGAACCUGAAGCAUCAUAAACGUUAAAUAGAGGAAACAUACCUUCAAAGCUGCAUCUAAUAUAUCGUUGUAAUUCAGAUUUCCAUCGGGCAUGGGAGCAAAGUUGAUAGAAUCAAAUUGACCCUGAAACAAAAGAGAUGGCAUACCACUAUCAACCUAAAUGCAUGCACAUCUAUAUACAUCACUUUCUAAAAAAAUUACAUAUUUACUCAAGCAACAUUUAAUAAAAGAAUGUCAAUCCAACUCGAGGUCAUAGAUUUACAGGAAUUGAAGCAAGCAAGAGUUAAUAACCUAUUGAAACCAUUAAAGCACACCCAUUCAUUCAGCUUAAAAAUGAUCCUAGGAUCUAGUUAGGAAAGUUAAAAUGGAUCGAGGCUGGUCUGUAAUGUGAGUUCGGGAUUGAUUUGACUGAUUACAGUGGCAGAAAAAAGAAAGAUGAAGCAGGAAAUCAUUGAGCAACAGCUCAUAGUUGAACUGAAGGGACUCGUAAGUGACCUGCUUAGACAACUUUGAUGGACUCAACAUACCCAAAACAAGUACAGGAAGAAGAAAAUAGAGGCAGCUGGAACAUGCAAGGAAGAAAUUCAAUAAAAUCUAGAGAAUAAAUUGAAGGAGGGAGGGAGAUUCAAGAGAGGAAGAAGGGAACACGAGGGCAGCAGCAAUCAGGUUCUAAAACUCCAGAUAGGCAGGCACGUGCCAGCUUUUAUGAUGAGGCACCCUAUGUACUAAGCCCCACAUGUGAGCUUAAUGUAAGCUGAACUUGAAACUACCACCACAUAAGAUAAAACUAAACCGCAAGUUCUAAACAAGAAUUCUAAUAACCCCCCACUUGUGUGCAUGAGCACAAAUGUGCGCACGUGUGCACACAUGAGAUGCUAAUAGUAAGAGACAAAAGUUCAAGACGUGAAGCACCGUAGACAUCUCCUGCAUAUACAACCCGCUCCAAAUGACACUGGGUUUCUCUUCAGUAGUCUCACUCUGAACUGUGGAACUGCUUUCAGAAUUUACAGGAUCAGGAAAAGUCAGAAGGGCAUUCAUAGCCGCAUUUAGUAACCUCUUCCCUUGAAUGGCAUCAUCACACAAAGCCGAAAGAUAGAGCACAAACCUGAAACAAAUAAUCAGAGAAAUUGUUAACUCAAGGAUCCCAUAUUCUUUUGAGAGGCAGGGGGUUACUGUACUAUGAGAAGUAGUAGUUCUCAAUGAAUGAAUAAGACGUCCAUUAUUAUCACCGUAAUGAUGCUACGGGUGUGGGAACAUUUUGAAGAACAAAACCAUAAAUAAUUAGAUGUCUAUUAUCUCCUUGUAAUGGUUUUCAUCCCAAGCAGGAUCUACAAGACAUUGGCUUGAUGUAAUCCUAGACCUCAAAAAUCUUUGGAUUGAAGCAGGACUUCAAAGGAUAAAUAGCAAUAGCACUACAAAAGUUUCAAAAGACAACAAAUUGAGAUUCGAAAUUUCUACUAGCUACCUUUCCAACUUGUCACGGUUAAUAUAUGUAUUUCUAAAUGUACUAGUUAUUUGGAACUCUCUCCAAAAGAGUCCACAUAAAUCCAGGAAUGGGGUGAGCAAGGACAAGGUCUCCCUAAUAUUUUUCAUGUUGAUCUUGCAUGAUUACUCAUGUUACAAAUGCAGUCCUAACAGGUAGUCAGCAGUAGAAUCAGAAGUCAUGGAAAGUAAAAACAUAAAUGAAAGUGGCUGGUGGUAACUCACAUGCCCAAAGGACAAACAGCCAAGUUGCCACUUAUUUGGAGCGCUCGAAUUGAUGUAAUCUGCUCAGGGUACAGGGCUAGACAAAAGGGAUAAAAAGUUUGAACCGUAUGAUUCCUAUAAACUCAAUAAGGAACAGAAAUGAAACUAUAUGCUGAUCUUACAUCGAGGGGGGUACACAACCAGAAGAUUUGACAUAUCUGGCUUCAAGGAAUUUCGUGUGAUGCAUAUCCCUCUGGCCACCUUCCCUUUAACAUCUCUGGUGCUCAAAAAGUUAAAACUUUCAUGCAGAAGAUCUGAUGGAGAGGCUGAUGGUGAGGCAAGUGUAAAGGAUGGAUCCAGAACCAGCUUCUGGCUAAAUAUGUCCUGGCCAGAAGCCAAUCGAACACCUUUGUAACUCCCACUAUCCUGGAAAAAAAAGUGAAGGAUAAUUCAUUUGCCCUAACAGGUGACUAUAUCAUUUUAUGCUGUCCAUGUAUUAAACGAAUUAUAGGCAUAUUUUAGCACCUUUUCCAUAAGUAACGCAGUCACUGGCAUUCGUAGAACCUGUAUGACAGAAGUCUCGAAAGGAGGUGAGCAUGUUAGCUUGACAAAGCAACUGUUUCAGUCCACUUUAUAACAAAUUUCUAUAGUAUGAUAGGUAAACAUUAUUUGCAAUUUUUUUAUGUUCCCGCAAAAUAUAAGUAAAAAAUAGCACAAGUACACCUGUGACCAUUGUGAAAAUCAAAUAACACCCAAGUAUCUAAAGCAGCAGAGCAGAUCAAACAGUGUCAAUCACAUUUAGGAACAAGUUAUUUACACAACACAUGCAGAAAAGCAAAUAUAUCACAUUUAACUAUUAACCAAAAAUGAUAGUUCAUAUUUCACCAAGAGAAAGAAGCCACAGUUUCUUUCAGUGAACUUACGUAAAUGCAACCUUUGACAGCAGAGCGGCGGCUAAAGGCUUGUGGCAGUUCCCCUUGACCAUAAAUGGGAUAAAUUAGGGCCCCGGAAGCAUUUGUAAACCUGAAAGGAGUAAGAAUUAUAAACAACAAACUUAAAGCAAAUGGAUGUAAAUUGCUUAACUAAUACAACAUUCCAAGCCAUAAAUCAAGGUUAGAUUUUUAGUUGCCAGUACAGAACUAGAACUCAACAUUUUUUCUCUCUUUAUCUGCUCCUACCCUACACUUUCUGUGGUGUUCAAUAAUGGAAGGAAAAAUAAUAUAAUCUUGUAGUUAACACAAUAUGUGUUUCUGAUCAAGAUAUCAUACAAGUCACAAGUGCAGCUCUAUAGCACCCACCCAAAUUUUAAACCAGAGAAUAACUGCUUAACUAUAAAACAGAAUAAACAAGAAUUAACCUCCCAACUGAUGACUGGUAUAGAGCCAAACGAUCUAUUCCAUCUUUAGUCUUGAGCAAAUUUUGGCAAACCCCCAUGUCAUCUUGAUCAUAAUCUGCCAUAGCAAUAGCAUACAGAAUAAUCCUGCAGACGAGCAGACAUAACCAAAAUCCAGUAAACUUUAGACCAAACAGGGAAACAAAACGCACAAAUAACAAAUAAACUCUUGCUAACUGAUAGAGAAAGGCAACAGCAGUCUUUACGAUCUAAUCUUUGGAGGCAACCGCAUUUUUGACAAGUACUCAACAAAUGGCCUCUGCAAAUCCUCGUCUGAAAUCUUCAUCUUCCCUUCCUCUUCAUCAUUACCAUUCCCAUUCCCAUCAUUACCAGAAGUACCCGCCCCCACUGUGGCAACCAAGUGCCCUUGCACCAGCUUGAAAAACCUCAUCAACUGAUUCUUUUCCAUCAGAGUCAAACUCUUAUCCUUAAAUAUGGCAGCUCUGGAAUCUGGUACAUUCCAUAACUUUCCAUUCCCAUCACCAACAAAACUGGCAUCAAUACUCUUGAACUCCACAUAAUUACUUGCUCCAGAUUUUAACAUAAGAUCAAUUGACUUGUCGGCGCAAAAUAACACCCUUGGUCCGCAUAAGUCCAAAUUGAACUUCCGUAAGUUUUCUUCCAUUAGUUCAGGAUAAAAACAGGAAAUCUCAACAUCUGAAUAUACUGGCUGAGUGAUGAGAUUUACAAUCGAGUAAUCAGGGAUGUCAGUUGUGGUUGAUGUGGAAGAUGGUGGUGAGGAAGCUGUAGAAUUGGAAAUAAGGAAAGAUGUGAGUUCCGGGACCGAGAGAGAGGAGUAAUGGGACCCAUAGAAUGGGUUAGUGUCAAGGUGAAGGACAGUUUUUCCAGAAGCAGAAGCUGCAGCAGCAACAAUGCAUUCUGCUAAACCAGUGCCCACAGCAAUCAGGUCGAAGGUAGUUGGUUCAAUUUGCGGGUAUGGUGGGGGCUCACUCAUGGUAGCACUGGAGAGGAACAGUAGAUUUACUGCUGAGAGUGAGCAAGUGAGUAGCUAAGAAUCACCUGGCACAAGAAGCAAGAGAAAAAAAA
rnacentral:lncRNA from 1 species